rnacentral:lncRNA from 1 species
GCUUUGUCAAGGGCAUUGUUGACUCUGAGGAUCUUCCCCUGAACAUCUCUCGUGAGACACUCCAGCAGAACAAGAUCCUCAAGGUCAUCCGGAAGAACCUUGUGAAGAAGUGCAUCGAGCUCUUCUUUGAGAUUGCCGAGAACAAGGAGGACUACAACAAGUUCUAUGAGGCUUUCUCCAAGAACCUCAAGCUUGGCGUCCACGAGGACUCCACCAACAGGACCAAGCUUGCUGAGCUCCUGAGGUACCACUCCACCAAGAGCGGUGAUGAGCUUACCAGCCUCAAGGACUACGUGACGAGGAUGAAGGAGGGCCAGAACGACAUCUACUACAUCACCGGUGAGAGCAAGAAGGCUGUGGAGAAUUCUCCCUUCCUUGAGAAGCUGAAGAAGAAGGGCUAUGAGGUGCUGUACAUGGUUGACGCCAUUGAUGAGUACUCCAUUGGCCAGCUCAAGGAGUUUGAGGGAAAGAAGCUGGUCUCUGCCACUAAGGAGGGCCUGAAGCUUGAUGACAGCGAGGAAGAGAAGAAGAGGAAGGAGGAGCUCAAGGAGAAGUUUGAGGGGCUCUGCAAGGUGAUCAAGGAGGUGCUGGGCGACAGGGUCGAGAAGGUGAUUGUCUCUGACCGCGUCGUCGACUCGCCGUGCUGCCUGGUGACCGGCGAGUAUGGCUGGACUGCCAACAUGGAGAGGAUCAUGAAGGCCCAGGCCCUGAGGGACACGAGCAUGGGCGGCUACAUGUCGAGCAAGAAGACGAUGGAGAUCAACCCGGAGAACGCCAUCAUGGAGGAGUUGCGCAAGCGCGCCGACGCUGACAAGAACGACAAGUCUGUCAAGGACCUGGUGAUGCUGCUGUUCGAGACCUCCCUGCUCACCUCUGGAUUCAGCCUCGACGACCCCAACACCUUCGGCACCAGGAUCCACCGCAUGCUCAAGCUGGGCCUGAGCAUCGACGAGGACGAGGAGGCUGCUGAGGCUGACACGGACAUGCCGCCGCUGGAGGAGGACGCCGGCGAGAGCAAGAUGGAGGAGGUCGACUAGGCGUGUGCGUUCGCUUGCUAUCCGAGUCGUAGAGCUAGCUUAUCUUUUGGGUUACUGUCGCGUGGUCGGUUUGUCUUUUAUGGUUUACUGUGCCUAGCCUGCUGUAAUGGGGCUAGGGGAGUGGUCUGUGGAGUCCCCGGAACUGCGUAUCGUAAUCGUUGCUUAUAUAUAUCGUCUUUACUACCUUUAUCGUCUCGUUUGCUCUUUUUUUUUUGCUUUCUGCUUCUUGCACUUUUCUCUCUUUUUUGUGAAUCCGGUAUUUCUAAGCUCAUUCUUUGGUGCUGACUUCGUUCUUUAGAGUCAGACAGCUUCGACUGCCUUAACCAAUUUACACAAGCCAGCCUUGGGCUGCUUUUAAUAUCAAGUUGGCUUCUGCAGCUUACGUUGAUUCCUGAUCUCCAGUGGCUGAUACUAAUCCUGGAUGUGCUAUCCGUGCCUCGUAUUUGUUGGUCCUGAUAGCUCUUGCGUUUUCAAUUUCAACAUUACAUCUCUUGCCUGCGUCUUUAAAAAAUUACCUCAAAUGAGUGUUUGCGUAUAUUCCUCAGACGUCUUGCUUGCGUAAAACAUAACAUUUGUGUUUGCGGCCUUACUAUUUCUUCAGGCGCCAGUCAAGGGCAACGAAGCAAGUUUUUCUUUUUUUCUUUCAGUGGAUCACACACUGAGAGUAUUAUUUUUUUUGAAACGGAGGCAAAAUAUUUGCCUCAUCCACACUGAGAGUAUUUGGUAUUUGUAUAUUUGCUCACAGUCAGGAAAUUGCCGGGAUCAACCAGCUCGAUGCAAAUAGGUUUGAAUUCUGCAAAAGCUUAAACAAUCUCAUAUAAGCUAUUGGGAUUGGGUCGUUAGAAUUUCUGUUCAAGGUAACGUGUGCUUCAUAUCUGAAUUUGAGAUCAAACAGAACAUAUGCUCUUCUGAAGAACACGCCUAGCAUCUAAAGCCAAGUCUGGUGCUGCAUAACAAAGUGGUGGCGCCGGAGCUUUAUUUUAAGAUAACCUAGCUCUAUGAGGUGCGCAGUUAUGUGCCCUGACAUUGAACUCCUUCUCUUUCAUAUUAGAAAAGAAAGCAACACAGGUUUAGGGUUUAGGUUCACCAGGUCAUCGAUAUGUUUCUUUGAACAUCAAAGAGACUCUUCCAAAAAUGCACUACCUGGGACUGUGAUCUAGAUUGCCUGGGGAGCCUAAAUGAAUAAUUGAAAGUGCCUUCCUGCCGCUAUUCUCUUUCAAGUUGAAUGUAAUAUGCCAAUUCUUGUUGUUUCUGCUGACAGGGAGUUAGUCGUUCCAUUCCGCUAGUAAGUUUGCAUGAAGAUUCAGAAAUCCCGACCGACUCCACUUUGACUCCUUUCUUUGAUAUAUAGCUCCAUGUGCCCUUAUUUGAGGCUGGUGUUGACUCUGAAGAUCUGAACAAUAAAGAACCAGUUUAGUAUUGUAUAACUCGCAGUACCUUAAAACGACAACGCGUUACACUUUUUAUCAUACUUCUAUUGAUGCCUUGUAUUCCUUGAGAAGGUUGACAUAAUUUUAAGAUGGUGUCUGUUGGUAUUAGUCCUAAAUAUUCUCGGAAAAUUUGUAGUCCUAGAUAUAUCGCUAGAAGAAUGGGAGUUCUGCUAGAAGAAAUAUGAGAAGAAUCUGCAGUUUAUACAGUUAAAAGAAUACGGCUACAUGCUGUUGAAUGUUGCAGGAAUUUGUCAGUUAGAAAGUACAAUUCUGGAUGAAUACGUCCUGUAUUCUCUCAUAUAUUUCGUGGCCAGUAUUCCAAAGUCCAUCAUAUCUUUAGGAAAAAAAAUCAAUGAUUUUCCCUCAGACAUCCACAUGAGUAUAUAUGUGCUUGCGUAUAUUACUCAGACGUCUUGGCAUGAUCCUCCACCAUAGCAAAAAAGAUACAUGACAUUUGUUUUUGCAGCCUCACUAAUUUUUGCUUGGAAUUCAGAAGGAUCGAAAAGAACCAGAUCAUAUUCAUAUUAACAUCAGCUGAAAUUUGGAAAUGUUAUUGUACAGAUUGCAAAGAUGAUACAACCAAAUUUUGAGAAGCUAAUCCCAUCAGUAAAAUUUGGUAAGUUCAAUUCCUAUUCUACAAGAAUUACGGAUGACCAAUACUGCAGAGCAGAGAAACGGUUAUCUGCAAGAAGGGACAAGCAUAUGUUCUGUUUCAUCUCAAAUUCAGAUAUGAAGCACACAGGGCAGUUGAACACUUUUAGAGGACCUCACACUUUUAACAGAAAUUUCUAAUGGUCUAAUCCCAAUACCAAUAGGAAGGACACCAUUUAAUGCUAGAGAAUGCAGCCCUAUAUGCGAUGGCUUAGACCUCUUCCAAUGCAAAGGUGUUUAGAUGAGGUGCUAAAUGCAUUAAAUACCUUAGCAACUCAAGUCCCGAAUGCAUAGGUGCUUAACUUAUUGUUGCUAAGCACACUUUAUUUAAUGAGUUAGCACAUAAAGUCUUUCAUGCAUUGGUCAAAUGAUUUCACUUAAGUGGUUUGCAUAGGUUCUCGCGCUUGGCAUUGGUUCUUCCUGGAGUCACCAAAGUACUCUCCCCCCUCCUUCAAUGUUAUGCCAUGUCAUUUUUUCGUUUAUGUGGCAUGCUUAGCACCUGUCCAUGGUGGAGCACUCGGAAGGGCCUUAGGCUUUUGCAAUAAAUUCAAACCUAUCGCAUCGAGCUGGAUGAUCCUGGCAAUUUCCUGAUUGUGCACUUCUGAAGAACACGCCUUGCAUCUAAAGCCUCUCCCCAUUUGCCAGCAGCAGCAUAAAUGUCUGAUAUCAAGACAUGGCAGCCAGCCUGCCGUGUGUUGAGACCAAUAAUUUCACUCUGGACUCUUUCAGCCACAUCAAAUCUCUUGUGCAUUCGACAGGCACCUAGUAGUGCGCCCAAAAUCAUGACAUCUGGGGCCAUCGGCAUGCUCCUUAUCAGCUCCUCUGCCUCUUCAAGAAGCCCUGCUCGGCCUAGCAUGUCAACCAUGCAGCCAUAAUGCUUUGCCUCUGGCUGCACUCCGCAAGAUGACAUGCUCUGAAAGCAUCGUCGACCCUCAUCCACCAGCCCGCUGUGGGCACAAGCAGUCAGCACACCAACGAACGUUAUGUCAUUCGGUUUCUCUCCUGACCUCUUCAUCUGCUCAAACAAACCGAUGCAAUCCUGAACAUCACCAUUCACUGCCAACCCAGUGAUGAGUGCAUUCCAGGUGGAGAUAUUCUUCUGGUCCAAGGAGUGGAAGAUUUUGACAGCCAUGUCAGUUUUCCCACACUUGGCAUACAUGUCAAUGAGGGCAGCACCGAGAUUGAACUCAUUGUCGAGCACCAUCUUGUGCUUGUCAAUGUAAGUGUGAGCCCACCUCCCUUCUUCCAGAGCUGUUAAAUGUGCACAUGCUGAGAGCACGCUCACCAUGGUCACCUCAUUAGGACGGCCACUGCUCUCGCUCUGCAUUUCCCUGAACAGCUCAAGGGUUUCCACGUAGCGUCCAGCCUGUGCAUACCCAGAAAUCAUGCACGUCCAGGAAACCACAUCUUUCUCCCGCAUCACAUCAAACAGCUUCCGUGCACCAUCCAUCUCACCGUUCACUGCAUACCCCCGCAUCAUUGUGUUCCACGAUACCAGAUUCCGUACCGGCAUCUCAUCAAACAUCUUCCUAGCCAGUGGCAGUAGCCCAUGCCGCGCGAAUCCUGUAAUCAUCGAGUUCCAUGUCACAAUGUUCCUCCCAAUGGCCGGCAUCUCAUCGAACAUUUCCCUGGCCACAUCCAACUCGCCAGAACCGGCGUAUGCCCCAACCAUCGCGCUCCAGGACACCCCAUUCCUCUGCGGCAUUUCCUUGAACACCAUCUGGGCGUUCCUGAUGUCCCCGCACUUCACAUAGCCGCCGAGCACUGUGUUCCAAGACACCACGUCGGUGACCCCUGCGCACGAAUCGAACACCUCCCGCAUGGAGCCCGUGUCCCGGAAGGCGGCGUACAUCGCGAGGAGCGCAUUGACGACAAAGACGUCGAUCAAGAAGCCGCGCCGGACGGCCUGUGCGUGCACCUGCGCGCCCGUGCGCGGGAAAGAAGCGAGCCUGGACGCCGACUUGAGGAGGGAAGGGAAGGUGAAUCGGUCGGGAAUAUCGCCAGAGCGGAGAAUGGAGGAGAAGGCGGCGAAGGCGAGGCGGGGAGACGGGGAGGUUGCGGAGGCUCGGAUGAGCAGGUUGUGGAGGAAGAUGCAUGAGGAGGGGAAGAGCGGGAAGUAGAGGCUGGAGAGGGAGGCGGCGAGGUGGGGGUGGGAAGGGAGUAGGGGCACGAUGCGGCGGAGAUGGGCGGUGUUGCGGAGGAGGUCGCCGGAGACGAGGAGGCGACCGAGGAGGAGAGGGAGGAGGCGAGGCGGCGGUGCCAUUCCGUUUUGGGUUUGACCGCGGAGGGGAGUUUUUGUACCACGAAAAAUUGAGAGCUCUGACAAGCUUAACCAUUCGAUUGGCAUCUGACGGCUGAGAGUAGGUGUGGAAGGGGACAAAUAGUCGAUUGCUAUACAAUUUGGGUUUGGGGCGUGCUAUACGUCCGCCGGCUGGUCUUUCGGCUGAUCUUUCUAAAAGAUCGGAUUGAACCGCGAACUGUCUGAUUAUAUGUCAUAAGCCGUUUGAUUUGGAUCACGCUACGCGUCCGCCGACCGGUAGCUAGAAAACAUCCACCGCCUUGCUGGCCAUUGGAUGGACGCGGGGAUGUCCAUCCGAUUAACCCACUCACAAGGGCCACCUUCCUUUUGCAACAAGGACGGUGUUGCCGAACAAGUCCUGCAACAGGAUGCUUGUGGCAAAACGUCGGAACCGCUAUUUACCUUUUUGAAACACAGUCUGUGUUGCAGUUUUUUUUGCAACUCAGGUCUUGUUUCAGUUUUUUUAUAACUGAGGUUUGUUGAAAAAAAAUGUCUUCGCUUUUUUGCAACAUAUAUUAUGUUGCGGGAGAAACUUCUGCAACAUUGGAGUUGUGGCAGAAAAAUUAGAGGAGGGUCACGAGGAGUCAGGGGCACAUGUCAAGUGGGGCGCGUGUCGUACAAACGUAACAUGUGUUGUGUUGCAGAUUUUUUUAUUGGACGUGCUACGCGUCAGCGUGCGAAUCUUUUUAAAGGAUUCGCCGGAUCUCGUGGCUUAGUGAUGUCCUCAUUUCUGAAACAGAUGGUGUGUUGCAAGUUUCCUUUUGCAACACAAGUCUUAUUGCAAAAAUAUUUGCAAUGAGGUUAGUGUUGCAAAUAUAUUUUUUGCAGCAGAGGUCUUGUGGCAUUUUUUUGCAACAGAGGUCUUGUUGCAUAUAUUUUUUGCAACACGCGUCUUGUUGCAUCUUUUACGUCUCCAAUUUUUUGCAACAUCGGUGUUGUUGCGGAAGGUAUUUUUGCAACGCGGAUGUUGUUGCAGAAAAAUUACAGUAAAGAUGUAGUGGCGGGCCACGCAUGGGACAUGCGUCACACGCUCAAGGCAGCGGACACGCGGUGUUGGAUCAGCCGGCUGUUCACAAGCUUUUCCCGUUUGAUUUCCUGUUCUCUAAUUUUCUGUAACAGUGCCUUUGUUGCAAAACUCCAUUGCAACAAAAUCUUUGUUACAAAAGUAUCUUUGACAUUUUCUUUGUAUUUCAGAAACAAGACUUUUGUUGCAAAAAUUGCAACAUCUGAGGCCUCUUCUCUACAUCUACAUACCUGCAACAAGAACUUUGUUGCAAAAAAAAUCCUCUUCUCUUUACUCCUACAAUAAAACCUUUGUUGUAAAGAACACUCUUCUCUUUAUUCCUGCAACAAGACCUUUAUUGUAUAAAAAAAUCUCUUUGCUACAUUCCUGCAACAAGAUCCUUUGCAAAAGUUACAACAUCUCCGACCUCUCCUCUGCAUUCCUGCAAUAAGACCUUUGUUGCAAAAAUUCCGUCUAAAGCAAUUGUAGCAUUAGCCCGUGGAUUUCGUCUACAAAUCAGCGAUGAGCGACACACGCCUAUAGCGUCCGGGGCCUGGCCUACAACACAUGCACCUUGAAGCAGGCACUCCAUGGACCUAGACGAUGAGGUUCCGUAGGUGACAGGAGCAUCAUCAAUUUAUUCAUACACACUCCAUGGAUCCUGCAACAAGACCUUUGUUGCAUCUGGUGCUUGCUACUUGUUGCUAGCAGCGCCUCCUCGCAGCAGCGUCUUCGCGGUGUCGGCUGUCCAUGGAAGCACGAAGGAGGAAAAGGAGAGAGCAUUGUCUUAUAUGUUGCCGGAGUAGGGAGAGAAUUGGGAAAAAGAAGAUAUGAGGAAGACGGAUCGAAUGAGUGGAUAAGGUCGAGUGAGAAGAUAGCGUUUCGGGAAGUUUCUCGUCUCCUCUACGCCUUCACUUGGUUGGUCCGAUCAAAACGAAUCAGACGGUCCGGCGUGUGAACAAUGGAGCAAGUGGGAUCAGCCGACUCAUUGGAUCAUUUCCCCAAUAUUUUCCCCUCGUCGUUUUUAAGUUUAUGAAGUUUGUUAGCGGGCUUAAAUUUCCAAGUUCAUACUAUUUUUGACUUAUAGCUUCUACUGUAUAAAUGCAUUGCUUCCUGGAUGUCUAGAAACUGAAGAUCUCCAUGUACAUGCUUUACAUUAAUGGUAAAAGACAAUAGGACCCAUUGACAUCAACUGUCUAGUGAUGUUGGAUGCUCUCAGUGUCUUCAUUACUUACUCCCUUAAGGUUCCUGAUGUCUUUCAUUCCUAUAGUUCUUGAGCAUCCCUUUUGCUUCUUUUUGGCUUGCACAAUAUAAUAAUGAAGAUUUGUGGGUACAUUUCUUAAGUUUUUUUGAGAAUUGUGUGACAUACUUAGACAAUCUGGGACCUUGAAGGCUUGUUGAGAAGGGAGAGAAAAAUAGCAGUAGAAAUGGUGAAAGGAUCAAUAUGGUUGACUAGAGGGGGGUGGUGAAUAGGCAACUAACAAUUUUUAGCUUUUCUUGACCAAAUUAAACUUAGCAUCAAAGUAGGUUGUCUAGAUGUGCAACUAGGUGAACAACCUAUAUGAUGCAACAACAACAAGCACACAAGCAAGCUAGGAAAACAACACAAUAUAAUCUUGCACAAGUAAAGGUAAGAAAUAACCAAUAGCGAAGCCGGUGGAGACGAGGAUGUGUUACCGAAAUUCUUUCCCUUUGAGAGGAAGUACGUCUCCGUUAGAGUGGCGUGGAGGCACAAUGCUCCCCAAGAAGCCACUAGGGCCACCGCAUUCUCCUCACGCCCUCACACAAUGCAAGAUAUCAUGAUUCCAUUAUUGGUGCCCUUGAAGGUGAAACUUUACAAACAAGGUUGGGGCUAUCUCCACAAUUCAAUUGGAGGCUCCCAACAAUACCACGGAGCUUCACCACAAUGGAAUGCGGCUCCGAGGUGACCUCAACCGUCUAGGGUGCUCAAGCACCCAAGAGUAACAAGAUCCGCAAGGGAUUAGUGGGGGGAAUCAAAUUUCUCUUGGUGGAAGUGUAGAUCCAGGACUUCUCAACCAAUCCCUAAAGAAUCAACAAGUUUGAUUGGCUAGGGAGAAAGAUGGGGCGAAAAUGAGCUUUAGAGCAACAAUGGAGCUUGGGGGAAAAGAGGUAAGUCAACUUGAGGAAGAAGACCUCCUUUUAUAGUUGGGGGACAAUCCAACGGUUACCCCCUUUUCAGCCCGCACAGAGCGGUACUACUGCUCAGUGGGGCGAUACUACCGCUGGUGCCAGUGGUACUACCGCGGUGACUGAGAACAUAUGCCUCUAAGGGGGAAUGGGAGGGAGAGAGAGGGUUUGGGCGGCACUAGUAGCGGUGGUAGCCGCGGUACUACCGCUCACGGGCGGUACUACCGCUGCUACUGCCGCACAACCCGACAUGAGGAGAGCACCCUCGAAUCAAGGCGAUAGCAGUGCCAACCAAGGACGAUACUGCCGCCAAUGCACCCAAGCGGUACUACCGCUGUGGAACGGUGGUAUUACCGCUUGAGGACCAUGGGCGGUACUACCGCUCUGGCGGCAGUACUACCGCUAGCACCUCACAACCUCCACUUCGAUGAAAUCACAAACUCCAAGGAAAUGAAAUGAGCUAGGGUGCAAAUAUGAAGUGUACGUGUUGAUUCCACCCUAGCUUUUACAAUGCGGACCCCCUCUUGAUAGUAUAGUGUCUCCUACGACUCAAGUCCACCAAAACCGAAACGAAAGAGACUACACCGUCUUCACUUAAAACUCCGAGGGGCAACGAAUAGUCUUGUGCCUAGACAUGGGAUACCUGAAAUGCUCAAUGCACAUGAUUAGUCCGCAAAAGCAUUGUCAUCAAUCACCAAAAACCACAUAGGGAGAAAUAUGCCCUUACAAUCUCCCCCUUUCUGGUGAAUUGAUGACAAUACGGGAUUUGCACAUAAGGAUAUGAAAUGAACAUAAGCAAACCCAACAACUAUAAAAUAUAGAUAGGCUCCCCUAGAUGUGUGCAAUCUAUAGAUAUGCUUUGGACUGCACGACGCACAUACUAGGAUCAACACUCCCCCUAUAUUUUAUAGACGAGGCAAAACACGCAACCAUAUUAGAGACAAUAAGCAUGGAGGCAAGGUAAAGUAAGUGAGCAUGAAGUAAGGGGCACAAAAGCUCACAAUAUACUAAACAUACUAGACAAUAAGAUAAGCUUGACAGCAUAUGUCUGUCUUGCACCAUAUGAUAGUCUCCUGGUCUCACACGAACACAACCACAAACCAGCAAACCAAAGCAACGAAGGUUCAAAGGAACGAAAGCAAAGCGACACAAGACUCGACACAAGGCUCGCAAAUCCUACAUUCUCUCCCCCUUUGGCAUCGAGACACCAAAAAGGCAGAGAGGACACCUACGACACAAGUGGUGGUAGACCUCCAAAGCAUCACCAGUCAUGUUCCUCCUCCUCAGACUCCUCUGCAGCACGGGAUGAAGAGCGAACUCUGGUAUCCUCCUCAGACUCACUCCACUGGUAGUGCUGACGGAUCCAUGGUUCCUCAUCUGUGAUUGUCUCCUCGGAGCCACUCGCAACCUCAAGACCAACCUACCUCAUAAUUGCCUUGUCGCGACGACGAGCCAUCUUGGCGUUCACAUGAGCCUUGUACUAUCCCUUGGCCUGCAUGCAGAUCAGAGCCUUCAUCUUGGCCUUAAGCUUCUUAGCCCAUGAGGGCUCUGCUCCAGAGGGCACAUAAUCCUCAUCAUCGUCAGCAUCAGCCUCUGCCUCAACCUCGUCAACACCUAACGGAAACCCAGACUUCGGAACCGAAGUGCCCCAGUUCUCCUUCUUCCUUAGACGCUUGAUAUCAUGAGAGAUCAACUCGCUAGUCUCCAGCACGACACCAGGAUAAGUGUGCUCCCAAGCCUUCUCAAUAAGCAACAUGAUAAAUGGACCAUAGAUAAGGCACUUGCGCUCGGAGAUAGCGGAGAGAAGCUCAGACCACAUGACAUGAGAGAUAUCCAGGGAACCUCCAGUGUUUUCUUCCUUCUCAUGCUGACAGAAAAGUAAUAUGUCCAUGAGGAAUGAGUGAACCAUAUCCAAGUUCCCAAUGCGUGGGAAAAGAGUCUCCCUGAAGAUGCGAUGAAGAAUGUCAAGUAGAUAGGCAACUCAUACGUCUCCUUCCACGUCUCGGGGUUAAUCUUCACAGUGCAGAAUGGCCAGAGAGCUUACUCGUGGGUAGAGGUUGUCUUUCGGUGAGGACGAAAGCCAACCGGGUUCUCAAGCCCUUGAUCUUCAAUCUCAAACAAUUCCAUGAACGCCUUCCAUUUGACAGACAGAAGCUUGCCAUUAGUCAUCCAAGUCAAGGUUCUUUCCGCAUCAGUGCCCAAAUGAACUUUGGCAUAGAACUGAGCCACCAAAUCCGCAUCAAAGUCCUUGUUGAACUCCAUGAUCCUGAGAAUAUUCAGUUGAGAGUACAUCUGCAGAGCUUUAGGCAGGAUCCUUCUCCAUAUAGGCAAUGUCGAUGGAGCGGACAUUGGCAAAACGAUUCUUCUUUGCCUUGAUCACAUCAAAAUAGAUUGCUGAUGACCCACAAGUUUAGGGGAUCAAUCGUAGUCCUUUCGAUAAGUAAGAGUGUCGAACCCAACAAGGAGCAGAAGGAAAUGAUAAGCGGUUUUUGGUAAGGUUUUCUCUGCAAGCACUGAAAUAGUAGGUGAUAGAUAGUUUUGUGAUAAGAUAAAUAGUAACAAGUAACAAGUAAAUAAAGUAAAUAAAGUGCAGCAAGGUGGCCCAAUCCUUUAUGUAGCAAAGGAUAAGCCCGGACAAUUUCUAAUAAUGAGAAAGGAGCUCCCGAGGACACAUGGGAAUUAUCGUCAAGCUAGUUUUCAUCACGUUCAUAUGAUUCGCGUUCGGUACUUUGAUAAUUUGAUAUGUGGGUGGACCGGUGCUUGGGUACUGCCCUUACUUGGACAAGCAUCCCACUUAUGAUUAACCCCUAUUGCAAGCAUCCGCAACUACAAAAGAAGUAUUAAGGUAAACCUAACCACAACAUUAAACAUAUGGAUCCAAAUCAGCCCCUAAUGAAGCAACGCAUAAACUAGGGUUUACGCUUCUUUCAUUCUAGCAACCCAUCAUCUACUUAUUACUUCCCUAUGCCUUCCUCUAGGCCCAAAUAAUGGUGAAGUGUCAUGUAGUCGACGUUCACAUAACACCACUAGAGGAAAAGACAACAUACAUCUCAUCAAAAUAUCGAACGAAUACCAAAUUCACAUGACUACUAAUAGCAAGACUUCACCCAUGUCCUCAGGAACAAACGUAACUACUCACAAAGCCUAUUCAUGUUCAUAAUCAGAGGAGUAAUAAUAUGCAUAAAGAAUUUGAGCAUAUGAUCUUCCACCAAGUAAACCAAUUAGCAUCAACUACAAGGAGUAAUCAACACUACUAGCAACCCACAGGUACCAAUUUGUGGUUUUGAUACAAGAUUGGAUACAAGAGAUGAACUAGGGUUUUGAGAGGAGAUGGUGCUGGUGAAGAUGUUGAUGGAGAUUGACCCCCUCCCGAUGAGAGGAUUGUUGGUGAUGACGUUGGUCAUGAUUUCCCCCUCCCGGAGGGAAGUGUCCCCGACAGAACAGCUCCGUUGGAGCAAUAGAUUGGUUCCGCCAAGGUUCCGCCUCGUGGCGGCGGAGUUUCAUCCCGUAAGGUGAAGGAAAUAUGCCCUAGAGGCAAUAAUAAAGUUAUUAUUUAUUUCCUCAUAUCAUGAUAAAUGUUUAUUAUUCAUGCUAGAAUUGUAUUAGCCAGAAACAUGAUACAUGUGUGAAUACAUAGACAAACAUAUAGUCACUAGUAUGCCUCUACUUGACUAGCUCAUUAAUCAAAGAUGGUUAUGUUUCCUAACCAUAGACAUGUGUUGUCAUUUGAUUAAUGGGCUCACAUCAUUAGGAGAAUAAUGUGAUUGACAUGACCCAUUCCGUUAGCCUAGCACUUGAUCGUUUAGUAUAUUGUUAUUGCUUUCUUCAUGACUUAUACAUGUUCCUGUAACUAUGAGAAUUAUGCAACUCCCGUUUACCGGAGGAACACUUUGGGUACUACCAAACGUCACAACGUAACUGGGUGAUUAUAAAGGAGUACUACAGGUGUCUCCGAAGGUACAUGUUGAGUUGGCGUAUUUCGAGAUUAGGUUUUAUCACUCCGAUUGUCGGAGAGGUAUCUCUGGGCCCUCUCGGUAAUGCACAUCAUUAUAAGCCUUGCAAGCAAUGUGACCAAAUGAGUUGGUUACGGGAUAAUGCAUUACAGAACGAGUAAAGAGACUUGCCGGUAACGAGAUUGAACUAGGUAUUGGAUACCGACGAUCAAAUCUCGGGCAAGUAACAUACCGAUGACAAAGGGAACAACGUAUGUUGUUAUGCGGUUUGACCGAUAAAGAUCUUCGCAGAAUAUGUAGGAACCAGUAUGGGCAUCCAGGUCCCGCUAUUGGUUAUUGACCGAGAAUGGUUCUAGGUCAUGUCUACAUAGUUCUCGAACCCGUAGGGUCCGCACGCUUAAUGUUACGAUGACAGUUUUAUUAUGAGUUUAUAAGUUUUGAUGUACCAAAGUUUGUUCGGAGUCCCGGAUGUGAUCACGGACAUGACGGGGAGUCUCGAAAUGGUCGAGACAUAAAGAUUGAUAUAUUGGACGACUAUAUUCGGACACCGGAAGUGUUCCGGGUGAUUUCGGAGAAAACCGAAGUGCUGGAGGGUUACCGGAACCCCCCCGGAGAGUUAAUGGGCCACAUGGGCGUUGGUGGGAAGAGAGAGGGGCGGCCAGGAAGGGCCGCGCGCCCCCUCUCCCUCUGGUCCGAAUUGGACUAGGAGGGGGGGGGCGCCCCCCUCUUUCCUUACCCUCCUCUCCCCCUUCCUUCCCCUCCUAGUAGGAGUAGGAAAGGAGGAGUCCUACUCCUACUAGGAGGAGGACUCCUCCUCCUGGCGCGCCCAACAAGGGCCGGCCGGCCUCCCCCCUCCCUCCUUUAUAUACGGGGGCAGGGGGCACCCCACAGACACACAAGUUGAUCUACGCAUCGUUCCUUAGCCGUGUGCGGUGCCCGCCUCCACCAUAUUCCACCUCGGUCAUAUCGUCGCAGAGUUUAGGAGAAGCCCUGCGCCGGUAGAGCAUCAUCAUCGUCACCACGCCGUCGUGCUGACGGAACUCAUCCCCGAAGCUUUGCUGGAUCGGAGCCCGGGGAUCGUCAUCGAGCUGAACGUGUGCUGAACUCGGAGGUGUCGUACGUUCGGUACUUGGAUCGGUCGGAUCGUGAAGACGUACGACUACAUCAACCGCGUUGUGUUAACGCUUCCUUUUGCGGUCUACGAGGGUACAUGGACAUCACUCUCCCCUCUCGUUGCUAUGUCAUCACCAUGAUCUUGCGUGUGCGUAGGAAUUUUUUUGAAAUUACUACGUUCCCCAACAGUGGUAUUAGAGCCUAGGUUUUAUGCGUUGAUGUUAUAUGCACAAGUAGAACACAAGUGAGUUGUGGGCGAUAUAAGUCAUACUGCUUACCAUCAUGUCAUACUUUGGUUCAGUGGCAUUGUGAGAUGAAGCGGCCCGGACCGACAUUACGCGUACGCUUACGCGAGACUGGUUUCACCGCUGUGAGCACUCGUUGCUUAAAGGUGACCGGCGGGUGUCUGUCUCUCUCACUUUAGUUGAACCGAGUGUGGCUACGCCCGGUCCUUGCGAAGGUUAAAACAGCACCAACUUGACAAACUAUCAUUGUGGUUUUGAUGCAUAGGUAAGAACGGUUCUUGCUAAAGCCCGUAGCAGCCACGUAAAAUUUGCAACAACAAAGUAGAGGAUGUCUAACUUGUUUUUGCAGGGCAUGUUGUGAUGUGAUAUGGUCAAGACGUGAUGCUAUAUUUUAUUGUAUGAGAUGAUCAUGUUUUGUAACCGAAGUUAUCGGCAACUGGCAGGAGCCAUAUGGUUGUCGCUUUAUUGUAUGAAAUGCAAACGCCCUGUAAUUGCUUUACUUUAUCACUAAGCGGUAGCGAUAGUCGUAGAAGCAAUAGAUGGUGUAACGACAACGAUGCUACGAUGGAGAUCAAGGUGUCGCGCCGGUGACGAUGGUGAUCACGACGGUGCUUCGAAGAUGGAGAUCACAAGCACAAGAUGAUGAUGGCCAUAUCAUAUCACUUAUAUUGAUUGCAUGUGAUGUUUAUCCUUUAUGCAUCUUAUCUUGCUUUGAUUGACGGUAGCAUUUUAAGAUGACCUCUCACUUAAUAAUCAAGAAGUGUUCUCCCUGAGUAUGCACCAUUGCGAAAGUUCUUCGUGCUGAGACACCACGUGAUGAUCGGGUGUGAUAGGCUCUACGUUCAAAUACAAUGGGUGCAAAACAGUUGCACACACGGAAUACUCAGGUCAUACUUGACGAGCCUAGCAUAUACAGAUAUGGCCUCGGAACACGGAGACCGAAAGGUCGAACAUGAAUCAUAUAGUAGAUAUGAUCAACAUAGUGAUGUUCACCAUUGAAACUACUCCAUCUCACGUGAUGAUCGGACAUGGUUUAGUUGAUUUGGAUCACGUGAUCACUUAGAUGACUAGAGAGAUGUGUGUCUAAGUGGGAGUUCUUAAGUAAUAUGAUUAAUUGAACUUAAAUUUAUCAUGAACUUAGUACCUGAUAGUAUCUUGCUUGUCUAUGUUUGUUUGUAGAUAGAUGGCUCGUGCUGUUGUUCCGUUAAAUUUUAAUGCGUUCCUUGAGAAAGCAAAGUUGAAAGAUGAUGGUAGCAAUUACACGGACUGGGUCCGUAACCUGAGGAUUAUCCUCAUUGCUGCACAGAAAAGUUACAUCCUGGAAGCACCGCUGGGUGCCAGGCCUGCUGCUAAUGCAACUGACGACGUUAAGAACGUCUGGCAGAGCAAAGCUGAUGACUACUCGAUAGUUCAGUGUGCCAUGCUUUACGGCUUAGAACCGGGUCUUCAACGACGUUUUGAACGUCAUGGAGCAUAUGAGAUGUUUCAGGAGUUGAAGUUAAUAUUUCAAGCAAAUGCCCGGAUUGAGAGAUAUGAAGUCUCCAAUAAGUUCUAUAGCUGCAAGAUGGAGGAGAAUAGUUCUGUCAGUGAACACAUACUCAAAAUGUCUGGGUAUAAUAAUCACUUGAUCCAACUGGGAGUUAAUCUUCCUGAUGAUAGUGUCAUUGACAGAAUUCUCCAAUCACUGCCACCAAGCUACAAGAGCUUCGUGAUGAACUAUAAUAUGCAAGGGAUGAACAAGACUAUUCCCAAGCUCUUCGCAAUGCUAAAGGCUGUGGAGGUAGAAAUCAAAAAGGAGCAUCAAGUGUUGAUGGUUAACAAGACCACCAGUUUCAAGAAAAAGGGCAAAGGGAAAAAGAAGGGGAACUUUAAAAAGAACAGCAAGCAAGUUGCUGCUCAAGAGAAGAAACCCAAGUCUGGACCUAAGCCUGAAACUGAGUGCUUCUACUGCAAGCAGACUGGACACUGGAAGCGGAACUGCCCCAAGUAUUUGGCGGAUAAGAAGGAUGGCAAAGUGAACAAAGGUAUAUGUGAUAUACAUGUUAUUGAUGUGUACCUUACUAAUGCUCGCAGUAGCACCUGGGUAUUUGAUACUGGUUCUGUUGCUAAUAUUUGCAACUCGAAACAGGGACUACAAAUUAAGCGAAGAUUAGCUAAGGACGAGGUGACGAUGCGCGUGGGAAAUGGUUCCAAAAUCGAUGUGAUCACGGUCGGCACGAUACCUCUACAUCUACCAUCGGGAUUAGUUUUAGACCUAAAUAAUUGUUAUUUGGUGCCAGCGUUGAGCAUGAACAUUAUUUCUGGAUCUUGUUUGAUGCGAGACGGUUAUUCAUUUAAAUCAGAGAAUAAUGGUUGUUCUAUUUAUAUGAGUAAUAUCUUUUAUGGUCAUGCACCCUUGAAGAGUGGUCUAUUUUUAUUGAAUCUCGAUAGUAGUGAUACACACAUUCAUAGUGUUGAAACCAAAAGAUGCAGAGUUGAUAACGAUAGUGCAACUUAUUUGUGGCACUGCCGUUUAGGUCAUAUCGGUGUAAAGCGCAUGAAGAAACUCCAUACUGAUGGGCUUUUGGAAUCACUUGAUUAUGAAUCACUUGGUACUUGCGAACCGUGCCUCAUGGGCAAGAUGACUAAAACGCCGUUCUCCGGAACUAUGGAGCGAGCAACUGAUUUAUUGGAGAUCAUACAUACUGAUGUCUGUGGUCCAAUGAAUGUUGAGGCUCGCGGCGGGUAUCGUUAUUUUCUCACCUUCACAGAUGAUUUGAGCAGAUAUGGGUAUAUCUACUUAAUGAAACAUAAGUCUGAAACAUUUGAAAAGUUCAAAGAAUUUCAGAGUGAAGUGGAAAAUCAUUGUAACAAGAAAAUAAAGUUUCUACGAUCUGAUCGUGGAGGAGAAUAUUUGAGUUACGAGUUUGGUCUACACUUGGAACAAUGUGGAAUAGUUUCGCAACUCACGCCACCCGGAACACCACAAUGAAAUGGUGUGUCCGAACGUCGUAAUCGUACUUUACUAGAUAUGGUGCGAUCCAUGAUGUCUCUUACUGAUUUACCGCUAUCGUUUUGGGGUUAUGCUUUAGAGACGGCCGCAUUCACGUUAAAUAGGGCACCAUCAAAAUCCGUUAAGACGACGCCUUAUGAACUGUGGUUUGGCAAGAAACCAAAGUUGUCUUUUCUUAAAGUUUGGGGCUGCGAUGCUUAUGUGAAGAAACUUCAACCAGAUAAGCUCGAACCCAAAUCGGAGAAAUGUGUCUUCAUAGGAUACCCAAAAGAGACUAUUGGGUACACCUUCUAUCACAGAUCUGAGGGCAAGAUUUUCAUUGCUAAAAUCGGAUCCUUUCUAGAGAAGGAGUUUCUCUCGAAAGAAGUGAAUGGGAGGAAAGUAGAACUUGAUGAGAUAACUGUAUCUACUCCCUUGUUGGAAACUAGUUCAUCACAAGAACCAGUUCCUGUGACAACUACACCAACUAGUGAGGAAGUUGAUGAUAUUGAUCAUGAAACUUCAGAUCAAGUUUCUACUGAACCUCGUAGGUCUACCAGAGUAAGAUCCGCACCAGAGUGGUACGGUAAUCCUAUUCGGAAGUCAUGUUACUUGACCAUGAUGAACCUACGAACUAUGAGGAAGCGAUGAUGAGCCCAGAUUCCGCAAAAUGGCUAGAGGCCAUGAAAUUUGAGAUGGGAUCCAUGUAUGAAAACAAAGUAUGGACUUUGGUUGACUUGCCCGAUGAUCGGCAAGCCAUUGAGAAUAAAUGGAUCUUUAAGAAUAAGAUUGACACUGAUGGUAAUGUAACUGUCUAUAAAGCUCGACUUGUUGCAAAAGGUUUUCGACAAGUUCAAGGGGUUGACUACGAUGAGACUUUCUCACCCGUAGCGAUGCUUAAGUCUGUCCGAAUCAUGUUAGCUAUUGCUGCAUUUCAUGAUUAUGAAAUUUGGCAAAUGGAUGUUAAAACUGCAUUCUUGAAUGGAUUUCUGGAAGAAGAGUUGUAUAUGAUGCAACCAGAAGGUUUUGUUGAUCCAAAAGGUGCUAACAAAGUGUGCAAGCUCCAGCGAUCCAUUUAUGGACUGGUGCAAGCAUCUCAGAGUUGGAAUAAACGUUUUGAUAGUGUGAUCAAAGCAUAUGGUUUUAUACAGACUUUUGGAGAAGCCUGUAUUUACAAGAAAGUGAGUGGGAGCUCUGUAGCAUUUUUGAUUUUAUAUGUAGAUGACAUAUUAUUAAUUGGAAAUGAUAUAGAAUUUCUGGAUAGCAUAAAGGGAUACUUGAAUAAAAGUUUUUCAAUGAAAGACCUCGGUGAAGCUGCUUACAUAUUGGGCAUCAAGAUCUAUAGAGAUAGAUCAAGACGCUUAAUAGGACUUUCACAAAACACAUACAUUGACAAAAUUUUGAAAAAGUUCAAAAUGGAUCAGGCAAAGAAAGGUUUCUUGCCUGUGCUACAAGGUGUGAAGUUGAGUCAAACUCAAUGCCCGACCACAGCAGAAGAUAGAGAGAAAAUGAAAGAUGUUCCCUAUGCUUCAGCCAUAGGCUCUAUCAUGUAUGCAAUGCUGUGUACCAGACCUGACGUAUGCUUAGCAAUAAGUUUGGCAGGAAGGUACCAAAGUAAUCCAGGAGUGGAUCACUGGACAGCGGUCAAGAACAUCCUGAAAUACCUAAAAAGGACUAAGGAUAUGUUUCUCGUAUAUGGAGGUGACAAAGAGCUAGUCGUAAAUGGUUACGUUGAUGCAAGCUUUGACACUGAUCCGGACGAUUCUAAAUCGCAACGGAUACGUGUUUUUAUUAAACGGUGGAGCUGUAAGUUGGUGCAGUUCUAAACAAAGCGUCGUGGCGGGAUCUACAUGUGAAGCGGAGUACAUAGCUGCUUCUGAAGCAGCAAAUGAAGGAGUCUGGAUGAUGGAGUUCAUUACCGAUCUGGGUGUCAUACCUAGUGCAUCGGGACCAAUGAAUAUCUUCUGUGACAAUACUGGUGCAAUUGCUUUGGCAAAGGAAUCCAGAUUUCACAAGAGGACCAAGCACAUCAAGAGACGCUUCAAUUCCAUUCGGGACCAAGUCCAAGUGGGAGACAUAGAGAUUUGCAAAAUACAUACGGAUCUGAAUGUUGUAGACCCGUUGACUAAGCCUCUCUCACGAGCAAAACAUGAUCAACACCGAGACUCCAUGGGUGUUAGAAUCAUUACUAUGUAAUCUAGAUUAUUGACUCUAGUGCAAGUGGGAGACUGAAGGAAAUAUGCCCUAGAGGCAAUAAUAAAGUUAUUAUUUAUUUCUUCAUAUCAUGAUAAAUGUUUAUUAUUCAUGCUAGAAUUGUAUUAACCGGAAACAUGAUACAUGUGUGAAUACAUAGACAAACAUAUAGUCACUAGUAUGCCUCUACUUGACUAGCUCAUUAAUCAAAGAUGGUUAUGUUUCCUAACCAUAGACUUGUGUUGUCAUUUGAUUAAUGGGAUCACAUCAUUAGGAGAAUGAUGUGAUUUACAUGACCCAUUCCGUUAGCCUAGCACUUGAUCGUUUAGUAUAUUUCUAUUGCUUUCUUCAUGACUUAUACAUGUUCCUGUAACUAUGAGAAUUAUGCAACUCCCGUUUACCGGAGGAACACUUUGGGUACUACCAAACGUCACAACGUAACUGGGUGAUUAUAAAGGAGUACUACAGGUGUCUCCGAAGGUACAUGUUGAGUUGGCGUAUUUCGAGAUUAGGUUUUGUCACUCCGAUUGUCGGAGAGGUAUCUCUGGGCCCUCUCGGUAAUGCACAUCAUUAUAAGCCUUGCAAGCAAUGUGACCAAAUGAGUUGGUUACGGGAUAAUGCAUCACGGAACGAGUAAAGAGACUUGCCGGUAACGAGAUUGAACUAGGUAUUGGAUACCGACGAUCAAAUCUCGGGCAAGUAACAUACCGAUGACAAAGGGAACAACGUAUGUUGUUAUGCGGUUUGACCGAUAAAGAUCUUCGUAGAAUAUGUAGGAACCAGUAUGGGCAUCCAGGUCCCGCUAUUGGUUAUUGACCGAGAAUGGUUCUAGGUCAUGUCUACAUAGUUCUCGAACCCGUAGGGUCCGCACGCUUAACAUUACGAUGAUAGUUUUAUUAUGAGUUUAUAAGUUUUGAUGUACCAAAGUUUGUUCGGAGUCCCGGAUGUGAUCACGGACAUGACGAGGAGUCUCGAAAUGGUUGAGACAUAAAGAUUGACAUAUUGGACGACUAUAUUCGGACACCGGAAGUGUUCCGGGUGAUUUCGGAGAAAACCGGAGUGCCGGAGGGUUACCGGAACCCCCCCGGAGAGUUAAUGGGCCACAUGGGCGUUGGUGGGAAGAGAGAGGGGCGGCCAGGAAGGGCCGCGCGCCCCCUCUCCCUCUGGUCCGAAUUGGACUAGGAGGGGGGGGGGGCGCCCCCCUCUUUCCUUCCCCUCCUCUCCCCCUUCCUUCCCCUCCUAGUAGGAGUAGGAAAGGAGGAGUCCUACUCCUACUAGGAGGAGGACUCCUCCUCCUGGCGCGCCCAACAAGGGCCGGCCGGCCUCCCCCGUCCCUCCUUUAUAUACGGGGGCAGGGGGCACCCCAUAGACACACAAGUUGAUCUACGGAUCGUUCCUUAGCCGUGUGCGGUGCCCCCCUCCACCAUAUUCCACCUCGGUCAUAUCGUCGCGGAGUUUAGGCGAAGCCCUGCGCCGGUAGAGCAUCAUCAUCAUCACCACACCGUCGUGCUGAUGAAACUCAUCCCCGAAGCUUUGCUGGAUCGGAGCCCGGGGAUCGUCCUCGAGCUGAACGUGUGCUGAACUCGGAGGUGCCGUACGUUCGGUACUUAGAUCGGUCGGAUCGUGAAUACGUACGACUACAUCAACCACGUUGUGUUAACGCUUCCGUUUGCGGUCUACGAGGGUACGUGGACAUCACUCUCCCCUCUCGUUGCUAUGUCAUCACCAUGAUCUUGCGUGUGCGUAGGAAUUUUUUUGAAAUUACUACGUUCCCCAACAUAAGGUUGCCCACGAUUUUUUCCAGGGUAAAAGCUCUAAUAUAGAAGAAGAUGGACAACGGGGGCCCACCAGGGGGCCCAGGAGAUAGGGGGCGCGCCCAGUAGGGGGGUGCCCUCCACUCUCCUAGACAAGGUGUGGGCCCCCUGGUGUAUUUCUUUCGCCCAAUAAUUCUUAUUAAUUCCAAAAACAUGUUUCGUGGAGUUUCAGGAUUUUUGGAGCAGUGCAGAAUAGAUUUCCAAUGUUUGCUCCUUUUCCAGCCAGAAUUCCAGCUGCCGGCAUUCCCCCUCUUCAUGAUAAACCUUGUAAAAUAAGAGAGAAUAGCCAUAAGUAUUGAGAUAUAAUGUGUAAUAACAGCCCAUAAUGCAAUUAAUAUUGAUAUAAAAGCAUGAUGCAAAAUGGACGUAUCAACUCCCCCAAGCUUAGACCUCGCUUGUCCUCAAGCGGAAGCCGAAAUCGAAAAAUAUGUCCACAUGUUUAGAGAUAGAGGUGUCGAUAAAAAUAAAAUACAGAUAUGAGGGCAUCAUGAUCAUUCUUAUAACAGCAACAUAUAUAGAUUUUGUCAUAUGAUUUCUUAUGCUCAAGUAACAAUCAAUUCACAAUGUCAAGUAUGGUUCAAAUACUUCAUUGAGAACUAAUAAACUAUAAUCUCAGUCAUUGAAGCAAUUGCAAUUUAUCAUAACAUCAGAAAGAGUCAACAAUAGAGCCUUUCAGCAAGUUCACAUACUCAACUAUCUUGUAGGCUUCUACAAUUGCUAACACUCACGCAAUACUUGUGGUUAUGGAAUUUCAGCCGGACACUGAGAAAGAUAGGGGCUUAUUGUGUUGCCUCCCAACGUAUUCACCUUUAGGUGAUGUCAACAAUAAUAGCCCAUGCUAACUUACAUCCAAUUGGAUAUAUAUAUCAUGAUCUUUCAAACACGAGGAGCUUGCCAAAUGAUAAAAUGAAAAAGGGAAAGGUGAGAAUCACCUUGACUCAAGCAUAAAGUAAAAACAUAAAGUAAAAGAUAGGCCCUUCGCAGAGGGAAGCAGAGGUUGUCAUGUGCGUUUAGGGUUGAUGCACAAAAUCUUAAUGCAAAAGAACAUCACUUUAUAUUGCCCCUUGUUUGUGGACCUUUAUUAUGCAGUCCGUCGCUUUUAUUACUUCCACAACAAGAUCGUACAAAGCUUAUUUUCUCUGCACUAAUAAGUCAUACAUAUUUAGAUAGCAAUUUUUAUUGCUUGCAACAUGACAACUUACUUGAAGGAUCUUACUCAAUACAUAGGUAGGUAUGGUGGACUCUCAUGGCAAAACUGGGUUUAAGGAUAUUUGGAAGCACAAGUAGUAUCUCUACUUGGUGCAAGGAAUUUGGCUAGCAUGAGGGGGAAAGGCAAGCUCAACAUGUUUGGAAGGUCAAUGACAAUAUACUUUAACUGAGAUGUCGGAAAACAUAAACCAUUACAUUGUCUUCCUUGUCCAACGUCAACUCUUUUAGCAUGUCAUACUUAAUGAGUGCUCCCAAUUAUAAAAGGUGUCCAAAAUAAUAUAUUUAUAUGUGAAACCCUCUUUCCUUAUCACUUCCUAUUAAUCGCAACGAUGACCAAGGCUAAGUUUAUCAACUCUCAACAAUUUUUAUGCCUCAUACUUUCUAUGUGUGAAGUCAUCACUAUUCAUAAGAUCAAUAUGAACCCUUUUUUUCUUUCUACUUUCUCAAGAUCAUAGCAACAUAGCAAAGCCCUUGACUCAACACUAAUCUUUAUUAUAGAUAGCUCACGGACUCGAUUACAAAAAGAGAUCACAAUGCAAAACUCAAAACUACUUGAUAUCAAAACUUCAAUCUACUAGAUCAAGAUACUACUAAAAGGAUCGAACUAAAUAAAAUGAUAAAGAUAGGAGUGUGAUGGUGAUACGAUACCGGGGCACCUCCCCCAAGCUUGGCAGUUGCCAAGGGGAGUGCCCAUACCCAUGUGAUUAUGUCCUUAGAGGUGGUGAAGUAGGAGUUGUUGAUGAUGUAGGCUUGUCGUCCGUCUUCCAAGGCAUAGGCUCUCCAUCAUAGAAGGAUGAUCAAGUCUCCAGGAUCCUUAAAUCUGCAGCCAAACUCAUCCUCUUGAAUCUAUAUUCAUACUCACAGUUUUGGUUUUGCAGGUCAUAGAUCUUGGCUUGGAGGUGCUUGAUUUUCUCUUGAAGCUUGAAGAUGGUCUCCCCAAUGACUUUGGCAUCCAGCUUGUGGUUGUUGGUGAACUCCGUGAUCAUCAUCUGGUUGGCGUUGAGUCCACGCUCCACCAUCACUUGGCACUUGAAAACUUGCUGCUCCACGGCUUCGAGCUUUGUCUCCACGCUUCCGGUACGCCUUGGUCCCUCCACAUCGCGGAUGUGCAGCACCCCCCAUGCAUCUCAAUGGUUUGAGGGUGUUGCAGCACCUCCACGAGAUAGGGGUUGAUAACCCUCUCAAAAAACUUGUCCUUGGGAGCGCUUGGAGACGACAUGAUGCUCUAGAUCUGAAACAGAAAACAGCUCGAAACGAAAACAGAGGAUAUUUGCAUGAUACGGUGGUCAAAACCUUCAGGAGUAUAUAUAAUGAAUUUUUACCGACCAAAAUAUGCAACGUGCAAGAAAACGGAGUCCGGGAGGCACACGAGGUGCCCACGAGACAGGGGGGCGCGCCCUCCACUCUCGUGGAGGCCUCGUGACCCUUUCGGACUACUUCUUUCUUCCGAAAAUUCUUAAAUAUUCCAAAACUAAUAAAAAUUGCCAUUGGAGUUGUUUUGGAGUCGGUUUACCUACUGUACCACAUACCUAUUCCUUUUCGGAGUCUGGAACGUUCUGGAAAGUGUCCCUUAUGUAUUCCUCCGGGGUUACGGUUUCAAUAAUAAUAGUUUCAACAUUGAUAGGAUUACGUGAAAUAUAAUGUUUAAUUCUUUGACCGUUUACCACCCUCGGACUUGUGCCUUCGAAGUUGUUGAUUUUUAUGGCACCAGAACGAUAGACCUCCUCGAUAACUAAGGACCUUCCCAUUUUGAGAGAAGUUUUCCUGCAAAAAAAUCUUAAACGAGAGUUGAAUAAUAAAACAUAAUCUCCUACGUUAAACUCACGCUUUUGUAAUCUUUUGUCAUGCCAACGUUUGACUUUUUCUUUGAAUAGCUUGGCAUCCUCAUAGGCUUGAGUUCUCCAUUCAUCAAGGGAUCUAAUAUCAAACAACCUCUUCUCACCGGCAAGUUUGAAGUCAUAGUUGAGCUCUUUAAUAGCCCAAUAUGCCUUAUGUUCAAGUUCAAGAGGUAAAUGACACGCUUUUCCAUAAACCAUCUUAUAUGGAGACAUACCCAUAGGAUUUUUGUAUGCAGUUCUAUAGGCCCAUAAUGCAUCAUCAAGUUUUUUGGACCAAUUCUUUCUAGAUUUGUUCACAGUCUUUUGCAAAAUUAAUUUGAGCUCUCUAUUGCUCAACUCUACUUGACCACUAGACUGCGGAUGAUAAGGAGAUGCGAUUCUAUGAUUGACAUCAUACUUAGCAAGCAUCUUACAAAAAGCACCAUGAAUAAAAUGUGAACCACCAUCAGUCAUAAGAUAUCUAGGGACUCCAAACCUCGAAAAAAUAACAUCUUUAAGCAUUUUAAUAGAAGUGUUAUGAUCAGCACUACUAGUUGGAAUAUCUUCUACCCACUUAGUAACAUAAUCAACAACAACUAAAAUAUGUGUAUAACCAUUAGAGGCAGGAAAAGGUCCCAUAUAAUCAAAGCCCCAAACAUCAAACGGUUCAAUAACAAGAGAAUAAUUCAUAGGCAUUUCUUGACGUCUACUAAUGUUACCUAUUCUUUGGCAUUCAUCACAAGAUAACACAAACUUACGAGCAUCUUUGAAGAGAGUAGGCCAAUAAAAACCAGAUUGUAGUACCUUGUGUGCAGUUCUAUCUCCAGCGUGGUGUCCUCCAUAGGAUUCAGAGUGACACUUACGUAGGAUCUGUUCCUGUUCAUGCUCAGGCACACAACGUCUAAUAACACCAUUUACUCCUUCUUUAUAAAGGUGUGGGUCAUCCCAGAAGUAAUGUCUUAAAUCAUAAAAGAACUUUUUAUUUUGCUGGUAUGUGAAACUAGGCGGUAUAAAUUUAGCAACAAUGUAGUUAGCAUAAUCAGCAUACCAAGGAGCAGUACGAGAAGCAUUAACGAUCGCUAAUUGUUCAUCAGGAAACCUAUCAUCAAUAGGCAGUGGGUCAUCAAGAACAUUCUCUAACCUAGACAAGUUGUCUGCAACGGGGUUCUUAGCUCCCUUUCUAUCAAUAAUAUGCAAAUCAAAUUCUUGGAGCAAGAGAACCCUCUAAUGAGUCUAGGCUUAGCAUCUUUCUUUUCCAUAAGAUGUUUAAUAGCAGCAUGAUCAGUGUGAAUAGUAACUUUGGAAUCAACAAUAUAAGGUCUAAACUUAUCACAUGCAAACACAACUGCUAAGAAUUUGUUUUCAGUAGUAGCAUAAUUUCUCUGGGCAGUAUUAAGAGUCUUACUAGCAUACUGGAUAACAUUCAAUUUCUUAUCGACUCUCUGCCCUAGAACAACACCUACAACAUAAUCACUAGCAUUGCACAUAAUUUCAAAAGGUAAAUUCCAAUCAGGUGGCUGAACAAUAGGUGCAGUGAUCAAAGCUUUCUUAAGUAUUUCAAAUGCUUCUACACAAUCAUCAUCAAAGACAAAAGGAAUAUCUUUUUGCAAUAAAUUAGUCAGAGGCCUAGAGAUUUUAGAAAAGUCCUUAAUGAACCUCCUAUAAAAACCGACAUGACCAAGGAAACUUCUUAUACCUUUUAUGUCCUUGGGACACGUCAUCUUUUCAAUAGCAUCAACUUUGGCUUUAUCAACUUUAAUACCUCUCUCGGAGAUCUUAUGCCCCAAGACAAUGCCUUCAUUAACCAUAAAGUGACACUUUUCCCAAUUCAGGACGAGACUAGUGUCUUCGCAUCUCUGCAAAACUCGAUCAAGGUUGCUCAAACAAUCAUCAAAAGAGGAUCCGUAAACAAAAAAGUCAUCCAUGAAUACCUCACAAAUCUUUUCACAAAAAUCAGAGAAUAUAGCCAUCAUGCAUCUUUGAAAGGUAGCAGGUGCAUUACAUAAACCAAAAGGCAUACGUCUAUAAGCAAAAGUACCAAAAGGGCAAGUAAAAGUAGUUUUAGAUUAAUCCUUCGCUGACACGGGUAUUUGAGUGAAACCAGAAUAACCAUCUAGAAAGCAGAAAUGUGUGUGUUUGGAUAGUCUUUCUAGCAUUUGAUCAAUAAAAGGUAAAGGGUAAUGAUCUUUCUUAGUAGCUUUAUUUAACUUACGAAAAUCAAUUACCAUCCUAUAACCUGUAAUAAUUCUUUGCGGGAUCAAUUCAUCUUUAUCAUUAGGAACAACGGUAAUACCUCCCUUUUUAGGAACACAAUGUACAUGGCUUACCCAUUCACUAUCAGCAACGGGAUAAAUAAUACCUGCCUCAAGGAGCUUUAGUAUCUCCUUUCUUACCACUUCUUUCAUCUUGGGAUUUAGUCGUUGUUGAGGAUCUCUAACAGGUUCGGCAUCCUUCUCCACUAUAAUUUUGUGUUGGCAUAAUGUGGGACUAAUGCCCUUAAGAUCAUCCAGAGUAUAUCCAUAGCUGCUCUGUGCUACUUCAGAGUUUUCAAUAAUCGUUCUUCUUCUUGCUUUGAAAGGUUAGCACUAAUAAUAACAGGAUAUAUUUCCUUUUCAUCAAUAAGCAUACUUAAGAUUAUCAGGUAAUGGUUUGAGUUCAAACACGGGAUCACCCUUGGGUGGAGGAGGAUCCCCAAGAAUUUCAACGGGAAGGUUAUGUUUCAGCAUAGGUUCCUGUUUAAGGAACACUUCAUCUAUUUCCCUUCUUUCCUUCAUAAACAUAUCGUUUCAUGGUCUAGCAAAUAUUGUUCUAACGGAUCAGUAGGAGGCACGGCAAUGGAAGCAAGACCAAUAAUCUCAUCCUUACUAGGUUGUUCCCUAUCACGAGGUUGUCUAUGAAACUUAGCAAAAUUAAACUCAUGAGACAUACCAUCUAUGCCAACAGUGACAGUAUCUUUUUCACAAUCAAUCUUAGCAAUAGCUGUAUUCAAGAAGGGUCUACCAAAAAUAAUGGGACAAAAAUCAUCUUGUGGGGAACCAAGAACUAGAAAACCAGCAGGGUAUUUAACCUUUCCACACAAGACUUCAACAUCUCUAACAAUCCCAAUAGGUUUAAUGGUAUCCCUAUUAGCAAGCUUAAUAGUAACAUCAAUGCCUUCUAAUUCAAUGGGUGCAAUGUCGUGCAUAAUUUCUUUGUAUAGAUCAUAAGGUAUCGCACUAGCACUAGCACCCAUAUCACAUAAGCCAUGAUAACAAUGAUCUCCUAUUUUAACAGAAAUAACAGGCAUGCCUACGACAGGUCUAUGUAUCUUAGUAUCUGGUCUGGCAAUAUUAGCAGUCUCACCACAGAAAUCAAUAGCAUGCCCAUCUAAAUCAUCAUCCAAGAGAUCUUUAACCACAACAAUACUAGGUUCAACAUUAAUUUGCUCAGGAGGUGUAUAAGUCCUAGUAUUACUCUUACGAACAACAGUCGAAGCUUUAGCAUGAUCCUUUAUCCUAACAGGAAAGGGAGGUUUCUCAACAUAAGUAGUAGGAACAAUAGGAUCACUAUAGGUGAUAGUCUUUUCUUCAACUGUAAUAGGUGCAACUACUUUCACUUCAACAGGAGGAUUACAUUUAAACCACUUCUCUUUAGGGAGAUCAACGUUUGUAGCAAAAGAUUCACAGACAGAAGCUACUAUCUCAGAGUCAAGUCCAUACUUAGUGCUAAAUCCACGAAAAGCAUCGGUAUCCAUAAAAGAUUUAACACAAUUGAACUUAGGUGUCAUACCUGACUCCUUACCAUCGUCGGAAUCCCAAUCUUCAGAGUUGUGUUUAAUUCUUUCCAAUAAGUCCCAUUUGAAAUCAAUAGUCUUCAGCAUAUAAGAACCAACACACGAAGUAUCGAGCAGGUUGCGAUUAUCAAGAGAAAGCCGAGCAUAAAUGUAACAACCCAAAUUUUCAAUUUGGAAUGUUAUACAAAUAGAUCAUUAUUACAUAUCAUAUUUAAUGCAUUUUGCCUUGAUCCUGGAAAUUCUACGCAACUCAAGGACCCACGGAGAGAGUUGGGGAUUUCAUUAUUUUCAUAUUUGAGUUUUCUCAAAUUUUGGAAAUAGGAUCAUUUGAUUUUGUUUAUUUUAUCUUCAAUUAUUUCAAUUAUAAAAAUACGAGAGAGGGAAUAAAAUGACUUUCCCCAAAUAAAUAAAUAUUGAGGAUUAAAUAAAAAAAUCAAAUAAGAUUUUAUUUUGGAUUUUCUAGCUAUUUUAUUUGAAUUUAGGAAAAAUGCGUGUUUUUAAAAAUUGCAUUUAGGCCCCAAAUAAAUGUUCAUCUAAACCGACUUGAUUUUAGAAGCCGGGAAAAAUAUAUUUCGGGAUUUUUGGAGUCUGUUUAGUAUUUCUUUCGUUUGUUUUUCUGCGCGAUAAUUAUUAAAAAGAAGAGUCUGAACCGACCUACGGGCCGUAACCGGCGAGGACUCCGCCUGUCCGGGCCUUUAUAAGCUGCCGGCCCACCCCGGGGCCGAAACCCUAGCCGCUGCCCGCCUCGAACCCCGCGCCCGCCGCCGCCGCCUUCCGCCCCCGCCNNNNNNNNNNNNNNNNNNNNNNNNNNNNNNNNNNNNNNNNNNNNNNNNNNNNNNNNNNNNNNNNNNNNNNNNNNNNNNNNNNNNNNNNNNNNNNNNNNNNNNNNNNNNNNNNNNNNNNNNNNNNNNNNNNNNNNNNNNNNNNNNNNNNNNNNNNNNNNNNNNNNNNNNNNNNNNNNNNNNNNNNNNNNNNNNNNNNNNNNNNNNNNNNNNNNNNNNNNNNNNNNNNNNNNNNNNNNNNNNNNNNNNNNNNNNNNNNNNNNNNNNNNNNNNNNNNNNNNNNNNNNNNNNNNNNNNNNNNNNNNNNNNNNNNNNNNNNNNNNNNNNNNNNNNNNNNNNNNNNNNNNNNNNNNNNNNNNNNNNNNNNNNNNNNNNNNNNNNNNNNNNNNNNNNNNNNNNNNNNNNNNNNNNNNNNNNNNNNNNNNNNNNNNNNNNNNNNNNNNNNNNNNNCGCCGGAUCCCGCCGCCACCGCUGCCUUUCGCCACCCCGCACCCCGCCGCCCCGCCGUCCGCUGGAGCCGCCGCUGCCGCCGACCGCCGCCGGUUUUUCCUAGAAAACCGUUCGGUUUUCGCCGGUUUUCGUUUGGUUUUUUAGUUUCGUUUUUUUAUUUAUUAAAUCGGUUUUUUCGGUUUAGGUUAAUUAGCGAGCGUUCGCUCGUUCAUUCGUUUUAACGAACACAUUCAUCAAUUAGAUCCAGAUAACGAACGUUCGUUCGUUAAUCUGUUCAUCGUUUUCUUUUUCUCGGAUUUAUUCCGCGAUUUUUUCUGAUCGUGAUUUCUGAUCUGAUUUUCGUUUUAGUAUAACUUUUCGCUCGUUUAUCGGAAUCAGGCGAUUCAAGCGCCUGGAGUUUCGUCUCGAAGCCCUCUUUAUGAAUAAUCUACUCAAACCAGUUUUUGCUUCUGUAAAAUUUUGACUUAGGUCCAGAUUAGUAAACGAAGCUUGUUUCUUUCGCCGUUUGAGUUUUGUUUCUUCGUUCGAUUUGAUUCUUUUUGCAAACCGGAGUUCUUAAGUUGAACUUUCUGGUUAGAUCUUUUAUUUGAGUUUUACCCGUGCAUUAGAUGAGUACUUAUUGUAUGCUUGUUUGUUUGUUUGCUUGCGAUAGAGUACCCGGAUUGCGCCGCUUGCUACUUCGAAUCCCUAAGUUUCACGGAUCAGCAGCAAGGCAAGUAACACUUUGAUCAUACUUCUUUAUUACCCAGUUUUUAUGCAUUAGAUCAAUCCUCAAACAAUUGCAUGAUUAGGAUCUGAUUAAUAUGUGGGUUUUGGGAAGUAGAUGAGGUAGCACCUAUUACCAGUUUUAUUAUCAAACCCUUGGGAGUUACUUCUACAUUUGCUUUUUAUGCCAUGCUAUGCUGGUAGACGUGGAUUGGGUGGGUGUAUCCAUGACAGAUGUGAGAUUGUUAAUUAAUGGUUUAUUUAAGGUGGCAACUUUAAUACACAUCUGGGUGGAUUGAGGUACCUGGGUAUUCCAGGAUUGCCUGUUUGUUUUGGACCGCCACCAGGCUCAAAGGGAUCAUAAGAUUAUUCAUGCUAGAAACUUCCGUGUGCAGCCACAUGCUAUUAUGGGCUCUAGCAUAGUUGACUAAGUCAUGCGAACUCUUACAGUGGUAGACUAGAAGAUGUAGGGGAAAGUAGGUGUACAGGUCUACCCAUCGUAAGGUGCUAGCGCUUCUGAAAGACUAUGUCUCGGUCAUCCGUUUCUCAAACACCAUGUAGUGCGAGAAAACCAACGGAGGAGAUCGAGUCGUGUGGGGAAAAGUGCGCAAACCUCUGCAGAGUGUAUAAACUAAUCAUGAUUAGCCGUGUCCCCGGUUAUGGACGUUUUGAGUAUCUAGUACUUGGAUUAUCAUGUGAAUCUCAACAUGUUACUUUAAUUAAUAUUGUUGGGUUUGUUUAAUGAUGAUGUUACUUAAUUGGGAUUGAGAAUGCUGUGAACCAUUCUCAAUGUUUAACAACCACCAUGAUAGUUAAAUAAAUUUAUUCCUUUGCAGUAGGGAAAAAUUGGCUUUAUGCAAAACUGUAACCAUAGAGCUUUCCACCAGCCAUAUUAUGAUGUAGUAUAGCUUAUUUCUUUCAUUACUCUCUAUGUGUUACUUUGCCAGCAUAUUCCAUGUGCUGACCCGUUUUUCGGGCUGCAACGUUCAUGUUGCAGACUUUUCAGACGACGAGUAAGAUGCCUUAGGAUCGUGGUUCUAUACUUAGUGAUGUCGUUGGAGUUGAUGGACUCACUUAUCUUCCAAGCCUUCCGCUGUUAUCGUUAUUAGAUGGCCUUAAGCCAUAUUUAUUGUAAUAAGUUCUCUUUGGAGACAUUCGAUGUAAUAAGUGUGUGAUUACUACUCUGUUAUAAAUCCUUCGAGUACUGUGCAUGUCAGCAUUACUGAUCCAGGGAUGACACUGAUGCACAGAGAUCAGACUGUUUGAGGUUUGGUCGCUACAAGAUGGUAUCAGAGCACACGCUGACUGUAGGACACGACCACUAUGCAAAAGCCAUAGAUCACUAUUCUCUCUUCUCAUUUCUGACUCCUCAUCCUUUCACCUCUUUUAGGAUGGCGGAUGCAAGGAACAAGUUCAUGCAACCGGAUGAAGAUACACCCUUUGGACGACACCUGAAGGAACUCACCAAGUACCUGGAGAUCGAAGUACCAAGCUUCAGUGGGACUUACAAUGCCACUCUACCUGAAGAGGAGCGCUGGAUGAUUCAUGUUCAAGUUCCAGGAAGGACGUUCAUGUCUGUCACUGAGCCCAUAGAGUUUUCCUUUGAUGCACCAACCUGGAGCCUAGGAAAGAGCAUGGCAGCCCACAUCACCAUGGGACGUAUUGGAGAAGUUUACCAGAAGGAGCUUAAGGAUACAACCUACCAGAUUUUUGGGCGCCGAGAUGAGCAAUAGGAGAUGGUCAUCACCAGGAAGGACAGAUCAAUUGCAGCUUUCAUCCAGGAGUUAAACCAGCACAUUCGACGCCAGGAGAACCAGAUGUGUGGAGGCAUGAUGGAUCUGAAGAAGGCCAUGACCAAGAUCAUGGAACUGGAGGAAGAACUCAAGUCUACACGUGAUGGAUACGAGGAGGAGAUAGCAACGCUAGUCGAGAAGAAUGAAGAUCCAAAGAAGAAGUUAAGAGUGUUCAUGGGAUUUCCAGCAACUGGAGAAGACGAAGAUUGCACUUGUCCUGAGAACUACAUCAUCAUCGACGACACCGACUUGGACCCAGAUGAUAGUGAUGAUGACUAUGUUGAUGAAGCUAGAGCAGAUAUCAUGGAGUCUUCAUCGGAGCAGUUUUUCUAGUCGACCACCAUAACAGUAGUAGUAUUCCCCCAUGUAUCUAGUAUAGUCCGAGCACUUUUGUAACGAUAGAUAGACCGUUGUAUGCCCUUGCUUGUUUGAAUGAAGUGUUUUGAUUGAAAUUUGUCUCAUGUGCAUAUGGAUAGUGUUUUUCCCUCUAGACCUCAUUCUAUUAUGUAUUCUCAUCUUUUCUAAACCCUUAGAUGCCUCCGAGACGUGACAACGGAUUUGCUUUCCCACCGGAGCUCACCCAGUUGAUUCAGCAGCAGAAUGCAUUGAUGCAGAUACUAGUCCAGAAUCAGAAUCAGGGGAACAACAACAACAACCCACCACCACCACCACCUGUUGAUCACUUAACCCGUUUCCUUAGGUUGAAUCCACUGGUGUUUUCCAGUAGCACCGAGCCGAUUGUUGCAGAUGAUUGGCUUCGCAAGACAGCCAGGGAGUUGACCACUGCAGGAUGCACAGAUGUGGAGAAGGUGCGGUUUGCCGCACAUCAGCUUGAGGGACCCGCAUCAUCAUGGUGGGAGAAUUUCACAGCCACCUAUCCAGUAGACAUUGUCACAUGGGAUCAGUUUCAGCAGGCUUUUCGUACCGCUCAUGUUUCAGCAUGAGCUAUGGACAUGAAGAACCGUGAGUUUCGCAACUUACACCGGGGAGGAUGUACAGUUGGCCAGUACGUGGAUGAUUUCAGUAAACUAGCACGUUACGCCCCAGAUGACGUUGCUACGGGUGCAGCUAAACAGGAGGUAGUUCACACAAUCAUAAUGGUUCCAAGAAUGGUAACGGGAAUGGAGGAAGCAAUGGCCAGAACCGUACCAACCCCUCAACACCAGCCAAGAGAGAUCUGAGUCAAGUCACUUGUUUUAAGUGCCAGAAGACCGGACAUUACGCCAAUGAAUGUCCUGAAGGCCAAAAUGGGAAUGACAAUGGAAGCUCUGGGAAGAAGCCGAACCCUUUUAACAGAGGAAAAGUGAACCACAUUAGCGUGGAGGAGGUUGAAGCCCAGCCAGAUGCAGUAAUAGGUAAGUUUUUGGUUAAGUCAUUUACUACACUCGUUCUUUUUGAUACUGGUGCAUUGCAUUCAUACAUAUCAAGGGGAUUUGUGGAUAAGUAUAGACUGCCCACCAAGGUUCUAGGAACACCCAUGUUAGUAACCUCACCAGGAGCAGAGUAUAUGGCCAGUCGAGGAUGUUUUCAAGUGCCGUUGAGUAUAGGCAAGCAUGUUUUCCCCUCAGACUUAAUCAUUUUGGAAUCUCAAGGUUUGGAUGUGAUUCUGGGUAUGGAUUGGCUAUCGAUGUAUGGAGGAAACAUCGAUUGCACCAGUAAGUCGAUUUUGCUUACUACCCCAGAAGGGAGAAUGAUAAGGUAUGUAUCAAGACAUGAGCCAAAGAGGAGGCACGUAAAUUCCUUAUCAGGAAUUGUGCAGGAGGAAGUACCAGUAGUGAAGGAUUAUCCUGACGUAUUUCCAGAGGAGUUGCCCGGCAUGCCACCGGACAGAGACAUCGAGUUUUUGAUUGAGCUUUUGCCAGGCACAGGGCCAAUAUCCAAGAGACCAUGCAGGAUGCCAGCAAAAGAUUUGGAGGAGAUUAAGAGUCAGAUUAAGGAGUUAUUGGAUAAAGGUUAUAUUCUCCCAAGUUCUUCGCCUUGGGGAUCGCCAGUGCUUCUAGUGGAGAAGAAAGAUGGAUCAUUGAGGAUGGUUGUUGACUAUCGAGGCUUGAAUGCAGUAACAAUCAAGAACAAGUACCCACUGCCGAUGAUCAAUGAUCUGUUUGCCCGAUUGCAAGGGGCAAAGGUAUUUUCCAAGAUCGAUUUGUGAUCAGGAUACCAUUAGUUGAAGGUUCGAGAGCAGGAUAUACCUAAGACGGCUUUUACCACUAGGUAUGGGCUGUACGAGUAUACCGUUAUGUCUUUUGGUCUGACGAACACACCCGCCUAUUUCAUGAACAUGAUGAACAAAGUAUUUAUGGAGUUUUUGGAUAAGUUCGUCGUGGUGUUCAUUGAUGAUAUUUUGGUCUACUCAAAGAACGAAGAGGAGCAUAAAGAGCAUUUGCGCUUGGUUUUGGAGAAGCUCAGGGAACACCAGUUAUACGCCAAGUUCAGCAAAUGCGAAUUCUGGUUGAAGGAAGUUGGAUUUCUUGGACAUGUUAUAUCCGGGGAAGGUAUAGCAGUAGACCCCACCAAGGUUGUCACCGUGACAAAUUGGGUAGCACCAACAACAGUUGGAGAGAUCAGGAGUUUCCUUGGACUGGCAGGAUACUACCGAAGAUUCAUUGAGAAUUUCUCAAAGAUUGCAAAGCCUAUGACGGAGUUGUUGAAGAAAGAUACCAAGUUCAUUUGGACUGAGGAAUGUGAGGCCAGUUUCCAAGAAUUGAAGAAACGUUUGGUUACCUCGCCAGUGUUGAUUUUGCCAGAUCAGACCAAGGAUUACGAGGUGUAUUGCGACGCUUCACAUUGAGGACUUGGAGCAGUGCUUAUGCAGGAGGGGAGAGUUGUUUCGUAUGCUUCACGACAACUUAAACCCCAUGAGUUGAAUUAUGCCACACAUGAUUUGGAGUUAGCAGCCGUAGUGCAUGCAUUGAAGACAUGGAGACAUUUUCUUAUCGGAAACCAUUGUGAGGUGUAUACGGAUCACAAGAGUUUGAAGUACAUUUUCACGCAGAAGGAGUUGGAUCUCAGGCAAAGGAGAUGGUUGGAGCUCAUCAAGGAUUAUGACAUGAGAUUGCAAUAUCACCCCGGGAAGGCUAACGUAGUAGCCGAGCGUUGAGCCGUAAGAGCCAUGUCAAUACACUCAUAACCGCAGGAUUGCCAAAGGAGUUAGCCGAGGACCUUUGCGAGCUAUGUUUAGAGAUAGUUCCGAGAGGCUAUGUAGCAGCAUUGGAAAUUCAGCCAACUUUGAUGGAUAAGAUCAGGGAAGCUCAGAUGCCCGACAAGGAAAUUGUGGAGAUAAAGGGGAAGAUGAGCAAAGGAAAAGCAAAAGGAUUUCGUGAGGAUGAGCAUGAUACCUUAUGGUUUGAAGACCGUGUUUAUGUUCCAAAUAAUCCGGAGAUCAGGAAGUUGAUUUUGCACAAGGCUCAUGAUUCGCCGUAUUCGAUUCACCUAGGAAAUACCAAGAUGUAUUUGGAUUUGAAGGAAACCUUCUGGUGGACCAGAAUGAAAAAGGAUAUUGCGGAGUAUGUAGCAGUUUGUGAUGUAUGCCAGAGAGUAAAGGCAGAGCAUCAGAAGCCAGCAGGAUUGUUGCAACCAUUGCCGAUACCCGAAUGGAAGUGGGAUAAGCUAGGCCUGGGUUUUAUCACAGGAUUGCCCAGGACUCGUUCCGGCUAUGACUCGAUUUGGGUUGUAGUCGAUCGUUUGACGAAGGUAGCACAUUUCAUUCCAGUAAAGACCACUUACACCAGUGCUAAGUUGGCCAAGAUAUACAUGACCAGGAUCGUUUGUCUGCAUGGAGUUCCGAGGAGCAUUGUAUCAGAUAGAGGAACCCAGUUCACCUCAAAGUUCUGGAGCGUAUGGGAGAAGUUGCUUACAAGUUGGAAUUGCCCAAGGGAUUGUCAGGAGUUCACGACGUGUUCCACGUGUCCCAGUUGAAGAAGUGCCACGUGGAGAUGGCUGAUAUACCACUGAGAGAUACCGUGCCACUAGAGGCGAUUCAGUUGGACAGCGAUUUGACCUAUGAGGAGAAACUAGUCAAGAUUCUUGAGUAUGCCAGCCGAGUCACCCGCAACAAGGUUAUCAAGUUUUGCAAAGUUCAGUGGAGCCACCACACCGAGGAUGAAGCCACCUGGGAACGAGAGGAAGAUCUGCUCAAGGACCACCCUCACCUAUUUUCUAGUCAACCCGAAUCUCGAGGGCGAGAUUCAUCUUAAGGGGGGUAGGUUUGUAACAUCCCAAAUUUUCAAUUUAGAAUGUUAUACAAAUAGAUCAUUAUUGCAUAUCAUAUUUAAUGCAUUUUGCCUUGAUCCUAGAAAUUCUACGCAACUCAAGGACCCACGGAGAGAGUUGGGUAUUUCGUUAUUUUCAUAUUUGAGUUUUCUCAAAUUUUGGAAAUAGGAUCAUUUGAUUUUGUUUAUUUUAUCUUCAAUUAUUUCAAUUAUAAAAAUAUGAGAGAGGUAAUAAAAUGACUUUCCCAAAAUAAAGAAAUAUUGAGGAUUUAAUAAAAAAAUCAAAUAAGAUUUUAUUUUGGAUGUUCUGGCUAUUUUAUUUGAAUUUAGGAAAAAUGCGUGUUUUUCAAAAUUGCAUUUAGGCCCCAAAUAAAUGUUCAUCUAAACCGGCUUGAUUUUAGAAGCCUAGGAAAAUUUAUUUCGAGAUUUUUGGAGUCCGUUUAGUAUUUCUUUCGUUUGUUUUUCUGCGCGAUAAUUAUUUUAAAAAAAAGAGUCUGAACCAACCUACGGGCCGUAACCGGCCAGGACUCCGCCUGACCGGGCCUUUAUAAGCCGCCGGCCCGCCCCGGGGCCGAAACCCUAGCCGUCACCCGCCUCGAACCACGCGCCCGCCGCCGCCGCCUUCCGUCGCCGCCGCUGCCUUUCGCCGCCUCCGCCGCCNNNNNNNNNNNNNNNNNNNNNNNNNNNNNNNNNNNNNNNNNNNNNNNNNNNNNNNNNNNNNNNNNNNNNNNNNNNNNNNNNNNNNNNNNNNNNNNNNNNNNNNNNNNNNNNNNNNNNNNNNNNNNNNNNNNNNNNNNNNNNNNNNNNNNNNNNNNNNNNNNNNNNNNNNNNNNNNNNNNNNNNNNNNNNNNNNNNNNNNNNNNNNNNNNNNNNNNNNNNNNNNNNNNNNNNNNNNNNNNNNNNNNNNNNNNNNNNNNNNNNNNNNNNNNNNNNNNNNNNNNNNNNNNNNNNNNNNNNNNNNNNNNNNNNNNNNNNNNNNNNNNNNNNNNNNNNNNNNNNNNNNNNNNNNNNNNNNNNNNNNNNNNNNNNNNNNNNNNNNNNNNNNNNNNNNNNNNNNNNNNNNNNNNNNNNNNNNNNNNGCCCUGCACCCCGCUGCCCCGCCGUCCGCCGCCGCCGCCGCCCUGCCGUCCGCCGGAGCCGCCGCCGCCGCCGAGGUUGACCCGCCGCCGGUUUUUCCUAGAAAACCGUUUGGUUUUCGCCAGUUUUCGUUCAGUUUUUUUAGUUUCGUUUUUUUAUUUAUUAAAUCGGUUCUUUUGGUUUAGGUUAAUUAGCGAGCAUUCGCUCGUUCGUUCGUUUUAACGAACGCAUUCAUCAAUUAGAUCCAGAUAACGAACGUUCAUUCGUUAAUCUGUUCGUCGUUUUCUUUUUCUCGGAUUUAUUCCGCGAUUUUUCUGAUCGCGAUUUCUGAUCCGAUUUUUGUUUUAGUAUAACUUUUCGCUCGUUUAUCGGAAUUAGGCGAUUGAAGCGCCUGGAGUUUCCUCUCGAAACUCUCUUUCCGAAUAAUCUACUCAAACCAGUUUUUUCUUCUGAAAAUUUUGACUUAGGUCCAGAUUAGUAAACGAAGCUUGUUUUUUUCGCCGUUUGAGUUUUGUUUCUUCGUUUGAUUUGAUUCUUUUUGCAAAUCGGAGUUCUUAAGUUGAACUUUCUGGUUAGAUCUUUUAUUUGAGUUUUACCCGUGCAUUAGAUGAGUACUUAUUGUAUGCUUGUUUGUUUGCGAUAGAGUACCCGGAUUGCACCGCUUGCUACUUUGAAUCCCUAAGUUUCACGGAUCAACAGCAAGGCAAGUAACACUUUGAUCAUACUUCUUUAUUACCCAGUUUUUAUGCAUGAGAUCAAUCCUCAAACAAUUGCAUGAUUAGGAUCUGAUUAAUAUGUGGGUUUUGGGAAGUAGAUGAGGUAGCACCUAUUACCAGUUUUAUUAUCAAACCCUUGGGAGUUACUUCUACGUUUGCUUAUUAUGCCAUGCUAUGCUAGUAGACGUGGAUUGGCUGAGUGUAUCCAUGACAUAUUUGAGAUUGUUAAUUAAUGGUUUAUUUAAGGUGGCAACUUUAAUACACAUCUGGGUGGAUCGAGGUACCUGGGUAUUCCAGGAUUGCCUGUUUGUUUUGGACCGCCACCCAGGCUCAAAGGGAUCAUAAGAUUAUUCAUGCUAGAAACUUCCGUGUGCAGCCACAUGCUAUUAUGGGCUCUAGCAUAGUUGACUAAGUCAUGCGAACUCUUACAGUGGUAGACUAGCAGAUGUAGGGGAAAGUAGGUGUACAGGUCUACCCAUCGUAAGGUGCUAGCGCUUCUGAAAGACCAUGUCUCGGUCAUCCGUUUCUCAAACACCAUGUAGUGCGAGAAAACCAACGGAGGAGAUCAAGUCGUGUGGGGAAAAGUGCGCAAACCUCUGCAGCGUGUAUAAACUAAUCAUGAUUAGCCGUGUCCCUGGUUAUGGACGUUUUGAGUAUCUAGUACUUGGAUUAUCAUGUGAAUCUCAACAUGUUACUUUAAUUAAUAUUGUUGGGUUUGUUUAAUGAUGAUGUUACUUAAUUGGGAUUGAGAAUGUUGUCAACCAUUCUCAAUGUUUAACAACCACCAUGAUAGUUAAAUAAAUUUAUUCCUUUGCAGUAGGGAAAAAUUGGCUUUAUGCAAAACUGUAAUCGUAGAGCUUUCCACCAGCCAUAUUAUGCAUGUAGUAUAGCUUAUUUCUUUCAUUACUCUCUAUGUGUUACUUUGCCAGCAUAUUCCAUGUGCUGAUUUGUUUUUCGGGCUGCAACAUUCAUGUUGCAGACUUUUCAGACGACGAGUAAGAUGCCUUAGGAUCGUGGUUCUAUACUCAGUGAUGCCGUUGGAGUUGAUGGACUCACUUAUCUUCCAAGCCUUCCGUUGUUAUCAUUAUUAGAUGGCCUUAAGCCAUAUUUAUUGUAAUAAGUUCUCUUUGGAGACAUUCGAUGGAAUAAGUGUGUGAUUACUACUCUGUUAUAAAUCCUUUGAGUACUGUGCAUGUCAGCAUUACUGAUCCAGGGAUGACACUGAUGCACAGAGAUCAGACUGUUUGAGGUCUGGUCGCUACAAUAAAAGUUUUGAAUAAUCAUUUCCCUGGAGAGCUCAUGAUUGGGGUAUGAAUAUAACAUUGACUUAAGCCCCCCCCAAGCUUGAGCGAUGCUUUCUCCUUCGUGAGGCCAGAAAUUAUAUAUGUAAUUACGAUCACGAUGAACAAGUUGCAUAGGAUAGAACUUCUGGUGAAAUUCCAACUUCAAUCGCUUAUAAUUCCAAGAUCUCGUAUCAUCACAUAGCCUAUACCAUGUCAAUGCAUCUCCCUUUAAAGAUAAAGGGAAGACCUUCCUUUUGACAACAUCAUCGGGAAUACCUGCAAGCUUAAAUAAUCCACAAACUUCAUCCACAAAUAUAAGGUGUAAAUCAGGAUGCAAUGUUCCAUCUCCUGCAAAUGGAUUAGCUAGCAGUUUCUCUAUCAUACCCGAAGGAAUCUCAAAGUAAAUAUUUUCAUAAAUUUCAGUAGGUUGAGGAGAAACUCUUCGCUCUUCUGGUCGGGGUGAAGAUACCUCGAACAAACCCCUCAAAGGGUUAGUUUCUGUAGUGACAAGUAACAGAAAAUUUCAGCACACUAUAUAAAUGUUUCCUUACCAAGUUCCACUUACCAAAAGCGCUACACUCCCCGGCAACGGCGCUAGAAAAGAGUCUUGAUGACCCACAAGUGUAGGGGAUCAAUCUUAGUCCUUUCGAUAAGUAAGAGUGUCGAACCCAACGAGGAGCAGAAGGAAAUGAUAAGCGGUUUUCGGUAAGGUUUUCUCUGCAAGCACUGAAAUUGUAGGUGAUAGAUAGUUUUGUGAUAAGAUAAAUAGUAAUGAGUAACAAGUAAAUAAAGUAAAUAAAGUGCAGCAAGUUGGCCCAAUCCUUUAUGUAGCAAAGGAUAAGCCCGGACAAUUUCUAAUAAUGAGAAAGGAGCUCCCGAGGACACAUGGGAAUUAUCGUCAAGCUAGUUUUCAUCACGUUCAUAUGAUUCGCGUUCGGUACUUUGAUAGUUUGAUAUGUGGGUGGACCGGUGCUUGGGUACUGCCCUUACUUGGACAAGCAUCGCACUUAUGAUUAACCCCUAUUGCAAGAAUCCGCAACUACAAAAGAAGUAUUAAGGUAAACCUAACCACAACAUUAAACAUAUGGAUCCAAAUCAGCCCCUAACGAAGCAACGCAUAAACUAGGGUUUAAGCUUCUGUCACUCUAGCAACCGAUCAUCUACUUAUUACUUCCCUAUGCCUUCCUCUAGGCCCAAAUAAUGGUGAAGUGUCAUAUAGUCAACGUUCACAUAACACCACUAGAGGAAAAAACAACAUACAUCUCAUCAAAAUAUCGAACGGAUACCAAAUUCACAUGACUACUAAUAGCAAGACUUCACCCAUGUCCUCAGGAACAAACAUAACUACUCACAAAGCAUAUUCAUGUUCAUAAUCAGAGGAGUAAUAAUAUGCAUAAAGGAUCUGAGCAUAUGAUCUUCCACCAAGUAAACCAAUUAGCAUCAACUACAAGGAGUAAUCAACACUACUAGCAACCCACAGGUACCAAUUUGUGGUUUUGAUACAAGAUUGGAUACAAGAGAUGAACUAGGGUUUUGAGAGGAGAUGGUGUUGGUGAAGAUGUUGAUGGAGAUUGACCCCCUCCCGAUGAGAGGAUCAUUGGUGAUGACGUUGGUCAUGAUUUCCCCCUCCCGGAGGGAAGUGUCCCCGGCAGAACAGCUCUGCUGGAGCCCUAGAUUGGUUCCGCCUCGUGGCGGCGGAGUUUCGUCCCGUAAGCUUGCCCAUGUUUUUUGCUGGGGUAAAAGCUCUAAUAUAGCAGAAGAUGGACACCGGGGGCCCACCAGGGGGCCCAGGAGAUAGGGGGCGCGCCCAGUAGGGGGGGGGCUCCACUCUCCUAGACAGGGUGUGGGCCCCCUGGUGUAUUUCUUUCGCCCAAUAAUUCUUAUUAAUUCCAAAAACAUGUUUCGUGGAGUUUCAGGAUUUUUGGAGCAGUGCAGAAUAGGUUUCCAAUGUUUGCUCCUUUUCCAGCCAGAAUUUCAGGUGCCGACAUUCCCCCUCUUCAUGAUAAACCUUGUAAAAUAAGAGAGAAUAGCCAUAAGUAUUGAGAUAUAAUGUGUAAUAACAGCCCAUAAUGCAAUAAAUAUUGAUAUAAAAGCAUGAUGCAAAAUGGACGUAUCAAUUGCCCACUGAAACCGGUUCCAGAAUGGGCGGUUGACCAAACUGGGUUCUUGAUCUUCCGCAUAUGGGUUGCGCCGACGCCUUUCCCAGAACUCCUUUGCAGACAUCUCUAUCAUAGACUUGGCCCUAUGCUUGGGCUUGUUUGCAACAGUCUUCUUGGGCUGAGAAGGAGGAGGAGCACUCGAGGAAGCAGCCCCAGACUCAGAAGUGUGAUAAUGCUUUGAACUAGAACGCCCGGGGUUGAUACGAUGGACCGGUUGCUUUGUAGGUCCAUCACCUGGAAUCAAACACAAGAACACGAGACACAACACAAGAGAACAAGCAUAAGCCAGCAGAAAGAGCAAAAAAUAUCAAGGUUCGGUAAAAAAGGAUGAAGUUGGCAUCCAGCGGUAGUACCACCGGAAGCCCUCAAGCGGUAGUACUGCUCCAGGAGAGCGGUAGUACCGCUCUAGGCGGAGGGGCAGCGGUUCCUUACUGCCGCGGCCAAAUCCGGCACUGCCGGGAUGCCAAAUUCAAAAAAUGUCCUACCAAACAUCAAUCUAUCUAGUCUAGAAGCCUUCUCCAACCUACUGAAGCCUUGAUUUAGCCAAAAAUCAAGAAAUGCAACAACUAUUGCCCCUAAAAUCUAGCUCUGAAACCUAGGCACACAUAGAACAGGAAUGGGGGCAAUACCGGCAUCCAUGGCAAGAGGACGGGGUGGGGAUCGAUUCCACCAGAGGAAAUGGAGAGGGACGACCCGGAGACAGCGGCCCGCUGGAGCCCUCACGCGGCGAUUGCAUCGCUGGAGCGAGAGGAAGACUGAGAGGGGCGAGCGAAUGGGUAUGGGGGAGAAGAAACUCCCCCUGCCCAACAUAACCCCCCAGUCCCACCCUGUAGCGAUAGUACCGCUCGGGUGGCGGUAGUGUCGCUUGACGAAAGUCAGUGGUAGUGAUGUCUACUACGCAACUUUAUUCUUGUAGACUUGUGUUGGGCCUCCAAGCGCAGAGUUUUGUAGGACAAUAGCAAUUUUCCCUCAAGUGUAUGACCUAAGGUUUAUCAAUCCGUGGGAGGUGUAGGAUGAAGAUGGUCUCUCUCAAGCAACCCUGCAACCAAAUAACAAAAAAGUCUCUUGUGUCCCCAACACACACAAUACAAUGGCAAAUUGUAUAGGUGCACUAGUUCGGCGAAGAGAUGGUGAUAAAAGUGUAAUAUUGAUGGUAGAAAUAUAUUUUUAUAAUCUAAAUAAAUAAAACAGCAAGGUAGAAAAUAGUAAACGGGCACAAAAAUGGUGUUGCAAUGCUUAAAAAUGAGGCCUAGGGUCAGUACUUUCGCUAGUGCAACCUCUCAACAAUGCUAACAUAGUUGGAUCAUAUGAUUAUCCCUCAAAGUGCAAUAAAGAGUCACUCAUGAGUUCCUAUUAGCAGAGAACAAAAGAUAGGAAUUGUUUGUAGGUCACGAAACCACCUCAAAGCUAUUCUUUCCGUUCGAUCUAUUCAAGAGUUUGUACUAAAACAACGCAAAGCUUUUUUUUCCAUUCGAUCUAUCCUAGAGUUCGUACUAGAAUAACACCAAAGCAAAUUCAUAUUCAUAAUACUCAAUCCACACAAAUAACUAUAAAGAGACCCCAAAGUUUCCGUCGGAGAAAAACGUGCAUCAACCCCUAUGCAUAGAUUACCCCAAUAUCACCGCGGGAAUCCUUGAGUUGAAUGCCAUAACACAUAUCAAGUGAAUCAAUAAGAUACCUCAUUGUCACCUCAAGUAUUCAUAUUGCAAGACAUAUAUCAUGUGUUCUCAUCUCCGAAUAUUCAAUCCGACAAGACAAAACUUUGAAGGGUAAAGAUUCAGUUCAUCAUAACAAGAGUAUAGAGGUGAGAAACAUCAUAUGAUCCGACUAUAUUAACAAAUCCCAUGAUAUAGAUAACGAGAGAGAGAGAUCAAACACAUAGAUACUGGUACAAACCCUCCGCCCCUAGGGUGGACUACUCCCUCCUCAUCGUGGUGGCCACCGGGAUGAUGAAGAUGGCCAUCGGCGAUGAUUCCCCCCUCCGGCAAGGUGCCAGAACAUGGUCUAGAUUGGAUCUCGUGGAUACAGAGGCCUUGCGGCGGUGGAAUUCUGAUCUAGGGCUACCCCGAAGGGUUUUGGAAUAUUUGGGAUUUUAUAGGGCGAAGAAGGGGUGCGGGAGGCCACUGAGGUGGGCACAACCUACCUGGGUGCACCAGAGGGCCCUGGCACGCACUAGUGGAUUGUGCCCCCCUCGGGGUACCCCCCAGGUGCAGCUCAGGCCUAUUGGGUUCCUUCUGGUGCAGAAAAAAUCUCCAAAAAGUUACGUGGUGUUUGGACUCCGCUUGAUAUUGAUUUCCCGCGAUGUAAAAACAAGCAAAAAAAUAGCAACUUGCACUGGGCACUGGGUCAAUAGGUUAGUCCCAAAAAUGAUAUGAAGUUGCUAUAAAAUGAUUGUAAAACAUCCAAGAAUGAUAAUAUAAUGGCAUUAAUACUUCAUAAAUUAUAGAUAUGUUGGAGACGUAUUAGGUAGUACCGCGCGCCCCAGCGGUAGUACCGCCUAGCGAGACACGCAACAACUAGAACGAAAGAACGGCUAAGCUCAAGCAAUGACGAGGAGAGGGAGAAAGAAACAAAAACUCAAAGGAAAAAACACCCACGAGAGGACAAGAAACAAAAACACACAACUGUCGAAGAUAGGGUGGUGGCCGAGGCCACCUAUGUUUGAGUUAAGUGGUAUGGCACCGCGAAGAUUUUAACUUUGGGCUCAUGACCAAAACUCAUCUUUGAAGAACAAGUACCAUAAAAAAUGGCUAAUGUGAAAUACGUGAUCAAUUUAUGCAUAAUGGGGGGAGGGAGAGUUCAUUGAGAGAACAACACUCCCCCUAUAUCCAUGCCUACACCUAAACAAGACAUCAAGUAGAGUAUGGUGGGGCGUGCAAAGGUUCAAGCCACAUUGCUCAAAUCAAUGAUAUUUAGCUCAUGCCUUUAACUUGCGGAAUCUUGCUUCAUCCAAGGGCUUCGUGAAAAUAUCUGCAAGGUUAUCAUGAGUGUUGACAUAUUUGAGCUCGAUCUCCUCUCGCCUAAUGUGAUCCCGGAUGAAGUGAUACCGAAUCUCAAUAUGCUUCGUCUUGAAGUGUUGCACCGGGUUGAGAGAAAUCUUGAUGGCACUUUCAUUGUCACACCAACAAGAGAGAGAGAAAUCAAACACAUAGCUACUGGUACGAACCCUUAGCCCCGAGGGUGGACUACUCCUUCCUCAUCGUGGUGGCCACCGGGAUGAUGAAGAUGGCCACCAGUGAUGAUUCCCCCCUCCAGCAUUGCCAGGGGGAUGAACCUCGGGCAGGUAACGGAACCCGGAUCCUUUUCAAAACAACGGGGCCAGCAUCGCCCCUCAAGCCGGCACGCGCUUGGCCGAGUCGCUCGACCCGGCCAAACCCCGCGUCCCGGACAAACUCUCCAACCCGGCCUAGUACCUCGACUCGGCCUCGACAACUAGUACAAGACAGCCGAACCCGACACAACCAAGGCUUCCUCAACAAGCCAGCUCCACCCGUGGCAUGCUCCGCAAUCCAGCCACGGGUCAGCUCCCGUCCCAUCCAAGCCGUACGAUGGGAUGAGUCUUCAGCCACUGAUGACCAAGGCAACAGUGCCCCGCCCAUGCCUCUGGUCAGCCGGAGCAUGGCAACAGUGCCCCUCACCUACCCGCUGACCAGGGCCGGCGUGUCUACAGUGCCCCCGCCAUCACCGCUGACGACAGCAAGCGACGACCUGAUGGAGUGCCACUGUACACGACUCGACUCGGCCACGCCCUGACGAUCGACAAGACGGCGCACAUUCCCCCUAGGCACGCGGGGCCUGCACCUAGGGGAACCCGGCGAACCACAGGCCCCCAGCGGGUCCCAGCCCGGGUCCCCAAACGCCGAUGACCCAGACCCAUCGACUUGUAACAUUACCAUUGUAUCCCUGGGGGGUUGGCCUAUAAAACCCCCUAGGAGCCCACGCAUACCAAAGAGGGAGAGAUAACGUAGAGAGGAACUAGCCACCAAAUAGUAACAUUCACCCGGGGAGAAGGAGCAGCCUAAGCCUUGGCCUGCCUUCCUCCCCCCUCGAUACAGCUCUAGGAGCAACCUUGUACUGUCGAACAUCAAACUACACUCGGCAUGACUAGGGGUGUUAUCUCUCCGGAGAGCUCCGAACCUGGGUAUGUCUUGCAUCCUGCGCUCGCUCGUACCAACCCUGCCUCUGGAGCCCACCAGUGCCCUCGAGCCUCCUCCUCUCUUUAGCCAUCCCAUGGCAUCUGCCGUGUGCCCACCACGACAGUUGGCGCCCACCGUGGGGCAGCUCGAGGAGCUGGCCGGGAGCAUGCUUCAGACGGGGCCCUUCUCCUACUCCGAUGAGUCCGUCAUGCUGGCGGACAACAUCGUCGACACACUCGCUGCCUCCUUCGCCGCGCUGCGCAUCUCUGAUGCACCCACGGCUACCCCAGCGAGGUACUCAGCUACUCCGACUCCCCCCUCUCCCUCGGCGGUGGCAUUUCCAAUGGGGCAAUGGACGUCCACGUGGAGGUCUUCGUCACCGGUGAUGGCGCAUCCUCCUCAUCGAGCAAGACGAGGAAGGCUGCCGAAGCCAGGGCCGCAACAGAACGGACGGAGUCGUCCGAUCCGUUGUGCACCGUGAUGCAGAGCUUCCGCGUCCCCAUCGGCACCGACGUCAACGCCACCAACGUCGCUGAGGCCCAGGCCCAGCUCGAGGAAAGGAGCCAGCAGAUGCUGGACCUGUCUGAGACACUCGCCACCACCCAGCGUCGCCUGGAUUCCGCUCAGCUGGAGCGCAACGCCGCCUAUGGAUUCACGCCCGCCACGGCCGAGCCGAGCCGGGUCGCCGACGUGCGUGCCCGGGGAGGAGCGAUCGGCCAGGCCCUCGGCGCCAUCCGACCGUCUAUGAGACCCCAGCGAAGAACAUGCGCACUGUCUAGGCAGCCGCAGUCGACCUGGAUCAGCUCACGGGCGAGGAACUGAAGGAGCACAUCGGACGGAUGCGUGAUCUCCUCAACGCGGCCAACACUCAGCAAGACCGCCUCAACCAGCUCGCCAAGCCGGCGGGAUCCGGCUCCGCCCACAUCGGCGGACCCGGCGAACUUCAGCACACAGCUUCCUCGCCACCCAACGAGGUGCACUCCGCCCGAGUCCAGACUCGGCGUGACCCGGCCAACACGGUCGCCGGCGGUUUGGGCGACGAGCCCAUCCCGGAGAUCCAGCGCGGACCCGGCCAGCAUGGCCGGUGUCCGGCUCCAACCGACCCAGCCCCUCGUGGCUUGGUCGCCAGUCGACUCGGCCCGCGCGCCAUUGUUCCGGAGAAUGGAGUUUUAGUCAUCUUGCCCAUGAGGCAUGGUUCACAAGCACCAAGUGAUUCCAAAAGCCGAUCAGUAUGGAGUUUCUUCAUGCGCUUUACACCAAUAUGACCUAAACGACAGUGCCACAAAUAAGUUGCACUAUCAUUAUCAACUUUGCAUCUUUUGGCUUCAAUAUUAUGAACAUGUGUAUCUCCACGAUCGAGAUUCAAUAAAAUAGACCACUCUACAAGGGUGCAUGACCAUAAAAGAUAUUACUCAUAUAAAUAGAACAACCAUUAUUCUCUGAUUUAAAUGAAUAACCGUCUCGCAUCAAACAAGAUCCAGAUAUAAUGUUCAUGCUGAACGCUGGCACCAAAUAACAAUUAUUCAGGUCUAAAACUAAUCCCGAAGGUAGAUGUAGAGGUAGCGUGCCAACGGCGAUCACAUCGACCUUGGAACCAUUUCUGACGCGCAUCGUCACCUCGUCCUUAGCCAAUCUUCGUUUAAUCCGUAGCCCAUGUUUCGAGUUGCAAAUAUGAGCAAAAGAACCAGCAUCAAAUACCCAGGCGCUACUACGAGCAUUAGUAAGGUACACGUCAAUAACAUGUAUAUCAAAUAUACCUUUCACUUUGCCAUCCUUCUUAUCCGCCAAAUACUUGGGGCAGUUCCGCUUCCAGUGACCAGUCCCUUUGCAGUAGAAGCACUCAGUUUCAGGCUUAGGUCCAGACUUGGGCUUCUUCCCGGGAGUAGCAACUUGCUUGCUAUUCUUCUUGAAAUUCCCCUUCUUCCCUUUGCCCUUUUUUCUUGAAACUAGUGAUCUUGUUAACCAUCAAUACUUGAUGCUCCUUCUUGAUUUCUACCUCCGCAGCCUUUAGCUUUGCGAAGAGCUUGGGAAUCAUUUUCGUCAUCCCUUGCAUAUUAUAGUUCAUGACGAAGCCUUUAUAGCUUGGUGGCAGUGAUUGAAGAACUCUGUCAAUGACACUAUCAUUAGGAAGAUUAACUCCCAGCUGAGUCAAGUGGUUAUGGUACCCAAACAUUCUGAGUAUGUGUUCACUGAUAGAACUAUUCUCCUCCAUUUUGCAGCUACAGAACUUGUUGGAGACUUCAUAUCUCUCAACUCGAGCAUUUUCUUGAAAUAUUAACUUCAACUCUUGGAACAUCUCAUAUGCUCCAUGACGUUCAAAACGUCUUUGAAGUCCCGAAUCUAAGACGUAAAGCAUGGCACACUGAACUAUUGAGUAGUCAUCAACACGCAUCUGCCAGGCAUUCACAAUGUUUGUAGUUGCUGGCGCAGGCGGUACACCUAGCGGUGCUUCUAGGACGUAAUUUUUCUGUGCACCAAUGAGGAUAAUCCUCAAGUUAUGGACCCAGUCUGUGUAAUUGCUACCAUCAUCUUUCAACUAUGCUUUCUCUAGGAACACAUUAAAAUUCAUGGGAACGGUAGCACGGACCAUUGAUCUACAACAACAUAGACAUGCAAAAACUAUCAGGACUAAGUUCAUGAUAAAUUAAAGUUCAAUUAAUCAUAUUACUUAAGAACUCCCACUUAGAUAGACAUCCCUCUAGUCAUCUAAGUGAUCAUGUGAUCCAAAUCAACUGAACCAUGUUCGAUCAUCACGUGAGAUGGAGUAGUUUUCAAUGGUGAACAUCACUAUGUUGAUCAUAUCUACUAUAUGAUUCACGUUCGACCUUUCGGUCUCAGUGUUCCAGGCCAUAUCUGCAUAUGCUAGGCUCGUCAAAUUUACCCCAAGUAUUGUGCAUGUGCAAAACUGGCUUGCAUCCGUUGUAUGUGAAUGUACAGCUUAUCACACCCGAUCAUCACGUGGUGUCUCGGCACGACGAACUGUAGCAACGGUGCAUACUCAGGGAGAACACUUAUACCUUGGAAUUUAGUAAGGGAUCAUCUUAUAAUGCUACCACCGUACUAAGCGAAAUAAGAUGCAUAAAAAUAUAAACAUCACAUGCAAUCAAAAUAUGUGACAUGAUAUGGACAUCAUCAUCUUGUGCUCAUGAUCCCCAUCACCGAAGCAUCAUCAUGAUCUCCAUCGUCACCGUCUUGACACCUUGAUCUCCAUCGUAACAUCAUUGUCGUCUCGCCAACUAUUGCUACGAUGACUAUCGCUGCCGCUUAGUGAUAAAGUAAAGCAAUUACAUGGCGAUUGCAUUUCAUACAAUAAAGCGACAACCAAUGGCUCCUGCCAGUUGCUGAUAACUCUGUUACAAAACAUGAUCAUUUCAUACAACAAUUUAUAUCACAUCAUGUCUUGACCAUAUCACAUCACAACAAGCCCUGCCAAAACAAGUUAGACGUCCUCUACUUUGUUGUUGCAAGUUUUACGUGGCUUCUACGGGCUUCUAGCAAGAACCGUUCUUACCUACGCAUCAAAACCACAAUGAUUUUUCGCCAAGUGUGUUGUUUUAACCUUCAACAAGGACCGGCCGUAGUCAAACUCGAUUCAACUAAAGUUGGAGAAAUAGACACCCGCCAGCCACCUAUGUGCAAAAGCACGUCGGUAGAACCAGUCUCAUAAACGCGGUCAUGUAAUGUCGGCCUGGGCCGCUUCAUCCAACAAUACCGCCAAAUCAAAGUAAGAUGUUGGUGGUAAGCAGUAUGACUAUUGUCGCCCACAACUCUUUGUGUUCUACUCAUGCAAAUAACAUCUACGCAUAGACCUAGCUCGGAUGCCACUGUUGGGGAACGUAGUAAUUCAAAAAAUAUCCCACAAUCACGCAAGAUCUAUCUAGGAGAUGCAUAGCAACGAGAUGGGAGAGUGGUCCACGUACUCUAGUAGACCGAAAGCGGAAGCGUUUAGUAACGCGGUUGAUCUAGUCGAACGUCUUCACGAUCCAACCGAUCCAAGUACCGAACGUACGACACCUCCGUGUUCAGCACAUGUUUAGCAUGAUGACGUCCCUCGAGCUCUUGAUCCAGUUGAGAACGAGGGGGAGUUCCGCCAGCAUGACGGCGUGGCGACGGUGUUGAUGAUGUUACCAACGCAGGGCUUCGCCUAAGCACUACGACGAUAUGAUCGAGGUGUUAAACUGUGGAGGGGGCACCGCACACGGCUAAGAGAAUAACUGUUAUGCCAUGGGGUGCCCCCUGCCCCCGUAUAUAAAGGAGAGAGGAGGAGGCCGGCGUCCUAGGAGGGGUGCGCCUAUAGGGGGAGUCCAACUAGGAUUCCCAAUCCUACUUGGAGUCUCCUUCCUUUUCCAAGAGGGGGAGAGAGGGAAAGAGGUGGAGGAGAAAGAGGAAAGGGGGGGGGGCGACCCCUCCCCUAGUCCAAUUCGGUUUGGGCUAGGGGGCGCGCGCCUCCACCUGGCCGCUGCCUCCUCUCUUCCACUAAGGACCACGAAGGCCCAUUAAUCCCCCGGGGGGGUUCCGGUAACCUUCCGGUACUCCGAAAAAUGCCCGAACUUUUCUGAAACCUUUCCGAUGUCCGAACAUAACCUUGCAAUAUAUCAAUCUUUAUGUCUCGACCAUUUCGAGACUCCUCUUCACGUUCGUGAUCUUAUCCGGGACUCCGAACAAACUUCGGUCAUCAAAAAACACAUAACUCAUAAUACAAAUCGUCAUCAAACGUUAAGCGUGCGGACCAUAUGGGUUCGAGAUCUAUGUAGACAUGAUCGAGACACAUCUCCGAUCAAUAACCAAUAACGGAACAUGGAUACUCAUAUUGGCUCCUACAUAUUCUACGAAGAUCUUUAUCGGUCAAAAACCGUACAACAACAUACAUUGUUCCCUUUGUCAUCGGUAUGUUACUUUCCUGAGAUUCGAUCGUCGGUAUCAUCAUACCUAGUUCAAUCUUGUUACUGGCAAGUCUCUUUACUCGUUUUGUAAUGCUUUAUCCUGCAACUAACUCAUUAUUCACAUUGCUUGCAAGGCUUAUAGUGAUGAGCAUUAUCGAGAGGGCCCAGAGAUACCUCUCCAAUACACGCAGUGAAAAAUCCUAAUCUCGAUCUAUGCCAACCCAACAAACACCUUCGGAGACACAUGUAUAGCAUUUUUAUAAUCACCCAGUUACGUUGUGAUGUUUGAUAGCACACAAGGUGUUCCUCCGGUAUUCGAGAGUUGCAUAAUCUCAUAGUCUGAGAAACAUGUAUAAUCUUCUAUCUAUUAUAUAAUUAAAACAAGAGUAAAAUAAGCCACCACAUUCGUCCACAUAUGCUAAUAUUGUUUACACCGUUCGAUUAGAGUAAUAACGGCUGAGAUUUAAAGAUUUUUACGUAACAUUGUAAGUAUAUGUACAUGUAGUAUUGGACUUUCAUGUUAUCACGUUAUAUUGGACCUUUAGAAAAAGGACAAAAGAAGGGAGAUCAAUAGGAAAAGACACGCUGCUCUCCGAUCAAGAAGAAAAAAAGGGACAUCAAUAGGAAAAGGCACACUGCUGUCCGAUCGUGGUAGAGUUACCUAUAACUAUCGUUAGGUAUGAAUUAGUUAGGCAUUGUCCUUCCAUCAACGUGUCCAAGUGUAUACCCGUGAGACACAAACAAAUCAAACCAGUAAAAAAUAAAUUAAGAUAGGGAACCUUACGUGCAGCCAAUUCCAUACGUGGACACAAUGUAUACGGAUACACGCAUGCAAAUAAGACAUGUAUAUGGACUACAUAGAGGACUCCACAAGGACUUUCCAAGGCAUGAUGGAAAAAAGGACUUGCCAAGGCAACCACGACAGAUAAAAAGGCAUACAUCCGACCGCACCCAACACAUGCCCAAAAAAUUAGGUCAGCCAAAUAUGCUACCAGGCUAGCAUACUACCAAUAAAUUCAAAGUCUUCUGAUUCAACUAGGCAACGUCACAACGCCGGACGUAGUCGUGCCCAAGCAACCUUCUGAGUGGCCUCUCACCUGAAUCAUCAAGGUCCGUAAUUGCUAUUCUGGAUCCAAUCCUUUUGAGUGGCCUCUCACCUGAAUCAUAAAGGUUUGUAAUUGUUAUUCUUGACCCGAUCUACGGGCUGCCAGAUGUAGUCGUGCCCAAGCAACCUUUUGAGUGGCCUCUCAACAGAAUCAUCAAGGUUUGUAUUCUGGACACAAUCUUCAUACGUGCAUUAUUAAUUCACUAGAGAUUGUAUGAUCCUUUUACAGCAAUGUCAUACAACAAGCUUGGAGAGUUCACAACAAGAAGACAAGACUGUGUAUUGAAGCGCAAGUAAUGAGAAUAUGAGAUUAAUCAAUUCUACAACCAAAUGGCUUUGGAUCCCCAAUAUGAUAUUCAUGCAUGAAAAGGUUUAGUCAUUACAUAUAUAUUUGAAGAUUGUUCUAUUGUUCUAUACAAUUAAGUAUAUUUUGCCGAUAUGAAAUUCAUGGAUGAAAAGGUUUAGUCAUUAUAUAUUUACUUGCAUAUUGUUCUAUUGUUUUAUAGAACUACUAAGUACAUUUCGAUUGUUUUCACAUGGCCAAACAAUUCAUGCCACUAUCAGGAAGAAGUUUAUAGACACAUAUAGAUCAAAGAUAAAUGAGAAUCUAUUUAAACAUUUAGAAAUUUUAAGGUUCUGGAAUCCACAAAGUAUAACCGAGUAAGCAGUGAAAUAUAAUUAUGUCUGCGUACAUUACAAAAGUAGAGGCGAAAGGAUCAUCUGAAGGUUACCCAGCUUACUACUUCGAGUUUGCUACAAAAGAAACAUUAGAAGAACAUGCAGAGAAAUAUAAAAGAAUGCUCACAUAUCUCUAUAGUCUAUAGUUGUAAAUAAGACUUUCAAGAUAUUAAUAUUUUUAACUUCAAAAUAAUUAACUCCGCUUUUAAAGACAUCAUUGGAUUACUCACCCAAACGAAGCAUGUGGAAUCAUUAAUAAAAAAGAAAGAACUCUGAAAAUUCAUACUUCAGCCAAAUUGCAAUUGUAAUAUCAGACUAAGUUCAUAAUAUGUAACCAUUCCUCAAAUUUUAAUUGGACCAACUUCAUUGACAUGGCAUCAAUUUUUCUAGAUUAUACUCUUUAGGGGUGAUAAAAUUAUUGUUAGUUUAUGAGAAAAACUUAUAGCUUCAAUGAGGAUCUAAAUGGCAACCGAACUGUCCUUACUGUGACCUCAGCAAUGAUGCAGAAGUUCAAUGAUAAGUUCAUUAAUGUUACAAGCUCUUCUAUUAUUUACCAAAAUAUGUGCAACAGAUUUUUCUUUGAUUAAACAUAGUUGUGCUUAAUGUCAAGUGCCACAAGAAUAUAUAUAGAUUUAGAUAUACCAAAAACUUCGGUAUAUCUUGGUUAAAGUUUGGGGUAUCAUUAUACAGAUCUAGAUAUACUCAUAUGUGAGAUUCAUAACAUAUAUUUCUUUGACUAAGCAUGGUUGAGGAGGUUAAUUUGCAUUUAAUUCAUUACAAAAUGCCUACUGUGUUCUUUUUUUUGACUGAGAAAUAGUAGGAGAGGCACCUAAUAUGCUAUAAUAAUAUAUAAUAAGUAUUUACAUGGCUAGGAGGAAAGUCCCACCAAAGGAAAACAAACAAGCAGAGUCUAAAGUGAAUUUACAAAAGAAGUGAUAUAAUCACUGAGAUCAGGGGACACUCUGUAUCUAAGCCAGGUAAGAUCAGCCUUAGUUCUCUCAAGCCAAGCUCUAUAUGAAGGACUGAUCUGAUUGAAGAUGAAGUUAUUUCUCUCCUUCCAAAUAUUCCAAGCAGUAAUGGUGAAGAUUUCAAAGAAAAUUCUACCGGAAUAAAUUUCACGUACUGUGUUUGUAGUUUCCUAACUAAUAAGUAUAUCUCACAUAUGAUGCAUAGAAUUUUGGAUGAUGUGUUACAAAAAGCAACGAAGAACCAUAACAUGGAUGCGAAAAAGGUGGUUGAUUUUCUCAGAGUACAUACUUAUCAAUUUUUAGAGACAUGUAUAAUCUUUGAAAUGUAUUUUUAUUUUGUAGAAAAAUAACAAUUGAGAUUCACCUCAGAAAAGGAUAUGUCAAUUGGUUGCCCAUGGGAGAAGAACCACAUGAUACUAUGGGACUAUAGUAAAUGAGUUGAUGGGUGUGAAGAAAAAAUGUCAGCAUCACAUGGACUCUACAAUGGCAAAAGAAACUGAUGGAGAUCUAUUGUAUUAUCGGAUGGCUCAAAUGAUGAAUGCACCGACAUAAGUGUGCAAGAAUGAAAGGAGAAAUAUGUACGUUGGGAACAAGAAACAUGUUGAAGCAAAAGCAAAAAAACCUACAAUGCUUGAAGAUAAAGACUCAGUUGCCCGUUGUGGCAAAAUAAGAUGUAGUGUUACUGCAGCCGUUAGGAGAGCACAAAAAAUAACCAAAGAGCUAGAUGGCCACAAGACCGGAAUUGUUGAUGUAAAAUGCUAUUCCCUUUGUAAAGAAAUAUAAGAGCGUUUAGAUCACUAGUCUUAUAUUUCUUUAUGGAGGGAGUACAAGACAAGUGGGCAGUUAGAAGAUACAGUAGACAGAAAAAACACAAAAUUAGUUGAUUAGUAGCUUAUAGUGAAACUAAGGCAGACUACUACUGAGAUGGAGAAGAACACUUGACAUCUACCGAUAUAAUGAUGUGAGUUAUUAGAUAACAAAAGUAUUGAAUUUAGCACUACAAGAAUCAUGACAUGUUGUAUUUAUUUGAUUGAAAUAUGAGUUUUCUGCUCUUCAUGACAACUCUUCAAUCCAACAGACUUUUCAGAUCAAGAGAAAUAUUAGAAAGGCUUCAAUAUUAUCCUAUGUCAAUUAACACAUGGAUCUUGCUUUGUAUUAGAUACACGUAUAUGUAAUAUAUUUUUUUGGUGAAUACGCUUAGCAGCGUAUCAUUUCAUUGAUAGGUAGAAGGGUGUUCACAAGUUACAGGGAUGCUCCCUCGCAGACGUACACAAGCCAGCGUCUAGGAGGUUGCAAGGUGGAGCAGAGGGAGGAGGAUGCUCAGCCUCGGGACACAAGGUUUAAUUUACAGGUAUAAAUCGCGGCUAGCCCUCUACGCUCAGCACAGGUGGAGCAGACGUAUAUGUAAUAUAACUUGCAAAUAUAUGCUAAAAAAAUCAUUAUAUAUUUUUAGCUCAGUUAGAGGCUGAAAACAUACAUGUGAAGAAUCACCCGCUAUGGAGGAAGUAGGAAUGAUAUGAAGCUGUAGCACAUACAUGUGAAAACCCGGCAUGACGAACAAUGAGGGCCACAACUCACCUCAGCCAGCCGACACAUCUCUGUCUUAUUAUUUCUUCAACAUCUGCUUCACAUCUGAUUUGGCACUUCACGACCACAAAUUUCAACAAAUAAAACACAAUGUAUAAAUAGUCUAAUUUGACAGGGAAUAGUGACAAAAAUAAAACAAAAUGUACUAUAUAAUGAUAUGGUCGGAGUACAAGAGACAACCAUGUAAAACUUACACUGGCAGAGGUCCGAAAGCACCAACCAUGAGGAAGGCGAGAACUCGCCACCAACGGGCUAAGACCUACCCAAAUGAGUUCAUCGCUGCUGCAUGCCCAAUCUAAGAUCACCAGAGCUAGGGUUUGGGGACAGUACCAAAACAGAAGGAAACUGGAAGAUAAGAGACAAGAAGUAGCGCCGGGAUAGAUCAGGAAUUAGUUUCACAUAAGCUAGCGGCGGCAUCUUCCUUCGCCGGCUGCCAAUCGAAGGCGGCAGUGUAUGUGGAUAAGGUCAUGAGGAGUGUGGAGUGGAUUGACGGAGAUGGGAGAGACGAAUUCUAAAGAGUCACCAGUCCUUUCCUUCGAGAAAAUUGUUACAGAGUUUUUUCUUAGGGGAAAUUUAUUUGUUACGGAGUGAUAUAGUUUACUAAAUGAAUCACAUGGGCAUGAAUCACGUCUGCUGGGCCUCUACUACCCAUACAUGGGCUUGGGAAAGUUGGGUGCUUCAUAUAGAAAAAAGAACAAUUCUUUGUCCAUCCCAAAUUUGAAAUCCCAUCGUACUAUUUUCUUGCGAGGCGAUUCCAUACUAGGCUCUCAUUAAACUUCAACUUUUUUCUGCGCAUAAACUUAAAAUUCAACUUACAUGGUAUCAUAACUACUAUUUUAUUCAAAAGCAAGAAAACAUGAAAUAUCGCUUCAACCCUCUCAAGACAAUUACUCAACACUCGACAAGAACAAACAUGCAUUAUUACGGUAUUAUUGUUCGCCUUUUCUUUUAUCUUCAUGCAUUGCAAACUAAUUAAUUUUGUACUCCCCCCGUAAAGAAAUAUAAGAGCAUUUAGAUCACUAAAGUAGUGAUCUAAACGCUCUUAUAUUUCUUUAAAGAGGGAGUACCAUGAAAUUCCCACAAUUUCUGGCGUGGCUCUUCUGUUCAAUCGCUUCUUUUCUUUGAGGAACACUAACAACUUCAAAUCUCAAAAAUAAAUAAAUUCAAAACACACUUUAGAAGAUAUGAUCAUGAAUCUAGAAAAACUUCAAACCACUCUUUAGAAGAUACAAUCAUGAAAGCAAUAUGAAAAUACGAUCUAAUAACCAAAGUCCUAUUAGAUACCGAGCUCAAAUGCACCAUGGUGAACAGUAACCUCGAAAAAGUGAUAAAAAAUUGAAACGAUCUGAUUUUUUUUGGAUUAACUUCGACAAAUGUUUUCUAUGCUUAACAAAUUUCAGCAUGAAAUGACAUUCAUGGAAGUCAUAAAAAAAACAAAUUCAGCACUCCAAAAUGUGUUCAAAACUAGCAUUUUUGGAGCAUAAAUUUUGUUUUUUCUUUGCCCUCACUUCCACGAAAGUCUCUGCUUCCCACAUCUGACAAGCAAAACUGAUAACAUCAGGCAUAUUAUUGAUCUCUUAUUUGACAGACUAACUUCUUUGUAGCUUUGUAUAUACAUUUGAAGGAGUUUUUCUUUGUAAUAUUCGUUGAAUCCUUAUAGUUUCACAUACAGUGCCAAAUAUAAAUUUCAAAAAUGACUUACUGUACCAAUUCCUCUGAAGCAAUUUCUUCUCUUCGAGAAAAAAUGAAACGGUAGCAGGGUCACACUAAUAAAGAGAUGACACACAGUAAAAAAACAUCAAGAAAAACUAACAAAAGGUUGUUCAGUAGACAAUAAUCAUAAAAUUCUCAACAAUGGCACACAACAAAAACACAAAUUGUUUAUCAAAAAUAUAGGUAUAUCACUCUAGCCGCGCAAAUGCGCGGGUACACCCGCUAGUUCAUGAAGAAAUCAGUAGCAAUGAAACUCUAACGAUCAUAAUGCUAAGAUAACGGAUGGGUCUUGUCCAUCACAUCAUUCUCCUAAUGAUGUGAUCCCGUUCAUCAAAUGACAACAGAUGUCUAUGGUUAGGAAACAUAACCAUCUUUGAUUGACGAGCUAGUCAAGUAGAGGCAUACUAGGGACACUAUGUUUUGUCUAUGUAUUCACACAUGUACUAAGUUUCCUGUUAAUACAAUUCUAGCAUGAAUAAUAAACAUUUAUCAUGAUAUAAGGAAAUAUAAAUAACAACUUUAUUAUUGCCUCUAGUGCAUAUUUCCUUCACUUCUCUCCUUGUAUGCACGACACAAGGCCUUUCUCAAGUUGCUCCUUCAACUUGGCAUUCUCCUCCACAAGAUGCACAUGCUUACAACACGGGUUAGUAGCAUUUGCAUUAUCAAUUAAAACCAUAUGAGGAAACGUGGCUUUCUCCUUGGUUAGCUUCACUUGGAGUUGACCAUGAGACUCCUUGAGGCUUGCAUGAGCACUCUUCAAGGCCUUGUGAGCCUUGUCAAGUAUUUCAAACUCCUCCUUGAGUCUAGCAUGGUCAACCUCAAGUUUAGCCUUCUCGGAAUUAAGCUCACGAGAUACAACAAGAGCAUGAUCAAGAUCUUUCUUUAAUUUAGCAUGGUCAUCGUUGUGUGACUCCUCAAGAGCCAAACGAUGACCAUGCUCUUCCUCAAGAGCAUUAGAGAGAUACGAUAUCUCAUCGGCAUAGUCACGACUAUGCUCUUCCAUCUUAGAGAUGGUUUCUUCGUGAGCCUCGAUCAUGUCAUUGGCUUCACCAAGUUGUUCCGAGAGAGCAAUGAAGCGCUUCUUGGUUUUACCCUUGAGCUUACUCAUAAAAGACUCAAAUUCAUUUUCUUCCUCCUUCGACGCCUCACUUUCAUCAAUGCAAUCCGUUAAUGAAAGCACAAGUGCUCCCUGAGUGAUUUUGGUAAUUAAUGUCAACAUAUCUCUUGUUGGACUAAUACUUCUACCUACUAUAUUUCAGAUGAGUUCAACAUUGGAGUGGCAUGGACAUGGACAAGAGGGUGUGGAACCCCUUCAAGAUGCUAAGGACAAAUGUUGGCAAAAGCUCAAGACUCUACAUUUUCAUUUUAGUGAUCCAAGAUCACAUUGAGUCCAUAGGAAAGCCAAUACUAUUAAAAGGGGAUGAGGUGUUGCUUAAUGGCUUGCUUGCUCAAAGUGCUUAGUGAUAUGCUCCAAAACCCUCGGCCACUUUCUCACAUCCACAUAUGUCCUAAACCUAAAUUACAAACUCGGCCCCACUGAUUUGAUCUAUCCGGCGCCACCGAGUUUCAUCUGAUGCAACCACUACCAAACCCUAAUCAGUUCGGUCUUAUCGAUGGGAUCUCGGUCUCGCCGAGAUGGGCUUGCAAAUUCUGUGUGAUCUAUUGCAACAUUUGCGGUCUAACCGAGUUUGUGUAAUCAGUCCCACCGAGUCUGCUUGACCAAUCCUCUGUUUGCUUAUUACCAAAAUCGGUCUCACCGAGUUUGAGUAAUCGGUCAAACCGAGUUGAGGUUUUACCCUAACCCCUGCACAUCGGUCCCACUGAGUUGACCUUGUUGGUCCCAUCGAAAACUAUAACAUUCACAUUUUGACCCGAAUCGGUCUGAUCGAGUUUACCAGUCGGUCCCACCGAGUUUGUGAGUCUGUGUGUAACGGCUAUAUUUUGUGUGGAGGCUAUAUAUACCCCUCCACCCACUCUUCAUUUGUGAGGAGAGCCAUCAGAACGUGCCUACACUUCCAACAUUCAUUUUCUGAAAGAGAACCACCUACUCAUGUGUUGAGACCAAGAUAUUCCAAUCCAACCACAAGAAUCUUGAUCUCUAGCCUUCCCCAAGUUGCUUUCCACUCAAAUCAUCUUUCCACCAUAGCCAAAUCUGUGAGAGAGAGAGUUGAGUGUUGGGGAGACUAUCAUUUGAAGCACAAGAGCAAGGAGUUCAUCAUCAACACACCAUCUAUUACCUUUUGGAGAGUGGUGUCUCCUAGAUUGGUUAGGUGUCACUUGGGAGCCUCCGUCAAGAUUGUGGAGUUUAACCAAGGAUUUUGUAAGGGAAAGGAGAUCGCCUACUUCGUGAAGAUCUACCCUAGUGAGGCAAGUCCUUCGUGGGCGAUGGCCAUGGUGGGAUAGACAAGGUUGCUUCUUCGUGGACCCUUCAUGGGUGGAGCCCUCCAUGGACUCAUGCAACCGUUACCCUUUGUGGGUUGAAGUCUCCACCAACGUCGAUAUACGAUAGCACCACAUAUCAGAACCACGCCAAAAAUCUCCGUGUCUCCAAUUGCGUUUGCACACUCCAAUCCCAUCCCUUUACUUUCUUGCAAAUUGCAUGCUUUACUUUCCGCUGCUCAUAUACUCUUUGCGUGCUUGCUUGAAUUGUAUUGUGUAUGCUUGAAAUUGUGCCUAUCUACCACCUCAACUUGAAAAUCUUAAAAAUUGCCAACUUUAUUUGUUGAGGAUCUAAGCACCCCCCUCUAGACACCUCUUCUCGAUCCUUUCAAUUGGUAUCAGAGCAUUGGUCUCCAUUGCUUUGGUUUAAUCACCAUUGGAGGAAGAUGGAUGAGUCUAUGUUGGGGAGUCUUAGACGUAGAGUGACUAUGCUUGAUGGAGAGUUCUUUAGUGAGUGGAAAAAAAUGAGAUGCUUGGAAUUUUUCAUGAAUAUCACUUGAACAAGUACAUUACUACUCCUUGUGAACCCCCUGUGGAUCCCUUGCAUGCUACCCAUGAUGAGUCUCUUGACAUGAUUCGCAAUCUUAGAACUAUCAAUCUUAUCGCUAGAGGCUUGCCUAGGAAUUUGAUUGGUCCGUUGCCAACUCUUGAUUGUGCUUAUACUAUAUGGAGAUUCCUUGAGGAACGAUUUUCAGACUAUUCCUUGAAAAACUUAGAUGAGAUUCUUCACAAGUCUAUUGCUUUGAAUAAGAUGAACCCCAAUGAUCCUAAGUUUGGAGAUUGUUUAUUUGAGGUUACCAAUCUUAUGCGUGUCAAAGGAGAUGUUGGAAUCAUUAGCAAUAUUAUUUCUGAAGCUAUUAGAAUUCAUAGAGAUGAACAUUGUCAAAAUCAUAUAUCUAAUGAAUCACUCUCUCUAGGAAAUGAUCAUUUGCAAGAUGAUGUUGAACAUGGAUACUAUGAUGAGGAUGAUGAUAAUGACUUUGAUCUUGAAGAGUCUAUGAGACACUUUGGUCUUAUGGCUAACCUUCGGGGCUACAUAGCUGGAGGGAAGGAAUGGGUCCUUGAUAGUGGAUGUACCGAUCACAUGACCGGAGACAAAGAUAUGUUUCGUGAGCUUGCUGAAAACGACGACCCUCGAAAGUAUGUAACUUUUGGUGAUAACUCAAGGGUAAAGUGGUUGGCCUCGGUAAGGUGGCCAUCUCACAUGACAACUCCAUACAAAAUGUUAUGCUCGUUGAAUCUCUUGGCUAUAACCUACUUUUUGUAUCUAGACUAGCUGACUUUGGUUUCAGUGUCCUAUUUACUGAACUAGAUUGCCAAGUGUUUCGUAGAGAUAAUCAUAAAAUGGUCUUUACCGGCAUACGUACAGGUGAUCUAUACAUUGUUGAUUUCACUAAAAAGGCUCAACCUAGAACUUGCUUAAUUGCUAAAUCUUCUAAAGGCUGGUUGUGGCAUAGACGAUUAGGUCAUGUGGGCAUGCGAAACCUUGACAAGCUUAUUAAAGGUGAUCAUAUCCUUGGUGUUAAAGAUGUCAUAUUUGAUAAGGAUAGACUUUGCAGCACUUGCCAAGCAGGAAAACAGGUUGGAGGAAGCCACCCCAUGAAGAACAUCAUGACCACGAGGAGACCGCUCGAGCUACUUCAUAUGGAUCUUUUUGGACCCAGCUCCUACAAGAGUCUCGGUGGUAACUCGUUUGGACUAGUCAUUGUAGAUGAUUUUUCAAGAUUUAUGUGGGUGUUCUUUCUUGAUGAUAAAUUGCAUGUGCAAAAGAUCUUCAAAAACUUUGCUAGGAAGGCCCAAAAUCAAUUUGAAGUGAAGAUCAAGAAGGUUCGCAGCGACAACGGAAUGGAGUUCAAGAACGCCAAUGUGGACACCUUUAAUUUCUUAACGAAGAAGGGAUUUCACACGAGUUCUCGGCUAUGUACACACCUCAACAAAAUGGAGUUGUUGAGAGGAAGAACCAGACGCUCAUCGAAAUGGCAAGAACGACGCUUGAUGAAUACAAGACGCCAAAACACUUUUGGGCAGAAGCGGCUGAGACAGCUUGUCAUGCAACGAAUCAUCUAUAUAUUCAUAAGCUACUCGAAAAGACGGCAUACGAGCUUCUCACCGGUAACAAACCCCAAGUUGGAUACUUUCGAGUAUUUGGUUCAAAGUGUUACAUUCUUGAUAAGCAUCGUCGUUCAAAAUUUGUUCCUAAGUCUCAUGAAGGUUUCCUACUCGGUUAUGGCUCAAACUCUCACACUUACCGUGUCUACGGCAAUUUCACUUGAAAGGUUGAAGAGACGGUAGAUGUGAAGUUUGAUGAAUCUAACGGUUCGCAAGUAGAGCAAUUGCUAAUUGAUGUAGGUGACAAAGAUCCUUCAAAAGGAAUCCAAGACUUGUCUAUUGGCAAGAUUCGCCCAACGAAGGUGAGUACCUCGUCCGUCCAAGUGGAAGCCUCAACUUCACGCCAAGGUGAACCACAAGUUGACUUGGAGGCAUCCACGAGUGGGACACAUCAAGAUGAUGAGAACGAGGAUGUGCAACAAGAUGAACCUCGACGACCUCCCUCUCCACCUCCACGGGAGAACAACAACGCCAACAACAACAAAGAAAGACAAGAGGAAGAACAAGACAAUGAAGAGGAUGUUCCAACCCGACCCAAACAAAAGUUAUCACGAGUUCGAGCAAGAGUUUCAAGAGAUCAUCCCAUCGAACAAAUCUCUCAUGACAUUCAAACCGGGAGAACUACUCGCUCUAAAUCUUGUUUAGCUAACUUUUGUGAACAUUACUCAUUCAUUUCUAGCAUUGAACCUAUGAACGUUGAAGAAGCAUUGGAAGAUCCGGAUUGGAUAAAUGCCAUGCAUGAAGAGCUACACAACUUUGAGAGGAACCAAGUGUGGACGUUGGUUGAGAAGCCUGGUGAGAAGAACAAUGUCAUUGGAACCAAAUGGGUGUUUCGGAACAAGCAAGAUGAAGAUGGACAAGUUGUACGCAACAAGGCACGUCUCGUUGCUCAAGGCUACACUCAAGUCAAAGGUAUGGACUAUAGUGAGACUUAUGCCCCCGUUGCUAGACUUGAGUCCAUUCACAUCUUACUUGCCUAUGCCAAUCAUCAUGACAUUACCUUAUAUCAAAUGGAUAUCAAAAGUGCUUUUCUUAAUGGUGAAAUUGAGGAGGAAGUUUAUGUUAAACAACCCCCUGGCUUUGUUAAUCCUAAGAAACCCGACCAUGUUUACAAACUCCACAAAGCUCUUUAUGGUCUUAAGCAAGCUCCUAGAGCUUGGUAUAAAUGCUUGACUAAGUUUCUUCUUGAUAAAGGGCUUGAAAUUGGUAAAAUUAAUUCUACACUCUUUACUAAAAGGGUUAAUGGCGAAUUAUUUAUGUGCCAAUUUAUGUUGAUGAUAUCAUAUUUGGUUCAACUAACCCUCAUUUUAGUGAAAAGUUUGGGAAGCUUAUGUCGGAGAAGUUUGAGAUGUCUAUGAUGAGUGAACUCAAGUUCUUUCUUGGUUUGAAAAUCAAGCAAACUAAGGAGGGAACCUUUAUCUCUCAAACAAAGUAUACCAAGGACUUAUUCAAGAAGUUCAACAUGCAAGAAUGCAAAGGUAUGAAUACCCACAUGCCUACUAUUGGACAUCUUGACUUGACAAAGGAUAGUGAACCGAUUGACCAAAAGGUUUACCGUUCUAUGAUUGGUUCAUUGUUAUAUCUAUGUGCCUCCCGUCCCAAUAUCAUGCUAAGUGUGUGCAUAUGUGCAUGAUAUCAAGCGGCCCCCAAAGAGUGUCAUCUUAAGGUUGUGAAAAGGAUAAUGAGAUACUUAAUACAUACACCAAAUUUUGGCAUUUGGUAUCCUAAGAGGUCUUCUUUUAAUCUUGUUGGCUACUCCGAUUCGGACUAUGCUGGUGACUAGGUUGAUAGAAAGUCCACUUCGGGUACUUGUCAAUUUCUUGGUAGAUCUCUUGUGUCUUAGUCCUCCAGGAAACAAAACUCGGUAUCCUUAUCCACCGCCGAAGCGGAAUACAUUGUCGCUGGUUCAUGUUGUGCUCAAUUACUUUGGAUGAUCCAAACUCUUAAAGAUUAUGGGAUAUAUGUGAAAAAUGUUCCAUUGCUUUGCGACAAUGAGAGUGCUAUUAAGAUUGCUCAUAAUCCCGUGCAAUAUUCUCGAACUAAGCAUAUUGAAGUCCGUCAUCAUUUCAUUUGAGAUCAUGUUGCUAAGGGAGAUAUCAAACUUAAGCAUGUUCGUAGCGAUAAGCAAUUGGCAGAUAUAUUCACCAAACCACUUGAUGAGAAAGUGUUUUUGCGGGUUGAGAGGUGAAUUGAACAUCAUUGAUGCCUCAAAUUUGGAGUAGAAACUCCAUGUGGAUGCAUGCAAGGCAUGAGCCUUACUAUGACUAAUCCUUGACUUCUCUCUCAUGAUGAUGAUCAUAUGUCUUGGAUAUUCUUGUACUCUUGCAUGCUAUCUAACCCUUGUAGGUACUUGGAUGAACCCAACUAUAUGAGAUUGCAACUCAAUCACACUCUAAGCAAUCUCUACAUCUCCAAGUCUCUACCAUAUGGUGGUUGAAGACAAGGAAGCAUGAAUCCAUUCAAUAUAUCCUUUGACAAAUUCCUUAUAUCAAAUUUCAAUUGAUAUCAAAUUUCAUGAUUGUCACUUUGGAUACACAAGUGCUCUUCCUUGCAAGACUAACCCAUGUAGGAAGAUGAACUUCAACUACAAGUGGUGAUCCCAACUCUUGAUGAUCUACAUCAACUUGAGCACCCUACACAAGUUCAACUACAUGACCAAGCUCAACACCACCACCCAAGGUAUGUCAUUCCAUCUUAGAGAAGCUUUACCCCAAGACAUGGGUCAAGGCAACUCAACAAGAUGUGAAUACACCAAAAUGCUUAAACAAAAAAUGGCAACCCCAUUUUGAGCUUAAACGAUGAGUAUGACCUAUGAUCAAGUGUCCUCACUUGACUCCUAAGUUAAUAUACUCUAACAAAGGUGACUUUGUCGCCGACCUUUUCUAGAUGAAGUUCUCUGUUGUUUCUUUGUGCUCUUGCAUUUGUCUCAUGCAUGCUAGUUCCCCUUUCAAAAAAAACUUCAUCUAGAUGUCUUUUCUUUUCUUUUCUCUGUUAUUUUCUGCAUUUCCCUGCAUCCAAUUCAUUGCAAAUCCUUCAUUAAUUCCUUGCAUAUCCAUGUGAGAUCCUAAGUGCCUAAGUGAGCUGAGGUGACAAGUAUUUACUCUUUGGGUUGAACUCGGUCUCACCGAAUUGAUCUUUUCGGCAGAACCGAACCAUCUCGGUGUCACCAAAAAUGACAACUCGGUGCUACCGAUUUCAAUCCUGAGACAAAAAUUGUGUCACUUGCAUCCUGCAUAUCUGUUCCAGCUCCACUUUUAUAACUUGUCCUCUACCAGCAUCAUAUAUUACAUGUGGCUUUGUAAUGUGACUCAAGGACCAAACCUACUUGACUCAUGCUCAAGUCCCUUCUUAGAAAUUGAUGUCAAAGGGGGAGAGAGAGAGCACAUCAAAGCUUAUCACAUAAGAGAGAAUGCACUCCUAAAGCUUCUCCUGGUGCUUCUUACUCUUAAGAGGAAAGUUAUCUCAUGUCUUCAAGAGGGGAAAGACAUGAUAGUAUGUGUUGUGAUUAUCUUGCUCUGGUUAUUUUCUUGUUUGCUCUGAUUUUCUAUUACCCUAUCUUCUCCCAUUAUCCAAUGUCAGAUUCAGGGGGAGAAAGACACCUAAGGGAAGAAAAUCUUUGGAAUUCAUUGUAUAUCUUUAGUCUUGGGGACAUGUCAAUAACCAAAUAGAGUACCUAGUACUCACUCUCUACAUGUCAUCCCAGUCUUGUCAUUCUUUGUGUUCUUUAGUUCUUGCUCUGUCUAGUAGAUGUUCUUGUGUUAUCUAACCUUGUUUACCCAGGUACAUCUCUUACAAAGCUAGUUCAAGACCACAAGGUAAGUAUAUUCAUCACACUCACGUGCAUGAAGAUCUCUUGCUAUGGUACAUAUUGUUUGCAAGAGAGAUUCAUGAGCAUGAAGGUAUAUUUCCAGUAUCUACAUCUUUUGCUCUGAUGCAUAUAGCCAAGACACAUGUAACUCAUUGCUUGCUUUGUCAUGUUUAUGCAUUCUCAUCCUCUUAUGAUCUAUCUUCACAUGAUUGCAUACAUGUAGGGGGAGUUAAUGUAUGUUGCAUGUCUUUCCAAAGCUUCACUUGCUAUUUCCUUAUAUCUUUAUCUAAAGCUUUGAUGUAUAUUGUCAUCAAUUACCAAAAAGGGGGAGAUUGAAAGCACAAGUGCUCCCUGGGUGAUUUUGGUAAUUACUGUCAACAUAUCUCUUGUUGGACUAAUACUUCUACCUAGCAUAUUUUAGAUGAGUUCAACAUUGGAGUGACAUGGGCAUGGACAAGAGGAUGUGGAACCCCUUCAAGAUGCUAAGGAUAAAUGUUGGCAAAAGCUCAAGACUCUACAUUUUCAUUUUAGUGAUCCAAGGUUACAUUGAGUCCAUAGGAAAGCCAAUACUAUUAAAAGGGGAUGAGGCGUUGCUUAAUGGCUUGCUUGCUCAAAGUGCUUAGUGAUAUGCUCCAAAAGCCUCAGCCACUUUCUCACAUCCACAUAUGUCCUAAACCUAAAUUUCAAACUCGGCUCCACUGAUUUGAUCUAUCCGGUGCCACCGAGUUUCAUCUGAUACAGCCACUGCCAGACCCUAAUCAGUUCGGUCUUACCGAUGGGAUCUCGGUCUCACCGAGAUGGGCUUACAUAUUCUCUGUGAUCUAUUGCAACAUUUUUGGUCUAACCGAGUUUGAGUAAUCGGUCCCACUGAGUCUGCUUGACCAAUCCUCUGUCUGCUUAUUACCAAAAUCGAUCUCACCGAGUUUGAGUAAUCGGUCAAACCGAGUUGAGGUUUUACCCUAACCCCUACACAUCGGUCCCACCGAGUUGACCUUGUCAGUCCCAUCGAAAACUCUAACGUUCACAUUUUGACCCGAAUCGGUCAGACCGAGUUUUACUAGUCGGUCCCACCGAGUUUGGGAAUCUAUAUGUAACGGCUAGAUUUUGUGUGGAGGUUAUAUAUACCCCUCCACCCAUUCUUCAUUCGUGAGGAGAGCCAUCGGAACGUGCCUACACUUCCAGCAUUCAUUUUCUGAAAGAGAACCACCUACUCAUGUGUUGAGACCAAGAUAUUCCAAUCCAACCACACGAAUCUUGAUUUCUAGCCUUCCCCAAGUUGCUUUCCACUCAAAUCAUCUUUCCACCAUAGCCAAAUCUGUUAGAGAGAGUUGAGUGUUGGGAAGACUAUCAUUUGAAGCACAAGAGCAAGGAGUUCAUCAUCAACACACCAUCUAUUACCUUUUGGAGAGUGGUGUCUCCUAGAUUGCUUAGGUGUCACUUGGGAGCCUCCGUCAAGAUUGUGGAGUUGAACCAAGGAGUUUGUAAGGGCAAGGAGAUCGCCUACUUCGUGAAGAUCUACCCUAGUGAGGCAAGUCCUUCGUGGGCGAUAGCCAUGGUGGGAUAGACAAGGUUGCUUCUUUGUGGACCCUUCAUGGGUGGAGCCCUCCGUGGACUCACGCAACCGUUACCCUUCGUGGGUUGAAGUAUCCACCAACGUGGAUGUACGAUAGCACCACCUAUCGGAACCACGCCAAAAAUCUCCGUGUCUCCAAUUGCAUUUGCACACUCCAAUCCCAUCUCUUUACUUUCUUGCAAAUUGCAUGCUUUACUUUCCGCUGCUCAUAUAUUCUUUGCAUGCUUGCUUGAAUUGUAUUGUGUAUGCUUGAAAUUGUGUCUAUCUACCACCUCAACUUGAAAAUCUUAAAAACUGCCAACUUUAUUUGUUGAGGGUCUAAUGACCCCCCCCCUCUAGACACCUCUUCUCGAUCCUUUCAGUCAAGGAAGGAUUAGUAGUGAUGGUGGUUUUGAUGUUGGGGGUUACCUUGUUGGUGGCUUUAGCCAUGAGGCACUUGGCGGUGGUAUUCUUGUUGGGUGAGUCGAAGAGGGACACCCGUGGAGUUAUUGCAAUGGCAACGGAGGCCAUGGUAACCGUAUCACCGUCUUCAUCAUGAUCAUCCUCAUUUUACUCUUCUUGUGCCACCAACCCCUUGGGAGGAGUGUUCUUGGUGAAGUUGUUCUUGUUGGGGAAGGACUUGGCCUUGUCCUUUUGGAGAAGCUUGCCUCCAUUGUCUUCCCUCUUCUCGUACGGGCAUUCCGCAACAAAGUGGCUCACAUUGCCACAAUUAUAGCAUGUCCUCACAUGUUGCUUGCCCUUGGUGCCACUUGAGUUGUUCUUGUUGAAGUUGGGCCUUGUGUUCUUCUUGCUCCAAAAUUGCCGUGACGCGAGAGCCAUGUGCUCAUGAUAAGCAUACUUGGUAUCUUCGAGGCAACAUUCCUCUUCACUCUCUUCUUCCACACUAGCCUUGGCCUUCAAAGCUAGGUUGGGCUUCUUUGAUUGUUGAGAACGCAACACCGCAUUGUCGGCGAUCUUGUCCAAGAUCCUCAUAGCAACAAACUCAUCCAACACUUCACUUGAGGACAAGGUGUGAAAGUUCGGCCUUUGACGGAUGAUGGAUGACAUGGCCUUGUGGUAGGGCAUCAUGGCCUUGAGAAACUUGCGCUUGAUCCAAUUUUCAUACGUAUCCUUGCUCCCAUGAUCUUGGAGUGAGACCGCGAGAGUGAUUAAUCUCUGGUAAAGCUCACGAGGUUCUUCAUCUUCAUUCAUAGAAAACUCAUCGGCUUCAUCUUGUACCACUUCAAAGUUAGAGCAUUGAAUGCUAGCACUUCCCUUGUAAAUGGAAACAACAUGUUGUCGUGCUUCCUUGGCCACGGUGAAAGGUCGGAGGUGAGCAAUAUCUUCGAGAGGAAUUGCUUCUUGGAGAAUGAAAAGAGCGGACUCGUUGAAUUGAUGGUCCGCAACUUCUCUAGGACUGAAGUUGCUUGGGUCAUGCGGGUAGAAACCUUGCUCAAUAAUUUUUUAAAGAUUAGUAGAACUAUGAUUUAAAUGAAGUUUAAAGCGAUACACCCAAGAAGCAAAAUCCUCAUUUUUCACAAGCUUAGGAGGAGGACCAACAUGAUUCAUAUGAGUUGAGGGAACCGGUCUUCCAUAAGUAAGUGGAGGUUCAACAUGGGCAAAGAUGCCACUCCCACUUCUACCACUAGGAAAAGGAGCAUGCUCACUACUAGCUUCCCCCUUUUUGGAGUUAGCAUCCGUCACCUUGUUAGCGGGAUCAACCACUUCCAAUGGUUCGGUGGAUAAUUUAAGCCCAUCAAGAAACUCCUUAAACAUGCCUUUAACCUCAGCCAUCAUGGAGGUUUUCAAUGUGUCCAUAGCCACAUUGAACUCCUCACGAGAGACUGAGGAUCCCGCAUCGGCCGCGGACAAAGUGGGAUUCGCACCGGGGUGGUCCUCCACCUCGUCCGAGGUGUCAACCAUACUCUUCGAACAGCAAAGUCCUUAAUAAAGAGACGAGGUUCUGAUACCAAUUGAAAGGAUCGAUAUGGUUGACUAGAGGUGCGAAUCCCACUUUGUCCUUAAUAAAGCCUCGUCUAUUAAUUAAGGACUUGGCGGCCAGUGCCAACCAAGGACGGUACUGCCACCGAUGCACCCAAGCGGUACUACCGCUGUGGAACGGCAGUACUGCCGCUUGAGGACCAUGGGAGGUACUACCACUCUGGCGGUGGUACUACCGCUAGCACCUCACAACCUCCACUUCGAUGAAAUCACGAACUCCAAGGAAAUGAAAUGAGCUGGGGUGCAAAGAUGAAGUGCACGUAUUGAUUCCACCCUAGCCUUUCCAGAGCGGACCCCCUCUUGAUAGUACGGUGUCUCCUAUGACUCAAGUCCGCCAAAACUGAAACGAAAGAGACUACACCGUCUUCACUUAAAACUCUGAGGGGCAACGAGUCGUCUUGUGCCUAGACAUGGGAUAUCUGAAAUGCUCAAUGCACACGAUUAGUCCACAAAAGCAUUGUCAUCAAUCACCAAAACCACAUAGGGAGAAAUAUGCCCUUACAAAUGGAAACAUGGAGAAAAGUAUGACUUGUUUUGUUUUCACCUCUAGUAUUGGAGGUGAGAACUCGACUUGGUGUUUCCCGAUGCCUCACAUUCCUAUUGUUCUCAAGCACUCCUUCCUCUUCCUUUUUUGGCUUGCUUGGUUGCUUUAACUUAGAAAACACAUACAUGUGUGCACAUAUUCAAUGUGAGUCAAAUGCGAGCUUGUAAGAGUAAGAUAGAGAGGGCAUAAGAACAGUAGGAAUGAGAAUAUAGGAAAGCCUAACUUACCGGUUCCACUCAUCCCUAUCAUUCUUAUGUGCUCCUUCCUCUUCCUCUUUUUUGUUGCUAAAUCACUUUAGCAGAAAAACUAAAAUAUAUGCACAUAUAUUGAGGUGAUAAGAGAUGUUCGCCAUGUGAGAGGAAGGUUAAGAAAGAAGUAUACGAGCAUCUCUAACAGACCUCAUAUAUCAACAAUCCUUAUAACACAGAUAAGGACCGAGAAAUCGGAUGUUUGCGGGGCGAAAUUGGCUAAGACCGAACAGACCCCGUAUUUGAAACUAUAAAUUUUGAAAGAAAGCAUUCACGGGCUAAAUGAAGAACACAUACUACAUUCAUAGUUUGAUCACCGCUACAUUUCCGAAGUUAUUUUACAUCGCGGCGCCACCCUACCCCUAAACUAGCCAAAAUCGGAGCUCUCCGGGUGCGGUGGCGAUGCUGUGGCAGCGACGCUCACUCAUCGUCGCUGGAGGAGGAGACGAGGUCGACGUACUUCUUGUCUUGAUCCUCCUACUCGUGGCGCCAUGCUGCCUUCUUGGCGUCGAACUCGCGCGUGGCGGCGAGCGCCUGCUCGAAGAGGAGGUCACUGAGCUCCUCGUCCUACUGGUGACACACAUCCUCCUCCUCCUUCUCGCACGCAGUGUGGUACGUCUCCAACGUACCUAUAAUCUUUUUAUUGUUCGACACUAUUAUAUUAUCAAUCUUGUAUGUUUUAUGUGCAUUAUUAUGCUAUUUUAUAUCAUUUUUUGGGACUAACCUAUUAACCUAGUGCCAUUUGUUGUUUUUUCCUUGUUUUUGCCUUUACAGAAAAUCAAUACCAAAUGGAGUCCAAAUGAAACAAAACUUUUUGACGGUUUUUCUUGGACCACAAGACAUCCUAGAAGUUUCGGGGGAGGCUAGAGGAGCCAUGGGAUGGCACAAGCUUGCAGGAUGUGCCCUAGGCGGCGCCCCAAGCUUGUGGGCCCCCUGUAGCCCCUCUAACCCUAAUUCUUCUUCUAUAAAAACCCAAAUAUUCCUUGUAGACCAGGGAGCACACCAAAAAUACUUUUCUGCCGCCACAAGUUUCUAUUCUCGCGAGAUCCCAUCUGGAGGCCUUUCCGAUAAUCUGCCGAAGGGGGAUUCGACCACGAAGGGCUUCUACAUCAACCUUACUGCCCUUCCGAUGAUGUGCGAGUAGUUUACCACGGACCUACGUGUCGAAGUUCUGGGAACAGGGGUCCCCAGACUUGCCUGCCUACGGCCUGUGGCGUGGCUCAAGUAGUGGCCCAGUAUGGCCCAUCUUCAUCAGCACAAGACUCAAGACCCUCGCGAGGGGCCAGGCCUCGCGGGGCGGACGAUGCAAGGCUUCCUCAGGGACGGCCUCGCCAAACAGGCUCGCGAGGAGGCGGAGAGAUCAAGGCAGGGUACCUCGCGAGGUGCUCAUGAUGCAAGCCAUGACGAUCGAGGCCAAGCGGGCGCCGGCCUGUGCAGUGUCCUUGUUUCCUCUUUGGUGCAAAGGGGGCAAGCAUAGACGUGGAGUACCGAGGCAUCAGGCAAAGGUUGCCAUUUCGGUGCAACGAGACCAAGACCAGCGGAGCGGCAGGAUGGAGGUCAAUGUGGAGCUCAAGACGGCGUCAUCGCCAGUGCUUUUGGCAGCCGAAGACCAACUCUAGUCAGGAUAAUUUGUACUAGAUGUUCCCCUUCGAAAUGGCCAUUGUUGGCGAACUUCCCGCUCAAUAUUUGGGGAGAUGCCCAGGGCCUCUAUAAAUAGAGCUAGCCACCACAGAGUAGAGGCAUCGGAUCCAGAUUUUGGGAAGACUAGAGAGAGAGAGGCAAUCGAACUCACCCAAGCAGUUCAUCGCAUCAGCUCAAGAACACCUCUCGCGAGGCCGUUCUUCCCCUGUACUGUUCAUCAUCAGCCCCUGAGGCAAUCCACCACACCACACACUGGAGUAGGGUAUUACACCACAACGGUGGCCCGAACCAGUAUAAAUCUCGUGUCCCUUGUGUUGUUCAUCGUAUUCAGCUUAGAUCUGACGAGGCAAUUGGACGUAGAUCGGUAGGGGAGAGAUCUUCGUGUGCACCUCAGAGUUUGAACCUUAAGGGUCUGCCGGAACCCAACAUCCGACAUUUGGCACGCCAGGUAGGGGUGCGCUGGAAUCUCUCUUCCGCUGUUCAUGCUCGAUCUUCCGUCGUGUCCAUGGCUGACGCUCGCCGGGCUCGCGCCGAGCGUCGGGCUGCUCUCGUCGCCCGCGUCGCCCAGACGGCGCCCGUCGGCGGGUGUCCCCGUCGUUCCCCGUCGCCUGCUGCCAACUCCUCCACCGGCCCGGUGGGGAACAAGCAGCAUGCCUCGUCUCUGCAUCCUUCGGUGUGGCGGGAAGGUCGCACUGCCACCCCGUCGCUGACUCCAGCCGGUUCGUCGUCCCACGCCCGUCGCGCCUCCAUGGACGCGCACGCCGUGUUGCUCCUGGCACGUGAGCUCCUGCACUACCGUCCCAUCGACGACCUCUACGAGGACUGGCUCGCCCGCACCACCGAGCUCGUCAGUGCCGCAGGGGGCUCCCCUAUGUCGUCCCUCUCGCUGCCUCGCCCUCCGUCCUGCGCAGGAGGCGCAGACCAGGAGGUGCCUCCGCCUCCUCCUCCCCAAGAAGGCGCAGACCAGGAGGUGCCUCCGCCUCCUCCUCCCCAAGAAGGCGCCCCAGCUCCAAGGCGCGCGGCCCUAGGACGAGAUCCACCGUGUCCGGCGCACGCGCGACAAGAAAGGAGCUGCCAAGAAAUCCCUCGUCCCCAAGAAGGCGCACGCGUGCUCCCGACACCGGUGCGCCGUGACCGCAUCCCUGCGCCGCCACGUCAAGACCCCGCGCUGCUCCAAGCGGCAGCGCGUGGGAAUUUCCAGGAGCAAGCCCAGCAUCAGCAGAGAGCUCCGAUGGUCACCGCAGGCUGUCGCGCCUUCACCCCCGAGCUACGCAGUGUCGCCUGGCCAGGUAAGUUCAAGCCUGACCUGCCUCCUCACUACGACGACACUGCAGACCCCGCGGAGUUCCUACAGCUCUACGAGCUGGGCAUCGAAGCUGCCAACGGGGACGAAAAGGUCAUGGUGAACUGGUUUCCCAUGGAACUCAAGGACGAUGCCCGCACCUGGCUCCUGAACCUGUUUCCUUGCACGAUCUCCUCCUGGGACGAGAUGCGCACCCGCUUCAUCGCCAACUUCCAGGGCACUCGCGACAGUCUGCCGGCUGUGGGUGACCUGCGCCGCAUCAAGCAGUAGCCUGGAGAGACCUUGCAAAAGUACAUCCAGCGCUUCAACAACGCUCGCCUCAAAAUUCCCAGUGACUGAGGAGGCCAUUAUCUCUGUGUUCUCUGAUGGCGUUCGCGACGUCAAGAUGAAGGAGGAGCUGGCAAUCCAUGAAGAUCUGUGUACGUCACUGGAGUUGUUCAACCUGGCGACCAAGUGUGCAAGGGCUGAGGAGGGACGCCUCUCCCUUCUCGAGCUCCCAACAGCAGACCCAGAAGAGAAGAAAGCCAAGGCCAAGGAUGUGAAGCGCCAGGGAGCAGCUGUGCUCGCAGCAGAGCCGGACACAAAACGCGGCAGGGACCAGUCGGAGUCGUCCAAGGGCAGCCGGUACUGUGUGUACCAUGAUCUCCACACCCACAACACCAACGAAUGCCAAGAGUUUAGGGCCGUACGAGAAGGCCGCGUCGGACGACGCCCCGAGUGCAACGAUCGGGGCUACGACCGAGGAGCAAGAGGUGGAGGAUGAUGGGACGACCGUGGCCCUCGCCAAGGGUAGCGUGACCGACCUCGCGAGGACCACUGGCAGGACCAGCCUCGCGAGGGAUCUUGGAGAGAUCAGCCUCGCGAGGAUCGCCCACAAGGCAACGCAGGCCUUCCUCCUCUGCCACCACCACCAAGGAGGAAUGAAGACCAUCAUCAGGACGAGGGGGCUGGGGGCUUCCAGGAGCCACGUGCGAUUGCUUGCAUCCCGGGCGGCGCUCAGGCCCCAGCCUCACAGCGCAUCUUCAAGCAGUUAGCUCGUGAGGUGAAUGCAGUCGUCCCCAAGCUUGAGGCCACACGCCCUCUCAGGUGGUCUGCGUGCACCAUCACGUUCAGCUCAGUGGAUGAUCUCAAGUGCGCGGCAACGGCCAGUGUCCUCCCAAUGCUUUGUUCCCCAGUCAUCAGCAAUGUGCAAGUCACUAGGACCCUCAUCGAUGACGGAGCAGGACUCAACGUUCUGUCCGUCGAGACAUUCAACAAUCUCCAAGUGCCAUAUGAUCAGCUUCAGCCAACCAAGCCUUUCUCGGGAGUCACUGAUGGUUCCAUUGUCCCGAUAGGGCAGGUCCGCCUUCCUGUCACCUUUGGACAACGCAACAACUACCACACAGAGCUCAUUGACUUCGACGUCUCCCACAUUCGCUUGCCAUACAAUGCCAUCCUCGGGUACCCAGCCCUGGCCAAGUUCAUGGCAGUGACUCACCAUGGCUACAACGUCCUCAAGAUGCCAGGGAGCAGUGGGGUCAUCACGGUCCCCUGUGAAGAGAAGGAUGUGGUGUGCUCCCUCGAGCGCGCCUUCCAGGCCGCGUCGACCGAGGACCCGGACAGCAAGAGUGGAAACCUCCCUGGAGUAGCUCCCAAGAAGAAGAAGACAUCACCUGGUUCAAGGCCUCAGGAGGUAGGCACCUCCGGAGGCGCCACAUCUGGACAUGUGCCCGUCCAAGGGGCGCCACCCUCCAUCGCAUAGGAAGGCGCACCCAGCGCCCUCCUCGGGCAAGGCUCGGGGGCUCUCUCCUGGGGAGUCAUCGACCUUGCCAAAAUCACGAGGGAGGCGCUUGGGCACCACUUGGAGGCGUGCUUCACGGCACGCUUCCCUCAGGAAGGUGUAAGGAAAGAAGGACCCAACCCUCAGGAGUUCAUCACCAAGGCCGCUCAGGAGUUGGAGGAAUCGAGAGUCAUGCGCGGCAACCGCCGUCUGCCCGGCGUAGCUCCCCAUCCAGGCGAGGAUGGCGGGUUGCGCGUCUCCAUCGACUACCCAGGGCUCAACCGAGUCGCUUCUCAGGUGUGCUUCUGGCCUUCGCGCGUGGGGCGUUGCGCGGGCCCACUGCACAGCUUCGUCCGCAUGCCCUUUGGUUUGCCGAACGCGGCUGCAGCCCACCAGCGCUUGAUGAGAAGCAUUCUUGAAGCUCAGGUGGCCAAGCAUCGCACGUUCCUGGAGGAGAUGGAGAUGGACCUCGUCGGGCCGCCCGGACCUCCUGAGCCUCCCGAGGCUCGGAGUCCUGAGGGCUCGUGAGGAUCGGCUUCUUCGCCCCGCACCGCCAGCUACUCCGACAAUUGUUCUACAAUAGUAUCAGGUGACUUCUUUUCAGUUUUCGCUUCAGCUGGGAGCGCCCCCAAGGCUGCAUCAUUCCCAGGUCGCGUGGGUCCGUCCCUGCGGCAUGUAUCCUUUUGCUUAUGACUUCUGCUUACCUUGUUGGGGGCACCCCUCGGGCUGCAUCAUCCCCAAGCUGCUCGGGCCUGAUCCAGUGGCGUUUUCUUUCUCCGCAUCUAUCGAAGUUGAAUUGCUUCUUCAUGCUUAACCUACUCAUGAUUAUCGCCUGCUGCCUACCACGGACCUCUCCACUCUCAUGCAAAGUGCUUGCACAUUAAAAGGGGGGUGCCUGAGCAUCGCGACUCAUGGGCUCUUACUGGCUCUCCAGCCCUCACCCCCUGGCCUUGACCCACGGCAUCGCGACCUGUCAUACCAGCGGCGGCUGAGCUUGCUUGAGGGCCGGGACCUGAGGACAUAGAGCAUUUGCAUUCUAACCACCUUGUAGGAACAUACCACUGACAAAGGCCCAGAGCCAGGUGCAACCCGCCUCGAGGUAGGGCCUCGUGAGUCCCGCGCUGGCUCACGGGUGCCUAGAUACACCUCUCCUAGCCCUACCGUGUCGGCCACGUGUCAGGGCGGGGCUGUAGACGCCCCGGGGGCUCCUCCCGGAGGGGAUCCCCCUCCCACGCACCAGUGGAAGCACCAUGUUCUGCGCUGGCUGACGACACUACCGAGGAGCGGCUAUGCCCGUACACAUACGGAAGCACUAUGCUCCGCGCUGGUGAUAAACAACUGAGGGCAGCCCAUGACUGUAUCAACCUCAGGGAGCCCAGAGAUCAGUGUCUGGCACCAUCGCAAAGCCUCCCCUCGGGAGUGCCGCGCGAGGGGGCUGGACACGGGGGCUGCGCCCAGGCCACGCCCGAGCACAUGCCACCCAGCCAGGUCCCUCAGACCUGGUCAUCGCGCGCCCCUCCCCGAGCGGAGCCAAGGUAUGAAGACUCAUUUGAGCGUCAAGGGGGACUCCUGAGCAUCGCGACUCAGGAGCCUAACUGGUCACGUAGCCCCUCACUCCUUAGUUCCGAAAGGCUAACGACGGUUGAGGUAUGUGUGGGGCCGGGCCCUGCUGACAUAGAACGACAAAUCCUCCCCUUCACCCCUCCCUAUUUGUUGUUCGCGCGUCAAGGGGGGCUCCUGAGCAUCGCGACUCAGGAGCCUAACUUGUCACGUAGCCCCUCACUACUUAGUCCCGUCCUGGUGAUCCGGUUGGGGAUAACGACGGCUGAGGUAUGCGCGGGGCUGGGCUCUUCCGACGUAGAACACAAGCAAAUAGGAAGGAAAUCGCAAAAUCUAGCAAAUCCAGAAGCAAAUAUUACAGACAUAAAUUGUUCUCACAAUACCAAACACGAAUUUAAACGCCUCCACGAGGCAUGGUGCAUGUUGCAGGAAUCAAAGCAGGGAAAAGGCUGCGAGAGGAUCACCCCUGGGCUGCGCCACCGCUCGUGGUAGAGUCGCGCUUGGCAGCCCCACCUCCUGGAGUUGCGGGGCCGACAGCACCUCACUUGGGCGCGGUGUUGAAGGUGCGGAACUUCGAUAGCAAGGCCUCCGCUCGACCCUUGACGGCUUCAGCAGCAGCGGCAGAGUGCUUGGCGUCCACGGGCUCCAGCAGGUCAUCGAGGUUGGCGUCGGGGUUGCGGAGGUAGACGUGGCUGAGGAUCUGCGUCAGCGCUGCGGAGGAGAGGACGCGAGCCUCGACUUCAGCCAUGGGGCCGAUGCCGAUCACGACCUCCUCAAGCGCCUCGACAAGGAAGGGAACUAGCUUAGCGGGGCCUUCCUUGGCUCCGGCCAGUGGCUUCUCCAGGCCCUCGUCGUAGAGCAUUUUCAGUGCUACGCGGGCCCUCUCCUCGUAGAGCGCGAAGGCCGUACGGUCUUCGGCCAGGAUCUUCGCCUUGCCAUCUAGUUCGACCCUCUCCAUCUUCAGCGCCUGCUCCAGCGUCUUCAACCGGUCAUGGUCGGCUGAUAGUUCGGCGUCGCGCUCCUUGACAGCAGCCUCCCGAGCUUUCAUCUCCUCCUCCUUCACCUGGUGGCCACGAAUCUCCUUGGCGAGCUCAUCACGUAGCCCUUGCAAUUCGCCCUCCAGCGUCUUGCAGUGGCCCUUGGCGGUAAAGGCGUCCUUCAAUGCCUCGUCGCGAGCGGCCAUGGCCUGGAAGGUGGCUUGCUUCCCCUCCUCGGAAGCCGUCACAGCCUGGCUCAGCGCCGCUCGGAUGGAGGUGUCAGAACUAGCCCAACUAGAGACCAACUCCAGGCGCCCGGCCACUAGGCCGGGGUCCACGCUCCGGAGGUCCUCCCGCAGCCGGCUCAGUUCGGCGGCAGCACGGUCCAGGGGGGCAGAGGAAGCAGAGGAGAUGGGAGCCGGAGGAGUAGGAGGAGAGGACGGUAGCAUGAUCACGGCUUGGGAGGAAUGGACCCCCUCAGCCUUGGCCACCACGGCGACAACAUCAAGCGCAGGCACCUCUAGAGUCAGCGGGGCCACAAGGGCUAACUCCUCGCCGGAGCGCCCCUGCUGGCCUCGCGAGGACGAUCGGGCAUGGGACGUGCGGGCCCCGCUACCUCCCUUUCCCGCAAGUGAAGACGCGGCCGCGGCCGAGGGGCCCGCCCCAGGCGGGGUCGCCGCAUCUCCCCUCAGCCUCUUCGCCGCGGGCAGCAGCCUACCCAAUGGAAGAUGUCAGGUCUAGACAGCAAAAGACAGGAGCAAGGCGGAAUUCGAACACUUACUGAUUGACCGCUGCUGGAUCCCAUGGACUCCGGCCAAGCUUGAAGCCUGAAAGCCUCUUGUGGGGCUAAGCCUCGGGAGGCCCAGUCGCAGGAGAAGGCGCGCCUGAAGGGCUGGAGCUGACUUCGGCCGAUGCAGGGGCCGGGGUAGACCCUUGGGGGAUCAGCCCGGACCUUUCCUUCCUUGGGAUCAGGGGCGCGUCCUCCCCCUCUCGCCUGGUGCCGGCCUCAUCGUCGUCAGGCAAGGAGCGGAGGGCCCUGAACCUGCGCCAGGGGGAAGUCUCCCACGUCCCCUCGAAGGUCGCCUCCGAGUCAUGCUCCUUGUCCUCGUCGCCAUCUUCCUCCUCUUCUCCGCUGGAUUCGCCGGAGGACAGGUUCACCGUCGCCGUCGCCACCUGACCCUCAGGAUCCUCCGUCGGCACCAGGCCGACCCCGUCGAAGGUGGGCAUGGCGUCCACCACCAGCUCCCAGUCAUCAUGGAGGAACAAAGGGACCGGAGCACCCACCGGGCCUGCCACUUCCUCUCCAACCAAGCAGCACAGGGCCGCGGUCAGAUCCUCGUCGCUCAGGGCAUCCAAGCUCAGGCGGAGGACAACAUCCGCAUCCGCGAGCCUCCACAGCGGGCGCGAGUGCGCCUGAAGAGGGGCCACCCGGUGCGACAGAAACUCCCUCAAGAGUGAGGCCCCGGUCAGCUUCGCCGCCCUCAGACUGCCCGGCCUCAGGUCGGCGUUCAUCUUCUCCAACACCCGCUUCGCCCGCCGGUCAUCUAGCUUCGCGCGGGACCACGCCUCAACGGCCUCGGGCUGCUUUAUCGACAGCUCCAGCAGGGGGUUGUGGCACCCAACAUUCACCAUGACCCACUUGCUCUGGAAGCCCUCAGCCCUCUUCCCGGCCUUCGAGAUGGCGUUGGACUUGGAGUACGCGACAAAACUCGCGCACACGGAGAUAUUGCCGCCAGAGACCCGGAGGGAGAAGAAGUGGCGCAGGAAGGCCAUGGAGGGCGCCACCCCGACAUGCGCCUCACAGUAGUAGGCGAAGAUCGACAAGAGGAGGAUGGAGUUGGGGUGGAUAUGUAGAGCAUGCAACUGAUACUGGCGAAGGACGGCAAGGAAGAACUCAGAGAAGGGAGGAACCAGACCAGCGAUGACGGCGUUCAUGAAGAAGGGGUAGAAGGUGCUCCCCUUGUCCUCCGGCUAGGCGGAGCCAAGACGGAGCGCAGUCUCCCCAUCUCGUUGAUCUGCGACGCCGCCAUCUGGCGCGUGAGGGCGAGAUUCUUUUCCAUCACAUUGGGAGAGACCAGGGCCGGCGAGUACCAGGCCGAUGCAGUCUCAGCCGGAGUCUUGCAGGGGGCCAUGGUUCGCUGGAGGAGAAAGGAUGCGGCAGAUCUGGAGAUUUUGGAGGCAGGAAAGCGAAGAGCAAGAGAGGGGAUCUGGAGCAAGGAGAACGAGAGUAAUGAUGUAAUGCUAACCCAGAGCCAGCCAUUUGUCAGUCGAGCAGUUGCCGAGGCAGCGUGGGGAAGCGGAGACGCCCACGUCCAAUCAACCGCCAUGCGGCGCCCAAGGUCGCAGGCUGAUGGGGCCCGCGGCGCUCUGCACUUGCCCCUUCGCUUCUCCGCUAAGCCAAGUCUGAGCGCGCCUUGGGCCCGGGGGUUACUAUCGGCGUUCUGGUAACGGGGGUCCCCAGACUUGCCUGCCUGCGGCCUGCGGCGUGGCUCAAGUAGUGGCCCAGUACAGCCCAUCUUCAUCAGCACAAGACUCAAGACCCUCGCGAGGGGCCAGGCCUCGUGGGGUGGACGACGCAAGGCUUCCUCAGGGAUGGCCUCGCCAGACAGGCUCACGAGGAGGCGGAGAGAUCAAGGCAGGGUACCUCGCGAGGUGCUCAUGACGCAAGCCAUGACGAUCGAGGCCAGGCGAGCGCCAGGCGGGUGCCGACCUGCGCGGUGUCCCUGUUUCCUCUUUGGUGCAAAGGGGGCAAGCACAGACGUGGAGUACCAAGGCAUCCGGCAAAGGUUGCCAUUUUGGUGCAACGAGACCAAGACCAGCAGAGCGGCAGGAUGGAGGUCACCGUGGAGCCCAAGACGGCGUCAUCGCCAGUGCUUUUGGCAGCCGAAGACCAACUCUAGUCAGGAUAACUUGUACUAGAUGUUCCCCUUUGAAAUGGCCAUUGUUGGCGCCCUUCACACUCAAUAUUUGGGGAGAGGCCCAGCGCCUCUAUAAAUAGAGCUAGCCACCACAAAGUAGAGGCAUCGGAUCCAGAUUUUGGGAAGACUAGAGAGAGAGAGAGGCGAUCAAACUCACCAAGCAGUUCAUCGCAUCAGCUCAAGAACACCUCUCGUGAGGCCGUUCUUCCCCUGUACUGUUCAUCAUCAGCCCCUGAGGCAAUCCACCACACCACACACUGGAGUAGGGUAUUACACCACAACGGUGGCCCGAACUAGUAUAAAUCGCGUGUCCCUUGUGUUGUUCAUCGUAUUCAGCUUAGAUCUCACGAGGCAAUCAGACGUAGAUUCGUAGGAGAGAGAUCUUCGUGCGCACCCCAGAGUUUGAACCUUAAGGGUCUGCCGGAACCCAACAUCCGACACUACGGGUCCAUAGCUAAUAGCUAGAUGACUUCUUCUCUCUCUUUGAUCGUCAAUACAAUGUUCUCCUCGAUGUUCUUGGAGAUUGAGGGAGUCCUGGAUCAAGGGGUCCUCGGACGGCCGUACUAUGUAGCAUGGGCCGGACUGUUGGGCCGUGAAGAUACAAGACAGAAGACUCUCUCCCGUGUCCGGAUGGGACUCUCCUUGGCGUGGAAGGCAAGACUGGCACCCGGAUAUGAAGAUUCCUUUCUCUGUAACCGACUUUGUACAACCCUAGUCCCCUCUAGUGUCUAUAUAAACCGGAGGGUUUAGUCCGUAGAGGCAAUCAUAAUCAUAUAUGCCAGACUUCUAGGGUUUAGCCAUUACGAUCUUGUGGUAGAUCAACUCUUGUAAUACUCAUAUUCAUCAAGAUCAAUCAAGCAGGGAGUAGGGUAUUACCUCCAUAGAGAGGGCCCGAACCUGGGUAAACAUCGUGUCCCCGCCUCCUAUUACCAUCAACCUUAGAUGCACAGUUCGGGACCCCCUACCCGAGAUCGCCGGUUUUGAGUUUUGACACCGACAUUGGUGCUUUCAUUGAGAGUUACGCUGCGUCAUCGCCAAAAGGUUUGAUGGCUCUGUCAAUCAUCUACAACAAUGCAUUCCAGGGGGAGGUUUUCCUCCCCGGACAGAUCUUCGUAUUCGGCAGCUUCACACUGUGGGCCAACUCGCUUGGCCAUCUAGAGCAGAUCAACAACUACGCCCGUGGCCAGCAGGUCAGGUUUGGAAGCUUGAAUUAUGUUGCCGAUAUCCGCAGAGACUUGAUCUUCGACUGAUUCGAGCCCAUGGCAGCCGCUCCCUAUCACUAUGAUGAACAUGACCUAAAUCUGUCAUCAGACCAUACCCAGGAGAUAGCGCCUGCAACUACUCUGGCCCUGGAUCCGGAGCAGAUUGCGCCGUCUGAGGAUGGGAAGCUCAACCCUGCCACGGAAGUCGCAAACUCAGCGGCAUUAGAGCCGCACACAGAUCCAACCUCGAGCGGGGCCUGUGUCAUCGGAACCUCAGAUUCGUCUCUGGCUAUAGGUUCCGAACCGCGUGCAUCCGCGCCCAUCGAACCUGAUCAGGCGCCGAUCGUUGAUUUCAGCUCUGUGAACAUCUUCUGGCACUCACCUUUAGGUGAUGUGCUAAACUCAUUAAAAGCCCUCUCCUUAUCAGGGGACUCUCAGCCGAACUGUAUCCAGUUUGGAUUGGAAGCUCAUGACGGGGAAUUCUGCUUCCCACCCACCACCCACUUCAUAGCCACUGUCGAAGACUUAACCGACAUGGUCGAUUACGGCCACGAUGCCGGAGAGGAGCGGGCACAAAAACCAGCGCUUAUAGGGCCGUGGAAAGAAACCUCCUCAUAUGACGUAUACAUGGUGGAUACACCCAAAGAGAACAAUGGCGACAAUGAAAAGGAUCCAGUCGAGGAUAAUACUCCUGAGAUACAACCAAAGCGCCGAUGUCAGCAGCGCCGCUCUAAACCACGCCGUGGAAAAAAUAGCAAUACCUACACAGGAGGAAAUAAUACUCCGGACGAUGCCGAAGACAAUGAAGACCCCAUUGAGCCAACCUCCGAACAGGAUGAACGGGAAGAUGGGCGAGUUAGCCCUGAUGAACAUGCCACGAAUGAAGACUCGGAGGAAAGUAACUACCUUCCACUCUUUGAGGAUGAGGUGAGCCUCGGCAACAAGGAUUUUAUCAUGCCUGAGGAACCUCUCAAGCAGGAGCGCUUUAAGCGCCAGCUAAUAGCCACUGCAAGGAGCCUGAAAAAGAAGCAGCAGUAGCUUCAAACUAAUCAAGAUCUGCUCAACGAUAGAUGGACUAAUGUCCUAGCAGUCGAAGAAUACGGCCUCGAGCGCCCAACCAAAAGUUACCCGAAGCACAAAUUGUUACCCCAAUUCGAUGACGAGGCGCUGGAGCCCAUCCUACCAGCACAUAAUGCGGCUGACCGACCGCCACGUGGCCGGGACAAAGCGGCAACUCAAGCCGAACACCAGCCCGUACCUCAUGGUAUGGGAUAAGACAUAACAGCUCGGGGUCAUACAUAUGACCUGCGGCAGGACCUAGACAACAGAGCAGGUCAGACCAGAUCGAUCUACAGAUCACGGGGACAUGCCCGGACGUGCAACAACGACCAUCUAGCCGGACGUGACAAACACAACCACGCCCGGGCCGAGCAUCACAGACGAACUCCAUCCGAACUACGUCGCAAGGUGGCCCGACAUAGAGGCGCCGCACACCCCCUUUGCUUCACUAAUGAAGUAAUGGAACAUGAAUUCCCGGAAGGGUUUAAACCCAUGAAUAUCGACUCAUACGAUGGAACAACAGACCCCGCAAUAUGGAUUGAAGAUUUCCUCCUCCAUAUCCACAUGGCCCGCGGUGAUGACAUCCACGCCAUCAAAUACCUCCCACUAAAACUAAAGGGGCCAACGCAGCACUGGCUGAACAGCCUCCCUGAGAACUCCAUCGGCAGCUGGGAAGACUUGGAAGACGCCUUUCGUCAUAACUUCCAAGGUACAUAUGUUCGGCCUCCGGACGCUGAUGACCUAAGUCACAUCAUUCAGCAGCCCGGGGAGUCUGCCAGGAAGCUCUGGACUAGGUUCUUAAUCAAAAAGAACCAAAUUGUUGAUUGUCCGGACGCCAAAGCCCUCACGGCCUUUAAACAUAGCGUUUGAGAUGAGUGGCUCGCCCGCCACCUCGGUCAAGAAAAACCAAGAUCCAUGGCUGCCCUUACCACUCUGAUGACCCAUUUUUGCACGGGAGAAGACAACUGGCUUGCUCGUAGAAGCAACAACACCAUUGAUCCGGGUACUUCCCAAGUUCGAGACGGCAAUGGCAAGCCACGACACAAUAAACACAAGCGUCGCAGUAACAAUGAAGGAAGGUAAGACAUAGCGGUCAACGCCGGAUUCAAUGGUUCCAAACCCGGUCAACAUAAAAAGCCAUUCAAGGCAAACAGAGAUGGAACAUCCAAUUAAGAUAAGAUACUGGACCGGUCCUGCCAGAUUCAUGGCACCCCCGCUAAACCAGCCAAUCACACCAACAUGAGCUGUUGGGUUUUUAAACAAGUCGGCAAGCUUAAUGCCGAACACAAGGUGAAGGGGCCACCCAGUGACAGCGAUGAUAAAGAGACUCGCCAGCUGAACAACGGGGGUCAGAAGCAAUCCCCCCCCCCCCCGAAGUAAAGAUAGUGAACAUGGUAUACGUGACACACAUCCCUACAGGGGACUGCAAGCGCGUGCUACGGGACGCCGGCGCCAUAGAGCCAGCCGCCCCAAAAUUAAGCCAAUGGGCAGCCCGCCCGAUCACUUCUGAUCGCAAGGACCACCCAGCCUGUAUCCUUCAUGAAGGUCUGGCAGCUCUCAUCCUCGAUCCAAUUAUCGAUGGGUUCCAUCUCACGAAAGUCCUUAUGGACAGCGGCAGUAGCCUUAAUCUACUCUACCAAGACACUGUCCGCAAAAUGGGCAUUGAUCCUUCAAGAAUCAGGCCCACCACAACUACCUUCAAGGGAACAAUAUCCAGCGUUGAAGCUCACUGCAUGGGCUCGAUUACAUUGGAAGUCGUUUUCAGCUCGCCGAACAACUUUCGAAGCGAAGGCUUGACCUUUGAUAUUGUCCUGCUCCGCAGUAGCUGCCAUGCACUACUCGAGCAUACCGCUUUUGCUCGUUUUAAUGGGGCCCCGCAUUACAACUAUCUCCAACUUAAGAUGCCUGGUCCAUGCGGCACCAUCACGAUAAAUGGAAAUACGGAAUGCUCCCUCCGUACAGAGGAACACACUACGGCUACUGCGGCCGAAGUACAAAGCGGCCUUAUCAAGCCGCACAUUUCGUCGGCCGUCAAGCCGCUGGUCUCCAUUAGACAUGACCAAUCAAUCUCAGAGCUGAAUUAGCAGUUCGACCUCCACCGUCCGCCCCAUAUAGCCGUGAAGUUUGUCCCCCACACAUAAUUAUACACUUAAAAUACCCUAGUCACCGGCGGAGGCACAAUGCAGACAGACCUAUAACAUUAUCCGCACACUCAUAGUCUUUUCCUUUUUCUAACCAUUUUUUAUCUUUUACCACAGGUGACUAUAUUUGCUGAGAAGUCCUUUAACCAAGGCAAGGCAGCGCAGACGUGCGACAAGAGGUCCAAAUGUUUUUUGUAGACCGCACUCUUUAUUUCAAACCUGUAAAGUGCCCUUCUUCUCAGCUUUCGACCCCCGGCAUGUCAAGUAGCCUUGGUAGUAGCGUUAUAAUCUGUAAAGAUCGCGCUUGACGUAUCAUUCAGAUGCUAGUCAACAUAACCCGUAUUCAGUAUUUGCUUUUCUCAAAGAACUGAAUUUUGCUUCUGUGGUUAUUUCACAAACGCACCUCGGCAUAUAUUGCCAGGGGCUCGAUAUGGCAACAUAUGAGUCGCCGACAAGUCCGAACAGCUUCAUAGCACACUUCGGCGUCACGAGUUUGGCCUUAUAUGCAUCAACUCUGAAUCAUGUCUUUGGUCAAUAGUUGGGUUGUCCGGCUCCUGUGCUUACUACCUUACGUUCCGCUCUAUCGGCUAGGGUAGUAAAGGGAGAACUACUGCGAUUGUGUCCUGGUUUGUCCGGAUGAGCACCUCAGUAGAGAAAGCCGAAAACUGACUGUCAUGAUGCGGCGAGAGCUGGUCAACCACUCGAUGACUCACGGAAUCUUCACGAUUCCUUCCGUAUUACACGAAGGACCGUUCUGGUCACGUAUGUAAACGCACCGUAUUCGGAUAACCGCGUACAUACCAGGGGCUAUAUCGUAGACCCACUGUCAAACUCCUAUGGCUAAGUGAAAGUGUUAAAUCCCUAUAGUCCGAUUGCCUGGUUCGCCGCAUUGACACCUCCUUAAUGGACCAAGACUUUGGGUCAAGAGUGAUCAAGUGCUUUUCCGAACACCCCCGCAUUAUAUGCGAGGGGGCCGAAGCCGAUGACUGGUAAACUUUCAGAUUAUACAAAAAAGGCCACACAGGAGGCACCAAAAACUUUUUAGGCAAAAUUAUUAAAAACAUAGCCCUAAUAUAUCAUAAUAUUGUUUUUACAAUUUUGGUACACUUCACUCGAACAUAAUAUCUUUUGAGCACUGACCCUCUAUCAAGCGGGCACCCUCUAGGACAUCCUCAAAAUAAUGAUCUGGCGUGUGAUGGUCCUUGCCCUUGGGUGGACUUUUCGCUGCAAUAUCGAUGGCCUUCAUCUUCGCCCAGUACGUCUUGACACGGGCAAGGGCCAUCCAUGCACCUUCUAUGCACGUUGACCGCUUAACAGCGUUGAUACGGGGCGCCGCAUCAACAAGUCGCUGCACCAAACCGAAAUAACUAUUCGGAAUUGGCUCGGUCGACCACAGCCAGACCACGACGUCCUUCAUGGUAGAGCCGGAUAUCUUGUGGAGCUCGGCCCACUGGGCCAUCUGUUCGUUCAGCAACAGCGGACGCUUUGGCAUGCUGAAUUGCGACCAGAAAAGUUUUUCCGUCGCAUGUCCUUCUUGCGCUUGGAAAAACUGCGUCGCAUCGGAGACACUCUUCGGCAAGUCCAAAAUGCGUCUAGAGAACUCCACAUUUGAUUAAGCGGGGCAUACUUCGGAUCGCUGAAUUUAGUUUGUAAUAAGAAGGGUUUACCAGCCGCGAUCUCCCCAGCUUGUCGGAUCUCCUCCCGAGCCACUCUAGACUCUGACCGUGCUUCCCUCGCCUCUUGUAAGGCCUUGUCAAGAUCGAUUGCUCUGGUUUUGUUAUCUUUCUCGAGAAAUUCACAUCGGCUAAUGGCAUCCUUUAGCUCAAGCGCCAUAGUAGAUAUUCUCUCCUCGCACUAGCGCCGAGCAGCCUGUUCGGCCUUUAAUUCAGCAGCUGCCUUUUCGGCAGCCGCAUUACUCAUCCUGGCUUGCUCCUUGGCCCGGGCAAGCUCAGCCCGAAGGGUCUCAACUGCGGCGGCACUAUCUGCAGUUAUGCAUAUCUCAUUAUACAAUUCUCAGCGUCAUGCUCAUAUUAUAGUACUUGCAUAUACUGACUGUCCCAAAAACAUACCUUGCGCCUCGUCGAGCCGCCUGUUAAUAAGCGUGAUGUCAUCAUCCACCACAUUAAGUCGCUGCUUCAGAUCUGCAACCUCUGUAGCUUGGGCAAUCGCCAGGGAUGUAAAAGCCUGUGUUCCAAUUAGUCAGAUUAUUUCCUGGGCAUAUCUUUCUUGAUCCUCUGAUCGCCUCCCUUCGGACGCCAACAAGAGUCUCAGGGGCUACUAUCUAUACACAGGCGCAUUUUGCGUUUAUAGCACAAUUGAAAAUAUUACAUUACAUACGUUGAAGCCUCUUAGCAGGCCCGUAAAGGCUUCAUUCAAUCCGCUUUUCGCGGACAGAACCCUCUCAACUACCGUACCCAUCAAGGUAUGAUGUUCCUCGGAGACGGGCGCAUGUCACAAUAUGUCCAUCAAUGUAUCUGGUGCCUCCAGAUCCCUAGAAGCAGCUGUAGGGGUACAGACUCCCUUCAAAGGAAUAUGUUUACUCGACCUUAGAGUCGUCUCUAGCUGUAAAUCGGAUAGUCCGGGGCCUUUGUUGUUGGUCCGCGUAGGGGCCGCACACCCCGGACCCUAGACGGCCGAAGUAUCACCUUCGGGCCUAGUCUUCAUUGUCCCUCGCACCACUUGUUGAUCGGGAGAGAUCCUCCGGUACGACAUCUCGAGGUCGUCUGCCCUAUUGGGCAGGGAUAUCUGUGGAGGCGUCUUGCUCUCCAUCAUCUCCGGAAGAAGAUCCCUCGAGGAGGAGGACUGUUGAGGAAGGUUGCGUGCCGGACUGCAAACAUAUAUUUUAAAUAUUUCCCUUGCAACCAGGAAAGAACGGGAUAUGUUUAAAACACCCUUGUUCACUUACCAUUCAGCUAAGGGCCUAUCCUUACGGAGGAACUGUGUGACAAGGUCGCCUCCCGAACCAGAACCCCCUGACAGGGAUAUCUUCUCUCGCUUAGAAUCCUUUAUCUUCGAGUCUUCGGAGGCGGUCCUCUUCUUCCCAUGGGGAGAAGGGAUGUCAGUUUCUCCUUCCCUUUCAUCUUCGGAAGAGGGAGUUCCAAUCUCCCCGAACGAGGUGUCUGGUGUACCUCUAGAAUGGGGGCCAGCCUGGGCCUUCUUGCUCUCCUCCUUGUCUUCCUUCGCCGGCACUUGAUAUGGUGUCGAAACCAGCAUCCUUGUUAACACCAGAUCAGCUGAGUCUUCGGGAAGAGGGGCCGAACACCUAAUUCUCUCCGCCUUCUUUAUCCAGCCCUGGCCGAGUAUGGUUUUCUCAGUAUAUUGUUAUGGGAAAUUUAACUAAGUUGUGUUCAAGAGUUGAGUGCUUACCGAGGUAUCCGGAUGGUUGCAGUCAAGGCCGAUGUCCUCUGUAGUAUCCGGACACUGUUUUCAUGUCCCGGAGAAUAAUUUCCACAUUCCUCUGAGCGUCGUGUCGUAGAAGUGCUGAAGGGUUCGUGGUCCUUCUGGAUUGAACUCCCACAUGCGGAGAGGCCGUCGCUGGCACGGUAGGACCCGACGGACUAGCAUUACUUGGAUUACGUUGAUAAGACCAGUGUCCUUUUCAAUGAGGCUCUGAAUGCGGCUUUGCAGCGUCCGCACUUCAUCAAUUGAUCCCCAGUCCAGCCCCUUAUUAAUCCAUGAUGCAAGCUGUAACAGAGGGCCAAAUCGGAAUGCAGGUGUAGCUGCCCACUUGGUACCACGGGGUUCACUGAUGUAAAACCACUCCCACUGCCAUAGGUUGGAAGUUUCUAUGAAGGAGCCUUUUGGCCAAGGAGUAUUGGUGAGUUUGCUCACUGCGGCCUUGUUUGGUUCAACUUUUAUCGAUGCAUUCCGCUGCCGCGCAGCAGAAUCUGAACCAAAGGGCGAACCUAGCAUAAUCCGAUUCCAGAAAUCCGCUGCUAAAAUCUGAACCAAAAGCGGAAGCAGCCCAGGACGUGCUUUUCAAAAUCUGAUUCCGCUGCGGGCCAAAAUCUAAAAAAGUUGUAUCAGCUGGUUUGCCAAAUGACCUACAUCUUUUUCACAUCAGAUUUUCCACAGUUGUUUUUCCACAGCAAAUUUUUCACAGCUGCUUUUAGGAAUCAACAACCGAACCAAACAGGGCAUGCAGCACCACCGCACUCUGCUUGUUUCCCGUCGACUACCUUCGGCUUCACAUUAAAGGUCUUGAGCCACAAGCCGAAGUGUAGGGGAAUAUGGAGGAAGGCCUGGCACAUGAUAAUGAACGCCGAGACGUGAAGAAAGGAGUCCGGAGCUAGAUCGUGAAAAUCUAGCCCGUAAUAGAACACGAGCCCUCGAACGAAGGGAUGGAGAGCGAACCCUAGCCCUCGGAGGAAGUGGGAGAUGAAUACGACCCUCUCGCCGGAUCUGGGAGUAGGAAUAACCUGCCCUUGAGCAGGAAGCCUGUAGAGGAUUUUCACGGUCAGGUAUCUUGCCUCCCGGAGCUUCGUGAUAUCCUCCUCUGUGACAAAGGAAGCCACCCACCGGCCUUGAGGGCUGGGUCCGGACAUGACUAGGAAGCGCGGAGCGAUUAACUUGAACCAUGGGUGCUGGAACUCGAGGUGGGAGAGGGUGAGGAAAGGGUUGGCGUAAAGGAGAAAAGACGGGUCUUAGCCCCUUUAUAAAGGCGAUGAAUAUCAAAUGUCCCCUCCUAGGCCUUAAAACCUGCCUUUUCCCAAGGAAUCAUGCCAACAGAACAGUUGGGUUACCCACGCCCGUAUUGAUGAGAAUCCCACAAUAAGGGGACACGAUCUCUACUUUGACAAGACGUGCCAAUGAAACCGUAUCUCGAAAUAUGGAGCGGCAGGCUAAAAAUGGUUCAAAAUAAUGGUCGGGCGGCGACGUGACGUCAUGCUACAAAAAUUAACAGCGGAUUGGACUCGUGAAAUAUUAUACUCUCUACGGUUGUGUGUGGAAUUUGUUUUGCAGAACCGUACACAACUCUUGUGUUCAAAGACUAUUUUGGAGUAUUCGGAGAAGGAACCCGCUUUGCAAUGCCGAAGACAAUUCGCGUGUCGGACACCUCGUCAUUGAAGCCUGGUUCAGGGGCUACUAAGGGAGUCCUGGAUUAAGGGGUCCUUGGACGGCCGGACUAUGUAGCAUGGGCUGUGAAGAUACAAGACAGAAGACUCUCUCCCGUGUCCGGAUGGGACUCUCCUUGGCGUGGAAGGCGAGCUUGGCGCCCGGAUAUGAAGAUUCCUUUCUUUGUAACCGACUUUGUACAACCCUAGUCCCCUCUAGUGUCUAUAUAAACCGGAGGGUUUAGUCCGUAGAGGCAAUCAUAAUCAUAUAUGCCAGACUUCUAGGGUUUAGCCAUUACGAUCUUGUGGUAGAUCAACUCUUGUAAUACUCAUAUUCAUCAAGAUCAAUCAAGCAGGAAGUAGGGUAUUACCUCCAUAGAGAGGGCCCGAACCUGGGUAAACAUCGUGUCUCCCGCCUCCUGUUACCAUCAACCUUAGACGCACAGUUCGGGACCCCCUACCCGAGAUCCGCCGGUUUUGACACCGACAGAGAUCUAUUUGAUGUAAUCUUCUUUUGCGAUGCGUUCAUUGAGAUCCGAUGAAUUAUGAAUUUAUGAUCAAAUUAUCUAUGAAUAUUAUUUGAGUCUUCUCUGAACUCUUUUAUGCAUGAUUAAGAUAGCUUUGUAUUUAUCUUUGAUCUAUUGAUUUGGUUUGGCCAACUAGAUUGAUUUUUCUUGCAAUGGGAGAGGCGCUUUGUAAUGGGUUCAAUCUUGCGGUGCUUAUUCCCAGUGACAGAAAGGGACAUGACACGUAUUUGUAUUGUUUUCCACUAAGAAUAAAAAGAUGGGGUUUGUUCAUAUUGAUUGGAUCUAUCCCUCUACAUCAUAUCGUCUUGCUUAAGGUGUUACUUCGUUCUUGUUAACUUAAUACACUAGAUGCAUGCUGGAUAGCUGUCGAUGUAUGGAGUAAUAGUAGUAGAUGUAGGCAGGAGUCGGUCUACUUGUCACGGACGUGAUGCCUAUAUUCAUGAUCAUUGCCUUAGAUAUCGUCAUAACUAUGUGUUUUUCUAUCAAUUGCUCAACAGUAAUUUGUUUAUCCAAUGUAUGCUUUCUUUCAAGAGAAAAGCCUCUAGUGAAAACUAUGGCCCCCGGGUCUAUUUUGAUCAUAUUAUUUUCAAAUCUAUAAAAUCAAAAACACAAAAAUACCUUGCUGCAAUUUAUUUACUUUUAUCAUAUUUUGCACUUUUAUUUAUCUUUUAUAUCUAUCACCAUCAAAUCUCAUCCUUUCAAGUAACCGUGAAGGGAUCGACAACACCUUUACCGCGUUGGGCGCAAAUAUUUGUUUGUUGUGUAGGUGCAACCAUUGGUGACUUGUGUGUUCCUCCUACUGGAAUGAUACCUUGAUUCUCAACUGAGGGAAAUACUUAUCUCUACUUUGUUGCAUCACCCUUUCCUCUUCAAGGGAAAAACCAACGCAAGUUCAAGAAGUAGCACAGUGCGCUCGACGAGCACCGCUUCAAAGGCGUCCGCGUCGGGCCCGACGAGGUAGUCCUCCGGGCAGAUGAGGCCGCGGUCGCGCGGCCGCUCCUCUCCCGGCUCGAUCUUGACGGCGCAGAGCGGAGGAAGCUCGUCGGGCUCCCCGUUCACUGGAAGCAGCGACGCGCCAAAAGAACUCCCCGCGUCGGAAGAGCUCCCCGUGUCGAAGCGUCGUGCAUGGCGGCGGUCGUACUCCUUUGUCUCGCGGCGAAGGAGGGACGCCGACACCGAGAACCCGUAGUUCGUGUAGCGCUUGGCCGUGCGCUUGCGCGCCGCGUCGGCGGUGACGCAACGCUUGCGCUCCGGGUCAACGCCGUCAUCGCGCCAGCCAGAGCUCCACAUCGUCGUAGAUCGAUGGGCGGGGGUGGCGUAUUUAAGCUCAUCGGCAGCCAGAAAUCGAAGAGGGAUUUGGGAAUCGUGGCGGGGGAGGGAUAGAGUUUCGGCCCGUAUACUCACGGCAAAACCCGUAGAUAUACCGUGUGGGCGGGGAUGGUUUGUGGGCCACCGUAAAAUCUUUUACGGGCUGGGCGAAUAUACGGGCUCUGGUCUAGCCAAAAAAAGACCAAACCCGUAUAGUCGCCGAAUUUUUACAGUUCACGCGAAUAUAAAGAGUCUGCUAGAGAUGCUCUAAGAGAAGUAGGCAAUAUAAGGGGUCUACUAGAGAUGCUUUAAGAGCAGUAGGCACGGGAAAAUGAUGGAAGCCUAAAGAACUCGGUUCCUGUUCUAUCACUAGAAGAGGUUUUGGUUUGAGCUUUCCGGAUGCCUCCCGUGCCUAUUGUUCUUUGGUGUUCCUUCAUCUUCCUUUUGGAUUGCAACAUAAAAAGAAUUCAGGAUAUAAUAUGAUUUUAUUCAAGUUAUUUCUUUGGCAUGCAUUAAUCCAUUGAUAAGGUAAUAUAAGAUGGUGGCAUGGUUUGGUUUAUACUUUAUUAUCCUCUCUGGUUGAUGCUAGAGAUAACACGAAUUUCAAAUCUCGAAUUCUGAACCGACGAAUUCGUGAAAAUUCAGUCAUACAUAGAUUGUAGUGAAGUAUAGCACACUUGUCAAUUUGCCUGUCACGUACUCCAUCCGUUCCCAAAUAUUUGUCUUUCUAGACAUUUCAAAUGGACAACAUACAGAUGUACGUAGACAUAUUUUAGAGUGUAGAUUCACUCAUUUUGCUUCGUAUGUAGUCACUUGUUGAAAUCUUUAAAAAGACAAAUAUUUGGGAAUGGAGGGAGUAGAAACUACACUGCUAAUUUUCAUUUUUCGUCAAAGUUGAGUGCAAUAACAUUUCACAUAAAUGGCUAACAUAUACUAUUAGAGACUGUUGACUGAACGGAAUGAAAAUUGAGAACAGAGAUAAUACUACAUCAAAAAUAUAUAGAUAGCACAGAGAAAUCUGAAGCCCAUAAGAAUUUACUAUAUAAUUGCAGCAAAUAGUCAUUGGAAAAUAAUUAGGUGCGAGACUCGACUACUUUGCAUAUUUCAUCUAACAGGAUUGUUAACUACUUGUCCUAUUGAGAUACCGAAUGAUACUGUAACAAAGGGAGGCUUCAGCCAAUUCGACUUCGCAACAGAAAGUAAAACAUUACCCUUAUUUACUAUGUUAGCUAGAUGGUAAGCCAACUCCCCAUCUCUAUAAUCAGAUCUCCUUGUUUGUUGCUCGCAAACUUCAAAGUUUGAUGCCCUUCGCCUUUACAUUUGCCAUGCUAGCCAGCCCACUCGCUGUCUCUGAACCCACCAUGGUCGGCGUCUCAACAGGAUCCACGAGGUCGACCGCCCUGUGUGGCUUCCUCCUUGUGUAUGUGUAAGGGAGUCUAUGUCCUUCAACUCUUGUAGCAGAGUUCAUGAAAGGAGGUGCCUUCGUCUUCAGUCCAUCAUGAUGCUGUUUGAGCACUGUUUCAGACUGCAUCGGGAAGUUAUAAGGUGGGUUUGUGCUUGCACCAAGGGUAAGCAUCUCAGAAAUAAUGUCAGCAUUUCCUGGGUUGGACAUUUUCAUCAAUCCGUUCGUCUCGUGGCCAACGGCGGUUCUCGUAUACAGACCAGGAGAACUUUCAGGAACCAUGGCACCCGGCCGACCAAAGUUCUUCAAAAGGUUCUUCUCAUGGAGGGAUUCUCUUGUGUCGUUUCCUUCAUUCGAAUAUGCUGUGAUAGGUUUAGCUGCUGACUGAUACCCACUCAACACUGCAGAAUGGUUGCAUGUUUUGAGAUCCUCUAAAACAGCAUGCUGGACUCCAAAUGGGCUUUUGACCAAGAUAGGGUAAGUUUCCAGUGCACCCUCCGCCUGCCAGGAUUUUGAGCUUGAGCUGCCUAAAGAACUUCUCCUUGUGUUUAUGUAUAAAGGAUAAGAUGGAUUCACAGAAAAAUUAUGUACAUGCUGUGAAAAAGCAUAAGGAGAAAAGGUGGAGACCUGCACUCCCAGCUGAGGGAGUGGGAUCAGUCCUGGUGUAGGAUGUAUUCCUGCAUUGCCAUCAGCAAGGGAAUCACUGUCGGCAUUUGCUUUAAGCACGACUUUUGGUGGUUUGCUACAUUUUUCACCGGGCACAUCUCGAAGGUGAAAAAUGUGACUAUUCGAUGAGCUAAUUUCCACUGAUUUUGCUCCAUGGACUAUCUCCUUGUAUUUGGCUGACCAAUUGGUACUUGAUGUCCCUUCUAUAAGUUUAGCUCGCUUCAAUGGUGCAAAACUGGCAGCUUCAACCUUGCCAAUAUUUGAUAGUCUUGCAUUCAAAGGAGAACUGUUUGGAUCUGCAAAUGUGAGAAGCUUCUCUUGUAUCCAGUUGUGCCAAAUGUGAAUCUUCUCCUCAAGACUAGUAUCCACAAGAUUUCUUCUCCACAGCUUGUCCAUGCACGCAAACUUCCAAACAAUGCCAUCAUGAUACAACUUCAGAAAAUGAUAAUACCUUCGUCUCUGAAAGUUCAUCAGUAAUUCUCUUGCCCGAGAAACUUCUGGAGAAUAAAAUCCACCAUUCAAUCUGUCAAAAAACCCUCUAAGUGGACUCCCAAAGAACAUAGCACUGCCACUCAAGAGCUCCAUCAUUGUUGUAAACAAGUCAUGUUGGUCCAUGUCCGGGAGGUAUGCUGCUAGACGGAAUCUAUCGUCUUCUGUUAGACAUGAGUUCCACGUCUCCAGAGACAGUAUGUCAUUUAACCCAGGCAGAUCAUAAAGCCCAUAAGGCACAUUGCACAGCUGGCCUCCAGACAUUGCAAGCUCACAAUCGACCUUCGCAUGUUCGCAGUCAUCGGCAGAAUCAUGAACAGGAAAGCUCUCAAGCAGUAAUUUCUCCUCUUGUGUAAGGUCCUCAUUUUCACGGCUGUAACCACACUUCGCUAUAGGCGCACCACUUGCAACCUUCACAAUGCCCAUUGAUGAUGAAGAAGAAGAGGCCCAAUACACCAAUCAGUAUCAGAGACAAUCACAAAAGAGAGUCCGCGAUGAUUUCAGCACAAUACCACACUAUCCAGUAGAAGACCCCUGUGAGAAAAAGGAGCAAACAAGCACUUAUCAGCAAGAUAGCACCCAAGACUAACCAAUAGUUCAACUUGGAAAUCACUGUUCAUGAAUUGUCAUACAGCAAAAAUGAUGCAUGCCAGAACUUAAACCACUGGAAAUAUAAAAAACCCUACAUUACUGUAACGUAUACGCCAUAAGCAACAUUGCCUCCAGUGAUCGAACCAACUUUUUUUUUUAGAAAAGGAGGAUGACCCCCGGCCUCUGCAUCUGGGCGAUGCAUACGGCCACUUUAUUAAUUAUUCUCACAAGACCUUACAAAGAAAUACAACAGUAAGACUAAAGCCACCGUCUAAGCAACAACUGUCGCUACGCCUAUCCAAAUGAUGAAGGGGCGCUGAUAGUCUGGGCCUAAUACCAAACAGACAUCGCAGCCAAACCUAAACAUCUAAGACCUGAGGUUCCAACCAGGACGCCUACCUGGUAUGGGGCACCUACCAGUCCGGCGCACUUCUCAACCAGGACGCCUGCCGGGUAUGAGGCCGCCGCAGCCACCUGCCACGAGUCCAUCUUUAGAGCUGUACUGUUGCAUCUACCAUGCCAGAUCUCUCUGCCAUCGACGUCACCACGACGCCAGACAGCGUCGUCCUCCUGCGCGAGUCCAUCCUCCCACAUCAAACUCCGAAUCUGCACUGCGCCAUGCCGUCAAGAUCCGUCGCCAUCAAUGUAUGGAUGAAACACCGAUCCACCAAAGAAACCGUCCGCUGGUCCCGCGAAGCAAGGCUCAGCACCAAGUAGAAGGCCGAAGCGCACCGCCACCACGCCACCAGCAGCCCCGCCACCAAGAGUUGUUCCCAGCCGCCGCCUUCAAGAAGGAGCACGACACCAGGGUGCCGUCGACGCCCAGACCAGGGGAACAAAAGCUUUCGCCAUAGCUCGAGGAGGAGGCGGAAGGGAGAGGAUCCACCCCAAAGCCUUCAGGAAGGGGAUCGGCGCCAAAGGCGUCGACUUUGGGGAGGCUGCCGCGCCAGCCAGGGGUUUCCCCCGGAACCUCACCCGCACGCCAGAUCCGCCAGGCCGGCCAUAGGGGACGCCGAAGCCGCCGCCAAGGACCGGCGCCAGCACGGAUCGGGACAGAUCGAAGCAGAGGCGGAUCUUCUACAUGGAGCCAUGACGGAUUGCGAGGAACCGCCACUGCGCCAGCGUCCGCAGCCCCCACGCCGCCCGCGCGGCCGUGGGAGGCUGCCCACCAGAGCCCGCCGACACAGCCCGCCGGCUGCACCGCGCCCAUCCCGCCGCCACCAUCAUUGGGAGGCCCUCAGGCGGCGGCAGAGGGAGGGGAGGCAAGGGGGAGGCGCGGCGGCGGCGCUAGGGGGCGUCACCACCACGCCAGAUCCACCUUCCUCGCCGCCAACAGAAGCCGGCGGGCCAGAUCGGGCGCGGACCAAAUCUGGCGCCUAAGCACCCGCACGCCUACGCCGCAGCCACGGCCGGCCAAGCUCCAGGCCACGCCACUCCACCCACCACCAGAAGCAGGAGGGGGGCUGCCACCCCACCCCGACGCGCCGAGAGUACAGAGACUCGCCGGCGCCGCCGCACCGGCCGGACGGCCGAAAAAACCGCCAGCCAAGGAGGCGUUGCAAGGGCUGACGGAGGAGGAGCGCGAGACGGAGCAGAGGGCCGCCGGGGAGCGCCGCGACGGCCGCAGCGCCGGAGGCCGAGCCUCCCCCCACCUGGAGCCCUCGCCGUCGAGAACGACGCCGCGCGCGCGAGCGGGAAGCCCCGCCGCCGCCGUCCGCCGCGCGGGCUUCGCCCGGCAGUUUCCUCCGGCGGCGGCGCGGCAGGGGGAGCCGGGGAGAGGGGGUGGCGGCGCGGCGGGCUAGGGUUCCCCCGAGUCGCCUCCUAGGCGACGCGGGGGUCGGGGUCGGGCCCUCUGUCCAGUGAUCGAACCAACUACACGGUCCAGAAGUAUGAACAUCACAUUGGACAAAUAAAUCCUUCUAACCCUUCUCUUCCAAACAGUAAAACGUAUCACAUCUUCUCUACCAUUUCUAUUUCUGUUGGCCUAACUUGUACAAUCACCUAGAACACUUGUACGAUCAACUAGACAGUAUAGAGACUAACCCCACCAGAGAAAAAUCUAACAAAAAAUGACCUAAAUUCGGACCUCCUAGAACCGGAUCGCGCAUUCCACAAACUGGAGCACAAACUGAAGCCGCGAGACACGCAUGCACCGCAUGCAAUUCCGGGAAGCAGAAGCGCCCCCACACAGGUACCACGAAAUCACACGCACAAUUAGCAAUAACUGAAGCUCAAGCCACCAACCUGCCCUACGAUCCGGCCGCCGAUUCUCCCCGCGAAUCCGAGUGAGCUACGUGCCCACACCCAACGAAUCGGGCCCGGCGGCCGUCCCACCGCGCGGAAUCGCGGCUGGAGACGGCGAACUGCCCGGCGGAACGGGGGAUCGAGGGGGUGAUGCCGCGCCGAGGGAGAGGAGGCGGCGGAGGAGGGGAGGGGAGGGGAAAGGCGAGUGGAGGAGCCUCUGGGCUGGGGGCGAGAUGGACUGGUGGUGAUGGCGCAGUCUGUGCCGCGGUACUGUUUCCGCCGCGCUGGUGCUUUGCCCCCAUUUCGUGCCGUGUGGAAAUCGGAGCGAUUACUGCUCUGACCAGCGACAACUGCUUUCCUUCGCUGUUUCCCCUGGUUUUCCGCUUCUUUAUUUUCUCGCUUUCUCAGCCGGAUCCCCCUCCCCGUCCGCCGUGUUCUAUUUCUACGAGAGCAAACACGCGUUUUAUCCGCUUUUCAUUAGUUUGGGUUUGACUCGUACAUCUCCGUGUGCCAAACCGACCGACCCAGUUCUCAUCCACGCAGAAAACAAUCUGAAUUUAAAUAAGGCUCGUGGCCAGACAUCAUUCGAGCGGCCAUGCCAUUGCCUAGGGUUCAUGCCGACGCCAUGCCAACCUAAAAAGACACGCAGUUCAUGUUGUCGCACUUGUCAGCGGCCGACGCACAUGCCAACACACAAAAAGGGGCGGGAAUUCAACCAUGUCAUCUCGUCCGUGGUCAUGCCGGCACACUUGACGGUAUACAAAAAAAGAUGACGCUCUUCCUCAUAGAUCAAUCAUCAAGCUUGGAGUAAAUUGCACAGAAGUACCACGAUUGGGGCAUUGGAAGCAGAUUGGUACCAAGAUUGGUAAUUUUUACGUGUCAGUACGAAGAUUGGGGCGAGCCGUUGCAAAAAAGACUAAAAGUGUGUUUUAUACGUAUUGACAGAAAAGCUGACCGGUUGGGCCCGCCCGUCAGGCGCCACGCUGGCCAGUGCACGCGUGCCCGCGCGCUGACUGGGCGCUGACUGGGACGAGGCCAGCUCGCUUUUAGGGCGCGGCUGGUGCGGUCGAGCCACACCCCGCUCAUUCCCCCCGCUCUGUUCUGCGUUCUUCUUCCUUCUCUCUGCCUCACCGCCGCCUGCGCCCGCCCCCGCCGGCCGCCACACGACGCUGCCGCAGCCAUGGUUUUUGAAGACGAGAGCAGCGACGAGAACUCAAGCCUCCCGUACAUGCACUCCAAAACCUCCACCGAUGGGCUCAACCAGGUCAGUUACUCCAUUGGAGCUAGGGUUAGGGCUAGGUUUAGGAAAAUUUGGGGAUUUUUCUGUGUAGGUGGUCUUUGGUGUGAGGAUUUCGUUUGAUUUGCUUUGUCCUCGUCCUCUGCACAUGAUGCUAACUUGGAUUUUGCUUGGGCAGGUGCCUUUCUCUCUUCAGGACCCGGAUUACAAUGGUCUUGAGCUAGAUCUGAUAGUGUUGUGCGAGAAGCAUGGGAAGCCAUCAGAGAGGCUUGUUGCAUUUGAAGGAACAAUGAUUGGGAGAAGGUUCUUAGCAUGUGCAGAGCCGGUAUUUUUCUUGCCUUAUUGAUUAUGCACAGGAUAUGUUCAUUGGAAGUGACAGAGUCUUGUUUGCCAAUUGUGAUUCAGUUAUGUGAUUGGUAAUUUUGUUAGUCAUAUAUGCCAUACUGUAGUGCUCAUUGUAGGAAUGGUGAAUAUUAUGGUCAGUGGAGUGCAUUUAGGCUAAAUAUAGGCUCAAGCAUGCUCUGUUGUGUGCACAUGAAUGCUCUGUUGUGUGCACAUGCUAUUUAUUUAUACUUGUAUGCAAUGUUGCUUAGUACUCACAUUAUCCCCUCCAUUAGCUGAUGUGUGACUCUUAAUAAGUAACUGUUGCUUACUGCUGACAGUAGGUACUGUCAUUAGCUAGUUUGUUCCUGCAGGCUAAUGUAGUGUAUUUAGCUAGGCUAAUGUAGGAUUCCAUUAUAUUAAUGGUCAAUUAUAAGUUGGUUAUUAUGCAAAGUUGAAUGGAGUGUUACUCUGCUAAUUAUAUACUGAUCACCAUCUUGCUUAGCACAUGGUUGUGCAAAUUCAGUGUUGGUCAGUACCAACAUUAGCUACUGGCAUGAACUAAUUGUUGCUUAGUACUAUUAGUAGUUGUAUUGUACUAAAUUUUGCCUUGUUAUUUUUCCAGGAAGGUCAGAAUUGUGGGUUUGUUCAGUGGGUUGAUGAGAAGUGGCCCCCAACAAUGGAGAAU